rnacentral:lncRNA from 1 species
CCAACGCAUUCGUGCACCAGCGUAGAAAAGUAAACCAGAAAAAUUGCCCAAGGAUAAGAAAAAUCCACCACAUCAAAGUAGCACUAGACCUCAACCGAAAAAAAAAGUGAGCAAAACAACAAACUCAAUGAGCUACAAAAAGAGGAAGUGAAAGAAGUUGAACAAAACCCAUAAUGUAGCUUUGCAGAAAAACAAUCAAACAAUAAUACAGCGAGGAAAGAUGGGGAGAAAAUACACUGGCAAAAUAUGAAAAUAAUAGAGGAAUGAAUAGACCAAAAAGGUAACUUUCAACUUUAGAGAGACCCAAAAAACAACAUGACACACAAGAAACUUAAACAGGACUAAGAUUUUCCAGCUUAAAUGGGAAAUAAUUAAAGCCCAUUGUAGGUAAGAACAAAGGGGUGAUCAUACAAGAAGUCGAGAGACAAACAUGCACCAGUUUGUACCAAAGAAAUUACAUAAAUAAAAGAAAAACCCAGAAAAAAUUACACAAAAAUGAGAAAAACCCACAUCACAAAUUAGUACUAGACGUCCAAAAGGAGCAACCCAAAAAACCAAAAAAAAAAGGAAAAGAAAGAGCAAAAUCAAUGAGCCCAGAAAAAAAAGAAACAUAAGGAAUUUUUUGUUAGACUGAAACAGAACACCAAAAUGGAGGAAAAAUGUCAGCCCAAGAAAGGAUAAUAACACACCUUGCUUGUGAAACCAGAUAUGGGGAGUAAAAACUCCCACAGAAACUGCUAUAAUUUGCAGAAAGUUUUGAACUUUGAACAAGAACGGUGAGUAGCAAGCACGGGAGAGAACAGUAGUGUAUACAAAAGUACAUAAAGCAGAAAAGCAAAAAAAAACUUACAAAACGAGGAGGGGGAGAGAGUGAAAGAAGGCGCGUGAAUUUUGAGGAAUUAUUAAGGGAUAAUUUCAGAAACCUCCCUGAGGUUUCUAUAAUUCCAAUUAGUUUCUUUAAGAUUUUAAAAUUUACACUUACCAAGUCAUCCAUCUAAAACGGCAGUAUUAAUUUUAAUAUUUUAAUAAAACUUCCUUACUGAAUAUGCAUAUACGAAAAAUGGGAUUUAUAAUUAUUUUUUCUUUUCUUUCUCUUUUUUUAUUCCUUAUUUUUAUAUUUUUUUAUUAAAAUUAUAGAAACAUAAACACUGAUCCUAAAUAUUAAAAUUAAUGACCUUUUUAAAGAACUUUUAAUGACACUAACUCAAAAAAAGACUCAAAACUACUAUCAAACUGUGACAGUUUUACCAAUCAAAAAAUUCACUAACUUUAAAAUCAUUAUGAUGAUAGUUUCUUCCCUAAUUUAGAAAAAAUAUGUAUUUUCAAUAAAGUAUUAUUAAAAGUAAUUUAUCAUAAUUUGAUAGACAAUUGCUUACCAAAUAAUAAAAUUUUGGUAUUGAAAACUUGAUAACUUUCCUUACCCUUGUACUAAAUAUCUUAUUGCUUUAUAAAGUAAUUAAACUUUAUACAGUGAGGGUGUUUAGAGGUAUUCGUUUAAAUUUUUUUACCAAAUCUAAGGUUCAGUUUUUAAAAGCAUCAAACUAUGAGAGGGAAGUGUAAUUUUUGAAAAUUAAAAGGAGCUUAUUUAAAUUAUCAGAUACCUUAGGGGUAGUUUAUAAAAUUAUCCCAAUUAUUAAUAAGGGAUAAUUGCAUAAAUCUUCCCUGAGGUUUCAGACAUUUGCAUUGACCUCCCUUGUGGUUUGAAAAAUUAUACUAACCUCCCCUGAGAUUACUAAUCCUUUGUAAAUUUAGUCCAAACAAUUAAAAUAUUAUUUUAUGGAGUGAAAUUAGAAUUUUGUAUCAGAUUUGCCCUUUGUGCUACAUAUCCAAUGAACGACAAAGUACUAUAAAUCAAUUAAUAAUUAAUAAAUUUUAAAGAGUAUAAUUUAUGGGCAAACACGCAUUACUUAUUUAAAGUAUCGGUUUUUUAUGGGUAUUUUACUUUCAAAUAUUUAAUUUAUGAUAAAUAUAUCAAUAUUUGUAAGUAAAAUUCAAAAAUUGUUAUAGUAAUAUUCUUGCAAAAAGAAAAAAUCGAUAAGUUAUUUAUUUAAUAUAAAUUAAAUAUUUUUUUUUAAAAAAUAAAUGGCCCAUAAAAUAUUGAUUUUUUUAUAACUUUCAUCCAUUACACGAAUAAAGUAUUCCCUAUUUAUGUGCAUUUUAUUUUGAAUCAUUUAAUUUAUGUUAGAUACAUAAAUGUUUGUAACUAAAAUUGAAAAAGUAUUAUAUUAAUAUUUUUACGGAAGAGAGACUGGUAGGUUUUGUAUUUAAUAAAAAUUAAAUAUUUGAAAGUAAAUACAAAUCUGUAUUUGAGCGUAAAUAUUUGUAUUAAAUUAAAUGUUUGAAAGUAAAAUACCUUUAAAGAAUCGGUACUUUAAAUAGUUACCAACUCUUUAUAGACAAACAUGCAUUAUUCAUUUAAAGUACCGAUUUUUUAUGGAUAUUUCACUUUCAAACAUUUUAUUUUAUAAUAAAUAUAUCAAUGUUUGUAAGUAAAAUUCAAAAAGUGUUACAGUAAUAUUCUUACAAAAAGGAAAUCGAUAAGUUAUUUAUAUAAUAUAAAUUAAAUAUUUUUUAAAAAUAAAUGGCCCAUAAAGUAUUAAUUCUUUAUGACUUUCAUCCAUUACAUGAGUAAAGUAUUGGCUCUUUAUGGAUAUUUUAUUUUGAAUCAUUUAAUUUAUGUUAAAUACAUAAAUGUUUGUAACUAAAAUUGAAAAGUGUUAUAUUAAUAUUUUUACGGAAGAGAGAUUGGUAGUUUUUGUAUUUAACAAAAAUUAAAUAUUUGAAAGUAAAUACAAAUAUGUAUUUGAGCGUAAAUAUUUGUAUUAAAUUAAAUGUUUGAAAAUAAAAUACCCAUAAAGAGCCGAUACUUUAAAUAGGUAUUGCGUAGUUGCCUAUAAACUAUAUUCCUUCAAGUUUAUUAAUUGCUAAUUAAUUUGUAGUAUUUUGUCAUUACUUGGACAAGUAGUACAAAGGACAAAUUUGAUAAAAAAAAUUCUAAUUCCAUUAUCUAAAAUAAUAUUUUAAUCGUUUGGACUGAAUUUGCAAAGGAUUAGUAACUUCAGGGGAGGUCAAUGUAAUUUUUCAAACUACAAGGGGAUCAGUGCAAAUGUCAGAAACCUCAGUGGAGGUUUCUGCAAUUAUCCCAAUUAUUAAUAAAGGAGAAUUUGGAUUGGAAUGGCGGGAGGGAGGACAGACAGCACGUGAUUGUCAGACAGUGUUGCAGUGUGAAGUCGUCCAAGUUUUAGAAAGUGCGUUCCUUUAGUCUUUGGAUGUGUCAGAACUUGGAAGACUAAACAACACCAAUAAUUUAAUAUUUCACUUUUUGGUUUUCUUAAUCUAAUUUUAUUUUAUUUUUUAUCUGAAUUUAAUUUUAUCUCGUUUUCAUUUUCAUGUUUCAGUAUGCUUUUUUUCUAAUUUUGGUUUAUACUUUCUUUUCUUUGGGAAGAAGUUAUGAAUUUAAUGACAAUUUGAUUAGAGUUCUUUGAUCACACUAUAUUACCACACCUCUAUUGUUUAGUGUUAGUGUAGUGGUGUCAAUCUAGCUUUUUAAGUCUGGUUUCAGCAAAUUCAAAUUUGGCAUAUGAGUUAUAUGAAUUUUCGGGUUUCAGAUUCAAAUAAAAAAUGUUCAAAUUCAUCUCACACUAUUACAUGAAUUUUGGAUUCAAAUUGAAUUUGACCCAAACUCAUAAUUAAAUAUAUAUAAUAUAUAUUUUAUAAUUAUGAAUUAAUACAAAUUUACAUAAAAUUUAUUAACAUUUUAUGUCAUAAUAUGUAUUAGUAUUCAAGGAACACACUAAUGUGAGUGCAACUAAUAGAAAAAAUAUUGGUGAAAUAUUUUGAGUAUAUUUAUUGAAAUUAUUUUAAAAAAUAUUGGUUUUAUAUAUUUGAAAUUACAUAUGUAAAAAAUUCACCAAAAUAAAAGUAAAAUUCAUAACCAUAAUUGGAAGUUGCUAAUUAAAAUUAAGAUAUACUAAAUAAGUUUAAAAAUAAAGUAUAAAAAAAUACAUAGUACUUGAUAAAAAAUCAUAUUGGUAGUAGAUAUAAUUAUAAAAAAUAGAUAGAUUUUUGUUUAUACUAGAAGCUCUCUCAUCAUCAAUGGUGGUUUAAAAAAUAUAUAAAGUGGUAAAUUUUUGUUUAUUCCAGAUCCUUCCUCUCCUUUUAUAUAUAAUAUAGAUAAUCAUAAAUUAUAGAUAUUAUUAUAUAUAUUUUACAUAUAUAAUUAUACUCAUAUACGGAUCACAAUCAGGUUUAAUUAUUUAGGCUCAAACUUUGUUGGUCCAAUUAAAAUUCAGGCGCAGUGUGUUUUUUCCGGCCGAGAGGGGCCUAGCCCAGCCCCCCUUCCCCCCCCCCAAUCACACUUCAUUGCGUGCGAAUCUGUCGGUGAAAUGAUCUAUAUCGGUAAUCCAAAAGAUUACCUCGACAAUGAAUCUUUUCCAUUACCUAAUACCUAUUGACUAUUGAAGUCAAACUUUUUACAAGCACCUUUUCUUGGCCUUAGCAACGGAGUAGUGUAUUUUAAGAGCCCUGCAGUGAAGGUUAAUACUCCCUCAGUCCCACUUUAAUAGUUUUAUUUUUUAUUUUCGUCUGUCCCAAAUUAUAAUUCACUUUUCAAUUAAAGAAUAUAGUUAUAUUUUAAUUUUUUAAAAAUAUCCUUAUUCAAUGUAAAUUAUUGUUACUAUAAACCUACCCCAUUUAAUGAGAAUUGGUUCUUUUUUUACCAUCAAUUCAAGUUCCCAUAAAGUUGUACUCUAAUUAUUGUGAGGGUAUUUUAGGAAAAUAGCUACCUAAAUGGAUUGUUCCAACAAAAUUAACUACUUUUUAUUAAACUGUAUAAAAAAAGAAAAAUAUGACUAUCAAAGUGGGACGGAGGGAGUAUAAUGAAAAAUUUUAUCACUCUCUUAGGGUUAGAAAAUUCUGCAGUUUCUUUAAAGGAAACUACUUCUACAUUCUAUAUAUGACAAUCACUGAUUGCCACCUUAUUCAAAAAAUGACAGUGAUUUAUAUCUUAAAUAAUUAAAAUUAUUGUAAUUUAGGGAUUAAAAAAUCUUAUUUCUACCAUCCAACAAUAAAUUUUAACUUGAGUCUCCCAAAUAUGAUAUACCAAUAAGAACAAAAUGUUGUACAUGAUGUUCAAUUUUGAUAACAUUUUGCUUAAACUAUACCACUUUUUUUUUUCUUCUGAUAUGUGAUAAUAUAUGAUUCAGCAAUAUCAUCUAAGGAUCAAUUCGUUUUAUCAUGCAACUUUUGAAGGGUGUUGCAUGUUUUAAUGUGGUCUCUUUCAAGGCUGAAUCCCUCUGAUUCAAAUCUUUCUUGCUAGUACAAAAACUACCUCUUUUUUUUUUUUUUGCCAAUUUAAAUACUGUUGCUCCAUAUAUUUUUAUUGUGUAGUACACAUCAACGUGCAAGAAAGGUUAGGCAAUUGAUUAAAGAUAUUUCUUGCAUGGAGUUAAGAUUUAUGAAAGCAACGUUUGAGGAAUAAUGAACAAUUUUUGGUUACAUAAAGCUGAUCCUGCAACGGUCUGAAAAAAGGAAAACACAAGAGCUCAUCCCAAGAAUUUUUUAUUUUUAUUUUUUGUUAAUGAUGGAACUUCUUUAGAAAUUCAUCCAAAUUCUUCUAUUAUCCCUAAAAGUUUGUAUGAUUCAAUGCCAGUUGUCUGUCUACUGUGUGAAGAAGCUCCAAAUAUCUUGUGUUGUGUUGGUUGGUGGUCUGCCUGCCCAAAUUCCCAGCUACCUUCUUGCCCACAAUAAAUAUCAAAUGAUUGGUUGGCAAGACCAAUUUCCAUCAAAUCUGGACUUUACUUGGUAUAUGUGAGAAGGUCUAGACCAAAUACUCCCUCCGUCCCACUUUGAUAUUUCUGUUUCUUUUUUCACACAAUUUAAAAAAAAAUAGUUAAUUUUUUUGGAAAAGUAAAUUUAGAUUGUUAUUUUCCUAAAAUACCCUCACAUUAAAUAUGGUACAACUUUAUGGAAACUUGAAUUGAUGGUAAAAAAAAAUCAACUCUCAUUAAAUGUGGUAGGUAGGUUUAUAGUAACAACUACUUACAUUGAAUAAGAAUAUUUUAAAAAAUUUAAAAUACAACUACAUUCUUCAAUUGAAAAUGGACUAUAAUAUGGGACAAAUGAAAAAGGAAUACAAGACUAUCAAAGUGAGACGGAGGGAGUAACAUGUUAGUAUCAAACUGUUACAGUUUGAUUCAUGAAAGUGGAAAAAAAAGGGCUAAAAACAAAGAAAAGAAAGAACUAAUAAAUGAAAAUUUGAGUUAGUAAACUACUUUGGCUGCAUUUGGAUUGGUCAUUUUUUUAAAAACAAGAUUUUCACAUAUUGUGUUGCAGUAAUAUACAAAUAAAAACAAUCACAAAAAUACUAAAAACAACAUCAAAAAAUACAAAAAAAAAAAAUCUCAAAAACACUAAAAACAGCCUAAAAAAUAAUCUCAUCUACAGUAAAAUUUUUUUUUACCUAUAUUAUUAUAGUAAAAUAUUUCAAAAAUAUCCUAAAAAACAGCUAAUUCAAAUGGAGAUUGUUUUUUGGAUUGUCCCAUAAAUGUUCUUUUUUUAGGGGAGGGGGUGAGAUUAUAUCAACAAAAGAUGAAAAUAGGAUUUGACAUUUGUAUAUACAUUUUUCCUCUCUCGUUAUCCUUCACAACAUGAAUAAGAUUCUUGGGUAAUUACUAUCCAAAAACAAAAAAACAAAAAGCUCCCAAACAUCUUUCGAACUCUAAUGACAAAAUCUGCAGCUUUGUUGCAUUUUUGACAAAAUGCAAAGCUAAUAUGGACAUUAUUAAAAGAGGGCAACAACAGUUGGUAUCUGUCGCUGCAAAAAUAGGCUCCUUCAGGAACAUUAUUGAUGAUUGUUCUUGGUUAUAAAUAUCCUCGCACAAACGUUUAAUAAAUAGAUCAACAGAGAUUUGUGAAUCGAAAUUGUCAAGUAGUAUUUUAAAAGAAGAAGUUGGCCAGACAAAAAAUCACAUUGGGACAAUGCAAAAACCGGAAUUUCAAAGUUUGGUAGACAUCCCUUAUCCCUCGCCAAAAACAAUUGCAGGUGGGGCUACCAGCACCAGCUCAUGGCUGUCAAGGAUUCUUGGUUUGCUAUCCAUUUUCUCUAUUGAUGAUCACAACGAAAGUGUAUGCCAGGGCAAGAAUAGUAGUAGUACAAGUAUUUCCAGUUUUGGGUCAAAAUCACAAUGAAUGCUAGUCUCUAUUUGUUUCUUCAUAAAUUGGGUCAAAAUCACAAUGAAUGCUGUGAAUGCUAGUCUCUAUUUGUUUCUUCAUAAGUAAUUCCCUAGUCUCUCUCUCUCUCUUUCAACCAGCUUUGGAGUCUUGACAAGGAGGAUUGGAAUUAAAUUCCCCCAACAACCAUAGUUGGUCAGUAGUUGCGCCAAUUAGAUGGACAGGCAACAAAAGUAUUGGUUAAUCUUCAUACUUCCUUUUUCAGCCCUGUUUGGCACUCAGAGUUUUUUGUCAAGUUUAUCUGCUAUAAAUUUUUUAAAAACUUUAACUACAGUAAUCUCAAAUAUUUUUCAAAAUUUUUAAACUAUACACUUCAAAAAUUUUUUAAAAAACUUUUACAGUAAACUACAGUAAAGUUUUAGACAAACAUUCAAAAAACUCACGUACCAAACGGGGUAAUGGUUUUCCUGUGAACUGAUACCAAGAGGAGGGCCACAAUUGUGCUGACAUCCCAGUUCAAAGGAUAAGUAGACCAGAAUAACAAGCCCAUUAGGGCGAUAACAAGCAAUAAGUCCACAAACAUGGCAAAGGUUAAGGCUCAAGAGAGACUAGACAGAUAUUCAGGCUUGCUAUAGCUAAUUGAAUAAUGAAUCCUCAUCCACACUGACCUGACAAGAUGCAGAUUAUUGUGGAAGCAGAAGUGAAGAUUUACACUCAAGGAUUAGAAGCUACAUGGCCUUCUCAAAUAUUAGAAGAUUGAGAAUUUAAGAUUAUUAGGUCAAAACCUCGGAUAGCCUACCAGUUACCCAACAAGAUUCAUACUGAAAACUUGAUCACCUUCGACCUGCUAGACCAUUUCAUUUUUAAGUACAGUUGUCAGAAGUACAAUUAGAAUGAUUCCCAGUAAUUAUUAUGUACAUAAUAUUUUAUACAUUCGCCUUACUUUUUACAUAGAGUAGUAACAAAAUGACUAAACUGAUCCUUCAUGCUUUAGAGCAUCAACCUAAAAAGCUUUAAAUCCAUCAGUUCUGGAGUCUGUAUCUUGAGCGCAAACGGCUGAGGAUCUCAGCAUAUUCUGGAGUUGUCUGGCCGAAUACUUCAUUCCACAUCCUGAAAAGGUCUGUACGUAUAAACAGGAAUCCAGGUCAAUCAAACUCAGCUUUAAUAAAUGAAUAAUAGCAUUGAUACAAAACUCCACACGCAUUCAUUCGUCUUUCUGGUGAGAGCAUAUAAACUGAUUCAUAGGGUGAACUACUGAAAAACAGUAGUAAUUGGCUGCACAAGGGAAUUAUUUAACGCGGUCAUUUACAAUAGUAUGUUAGAUAACACGAACUGCACAUUUAACCAUGUCUCAACCCUAUUACAUUAUAAUUCUAUUAGAUUAGCGUGGACCUACCAGCCUUAUCAGCAGAGGAAAGACACAUGACAAUCAUGUCGAAUCUUGGGAUUUUGGUUAGAUUUUCUAAGAAUUUGACAGCUAAAUCCACAUCUUCUCUGCCAAACAUAAGGCAGAAGAAAUGUCAGCAAAUCAUUAAAAGAAACAUAAUUUUGCGAAUUCAUUUACAAAUAGUUUAUUGAAGAUAUUAACUUACACGAAAAAGGUAGCAAUACACCCAAGAAUAUCCAUGAGUAAUGAAGCAGACAAGGCAUUCUUAAAUAUCUGUGGCAAUGAAGUUGGAGGAGUUGCCUGAUCAGGGAAAAAGAGGAGGUCACACAAUGGGAAAAGAAACAAACUAUAAACAACAGCAACAAUGAAAAGUGAAAUUACUAUCAGCAUGAAAUUUCCAUUUCUUUGUCAAUCUAUAAUCAGUUUCAACAUGAAGAUGGUCCUUUCCAAAAAACAAAAAACACCACACAAACAGCAUUUAGAUAGACAUGCCACUGAAUUGAAAACAGAGUUGGUAAAGUUCCGCCUUGCCAAUCAACCUUUUUGCAAGUCUCAAGACGGAAAAGUCAUUCUCCUCCAUCAAGAUAAAUUGUUAAAAAGAAUUUAAAGUGAUUUUGAGAGAACAUAGCAAAUAAAUUUGGAAAGAUUCAUAAAAACCAUGAGUAUGCAACUACAGAAACUUAGCAUCCUAAAUGGUAUAUUCUGAAUUGCGUGCAAAGGACAAAAGUGACACACGGCUGCAAAACAAUUUAAAAAUAGACCUUCAAUAAUUGAGCCUGUAAGCUGCGGUCACCAGAAAGCCCCCGCCAAGAAACCUCAAACUGGUAAGCUGAAUUUGGAGGUGCAAUGAUUUUAGCAGCCUCAGCCUUAGCAAGAGUAGCAGCUCGUGCGGCAAGCUCUUGAACUGAUGUCUUCAACUCAUGCUUGCCAUUGGUGCUGCUUCUCUGUGAUUAAAAACCAAAAGAAUCAGUAGAGAAAAAGAGAACCCAAGGGCAGGCUGAGUCUUAGCAUAUAAAUCCAUAAAUCAUGCUACAAUUUUGAUAAUAGCCAGCUGAUCACAAAGUCAUGCCAUGCACAUAUAAAAUCUAUAAUUAUUUUAGACCUGUUUGUGAAAGCAAAAAGUAUUUGCAGACCGUUGACAUAAGAGAUCAAUCUGCAACUUUUAAUUAUCUUGUUCUCUUAAAUCUUUGUUAUUAAACUAUUUGCCCUUUCUAAUCAUCAAAAUUGAAAUGUUAGAAUUGUUUGUUGCCCCUAAUCUUCUUAAACAUUCACUAUCUUUCUAAAAACACCAGCUCUUAACGAAAAGAUUAUACAAGAAAAGAAAACAAUGGACCUUCAUUGUCUCCAAAGCAGUGUUCUGAAGAGCUGAUUCAUGAGAAGCAUUUCCAUUUUGAUCCUUAGUCUUCAUACUAGUACCAUCAAGUCGCAUAGCUGUCUUUAAAGGAAUUUCUCCAUUAUUACCCUGCCAAUCACAGCUUAAAGUUCAGAGAAAUGACUUUUGCCCACUAUCUGAUAAAAGAAGAUACUGAUCAAAUGUAAAGCUAUUUUUUCCAAAAAUUUCCAACCAUCACAAAUGUAAAGCCAUUUUUUAUCAUCUAAAAUACAUUCUUAAGAAUCUCUAUGACAGGUCAGGUGCAAUGAAUAUGAAGCUCCAAAGCCCAUGCUUUCACCUUGCAAUGAAGAUGACUAUAAAACUCUUAAACACAAAAUAAACCUUCAGGAAACAGAAUGAACUGUCCCAAAGACAAGUUUUUACCUCCAGAAGCUAAAGGAGCAAGAAAAGAAAAGAAGGUGAUUUACUGGAGUCCUUUUUAACUCACAGUAGUUUUGCUCCCAGCCAAGCCAAACCAAAUAGUAUACAUAUAUACAAGCAGUCAAAAAAGUGAAAGAAGAAACUCCAUUGUUCAGACCUUUGUAUGAUCAUCCUGAACUUCAGCCACCAUUCCACUAUUAAAAUCACUGGAGACAAGUUUGACCCCAUUUACAGCUUUGUUUGUCUCAACCUUUGACUUUCCAGCUUUUUGCAACCCUUGCACAGAGCUUGUUGAUGCUCUAGAUACCUUCUUAAGAAUUUCCUGGAAAUUGACAAUGACUGAUAAAAAAUGGAAGAACUAUAUCCAGAGAUAGCAGUAAUAUAUGACUCAAGUACUCAAGGAUUAUUAGUUUAAUUGAAUUUGCCGUCUUAAGUGUUCAGAGGCAUGUGAAAACUUUGACAAACUGAGUCCUCAAAUCUAUUUCUUUACAAGAAUAAGAGAACAAGAAAAUUGAUUACAAGGUAAGGAGUAAACCUUAUCUAGCAAAGAUUUGGCUUCUGCAUAUUGCUUCUUGAUCUCCUGGUUUUGUGGCUCUAACCUCAAGGCAAAUUCAGCAUCUGCAAUCAGUCAUACUUCAUCAGAAAUACUUCUUUUUUAAAUAAAUCAAAAAGAGGUUUCAUAGGAUCCAUAAUAAUACCAUCAUAGGCUUCUUUUAGUUUGCCAAGCUCUUUUCUGGCUGUUGAACGACGAGAAUAGGCCUUAAUGUAGCGAUCAUCUAGAUUUAAGGCCUCAGUACAGUCACUCUCAGCCUCCUCGAAUCUAAUUUAAAAUGAGGAGAACAUGUCACUUCUUAUAGUGUGUACAUUUUAUCUUAUAAAAGAGAAUAAUUUCUCUAUUCUGGAAAUAAUAAAACUAAGAAGAUAGAUGAUAUGAACUUGCCUUUUGAUUUUGAUAUAAGCCAUAGCCCUAUUAGCAUAAGCAACUGCAGUAGGCAACAAUGCAAUGCUUCUAGAGUAACAGUCAAUUGCUUCAUUAAACUUCUUAUGUUUAAAAUAUUCAUUGCCCUACGCAAGAUAGAAAGUAAUAAUCAGUAUCAAUACAAGACAAACAUGUCAUUCUAAACCAUAUUUGUUGAGUGUGAAGCAUACCAACUCUUUCUCCGAGUUUGCAUCAACUGAACUCUCUUCUGUCAUGAAACCACUUGAUAACUGCCUUAUUGCAUCAUAGUUUCUCAAAUAAUCAUAUUUUUUAGCAGCAUCACCAAUAUCCUCAUUGGCAUUUUUUUCAACUGCAUGUCUCUCACCAACUCUUGAGCUACUAGACAGCUGAUUAGCAUUUGCUACAUUAUGUCUUUGAGCAAGGAGAUCCUGAAAUAAAACUUGAUCCAAUCAAUAAUCAAAAACAACAUUUAUGUAAUAAAAAAAACAGUAAAAAUCAGAAAAUGCAAUCAAAAGAUCACCAUCAUGUCUUCCCCUUUGGCACCACUUAAAUGCAAUCAACAAGACUAGAAAAUGAAAGGGAAAAGAAAAACAAAGAAAAAUUUGCAAACAGAAAUGCAUUCACACUGACUAAAUCCACUGUCAGGGUGAAGUGGCUAUAAAAAAAAAAAAACACUAACUGCCAACAACUCUUUAAGAUAGAGCAUUCUAACAGAAUUCUGCACAUGAAUAUGAUUUCGUAUGCUGAGACAGUCAAGGGUUGAGUAACUGCACAUCUUAAAUACAAGAAAACAGAAAACUUACUGCCUUCUCCUUGCCUCGGGAUUGUGACUUAAGUUUCUUGUCUUUAUCCUUGAAUGAUAAUUCCCAAUCCUGUAAAUUAUUCAGAAGCCCCUCAAAGUCCUGUUCAACCAAAAUCAUCACUAAGGUAGGUGUAAAAAAAAAAAAACUAACGAGCAACAUCAUGUUUGUACUUUCUCUGGGCCAAUUUAGUCCAGUAGUACACACUUCAGACGUAAAGAAAAAUAAUACAGUCCAGUAACAUUAAAAAAAAAUGCACCUUCAUAGUUCUCAACAUCUAUUUUCUUUUUUUUUUCCUCGUACAAGAAUAUAUUUCGCAAAGAAAUCUUACAGCUAGCUUGAUUUCAUCCACAAAUUAACACGGCUUUGAAAUCCUUCCCGGACCACAAAAUAGUGAACUCACAGAAUAGAAUUACUACAGGCCUUGACUCCACUAGAUAAACAUAAACACAAUGAUGAAGUUACUGCUCUCAGAAUUUUAUUUACACUUUUCAUUUCUAGUCAAGAAAUGGAUUCUACCAACCCUAUAAUCUUGAACCAUUUUCAUCUAAUUUCUUCUUAAUUUCCAUGAACAAAUAAAGCAGCAAAUUUGAAGGGUUCUUCUUGCUUGAAUACCUCCAACUUCUCCACCAGCAAUGUGAUGGUAAUAGAACUAAUACCUCCAGCAAGUAUAGAAUCCAGACCUUAAAAUCAACAAGCCCACAAAAAAAAAUGCAAAAGCUAAAGCCGUUUCGAUAUUGAAAUCAUGCUUGGUGAAAAGAUACUACAGCAAUGCUGCUCUGCUAACAAAUAGAAGAGAAAAUGCAUAUGCACCUGAGCUUGAUCGCGAGAAUGCUUGGAGGGAACCCUAGACAUUGCUGGGAAUAGAGGGCACGGCAGUCGGAGAAGAAGAGAGAGCGGAAGCAGUUCAGAAUUCAGAUGCUUCUAGAGUUCCAAGGGGAGAAAGAAACACAUUUCAUUUUAAUACUACCAUCGAAGCUGGAUCAACUUUUAAGGCUUAAUUACAAAUUGUACCCAGUAAUUAGGAGUUAGUGCAAAUUGACCCCCUGAAUUUACAAAAUUUACAAACUAAUUUUUUUUGUUCUUCAUUAUUUCUCUUAUAUGUGUAGAUUUACUUUUUUCCCUUCCCACUCUAUUGUAAAUCUUGAUAAUAUUGUACUAAAUAAUCUUUUUCCUCACUUAAAUAUAGAUUAUUAUUUCUUAUGAAAAGUUUUUAAGGGUAGACUACUAUAUUUAUCACUAGAUAGAGUUGUUAAUGAAGCAAACUGUUUGCGAACGUAUUUAUGUUCGAAUCGUUUGAAUUCAAAAAAAGUACAAUUGUUUAAUGAACGAAUGCAGUUCAAACACAAUAUUAGAUUCGUUUAAUAAUCGAACCGAACAUGAACCUCUUCGUGAACACAUAUAUAUAAAUAUAAAUACAAUUAAUAUUAUUAAAUACAUAUUAUAUUUUACUAAAAAAGUACUUAUACAUAAAUUAGCAUUAUUUAUUUUUUAUUCUAAACAAUGUAUUAUUUAUUAACAAUAUAAUUAGAUCAUCUUCAAAAUCAAAUUCGAGAACCAGCCAAAUUCGAGCCGUGCUUGACCUUGAAUUUGGCUCGUAUAGUUUAACAAGUUGAGUUUAAGCUCAAUCUUAAAUGUUUAUACAAAUAAACGAAUCAAAUUUAAACGAUAUUUGUAAUUUGUUAAUAUUCGAAUCAAACUUGAACCCUAUUUGUAUAAUAUACGAACAAAGCCUGAACAUCAAUCAUUCAACUCAAUUUGCCUCGUUAAAAGUUCUACCACUAGACUACUUCAAUCGUAUAGCUCCUUCAUUCCUAUUAAAAAAUAUAUAUUUUGAUCAUAAUAUGUUAAAGAAUUUAUUUUUAUAGUUGAAUAUAAUAUUGUUAUUUUUUAUGAAAAUAUUUAAUGGUUGAGAAACAUAUUUACCAAUAAACUAUACCUUUUUUUUUUCAACAAACACCACCAAUAAACUAUACAAAUAACUUUUGCCACUUAACUAUUUUUAUUUAAAAUCACCCACUUAACGCACAAAAUUGUUUUAUAAAUAACCAUUCGUUUAGGUUUUGCCAUUAGAUAUCAUGCAUUUCCAUUAGCUCGGAGGAUGCGCAUGGAAUUUUAUGUGGAUGGUAACUAUAUACUUUGCUUAAGCACAGGCUAGAGACUGUAUCUGCACGUUUGUUCAUAUUCAACUGUUGAAGCAGACAAUUGAGCCUAGCUGAGAAGUAAAUUGUAUCCAACAAAUGAAAAAGCAAGUUGCAAGAUUACCAGAGUCAGAUUUCAACAUUUAAUCUAUAGCCAAGACAGCAUGAAAAAUUGAAAAUCAUCUGAACAUCGUUGCUAACGCAGCAGACCAACAGAUUUCAGCACAAAAAGGGAGAAUAAGUCCCUUGUACGCAAAAACAUAACAAGCAAAUUUCUGCAGCUUUUAACCAACUUUGUGAUUCUGGUACCACAAACCUAAUAGCAUUACAAGAUUUACAAGACAACUUGAUGAUAAUUCUAGACAAAUGUCAACCCGCAUUCUGGUGUGGCAUGACAAUUUCAGUAAACCAACACCAAGGCAUAUGUAGGCUUUCUUGCAUAUUACAACUCCAGCCUUGAAGAUCUGCAUCUUGGUCCUUCUAUGAGGGGGGAUCAAAUUGCUUCAAGAAACUCCCAAAAGCUGCACUCCAAAUGGACACCCCACCAAAAUGACUUACAUUGAUCCAAGCAGCCAGGCGGUUGUAGAGUGCAAAAACAAUCUCUAAAGAGAACAUUAAUAAGGAACCUAUCAAAGCUAUACCAAAUAAAGUAAUUAAGCGAAAUUCAGCAUCGCAUCUUUCCAGUCUACAGAUGCCAGCAUCAAAUUGGAUUAUAUACAUCCCAUCCACUUAAACUGGGUAAACCUAACAGAACUAUGCAAACACCGUAUUCCUGAAUUCCAGCAGAAGACAACAACCAGAGGUGGUCAAAUCAAACAAGCAGCUGCAGCCUGCAUCUUCUCAUGUAUUGCCUUGUAGCAACCGAGGCUGCACAGUGGCAACUUUGACUUUGAGUCUCGGUACUUGUAUGCAUUUGUACAAGAAGGGCCAGCACAGUUUUCACGUGGAGGAGGAUAACUGACGGCAAAGAACAAAGGCUGAGUCAGAGACAAAAGAGGGUGAGAAUAGCAGAAGUACAUAUUUGUAGUGCCACGGAGACUCCUGAAGAUCUGUUGGCGUGCAAUUAAAUGUGCACAGGAUUGAAAAAGUGGCAUAUUUACCUACAAGGCUUGGAUUCAAGAAUUCUUGGGAGGCCUAUCUCAUCGGGGAACGUCACAGUAGUCCCGGACGGGCCAAUCACCCAUCUAACUGCAUUUGAUGCAAGAACGUUGUUUGCAGCCCUCUCCUGCAUCACAUCAGAGACCUAUAAUUUAGAAUGAAUCCAAAAAGACGCAAAGAUAGCUUCUUCACGUGGAUCAUUUGCGUUGUCACCUGAGCCAGCUCAUCUUGUCGCUUCUUCAUUUUAUCCUCUUGCUUCUUCCUACUGGAAUCUUGGCCUAGGAUUUUUCUGAUCGCCUCAGCCUGUAAAACCAUCAACCCUUGAAGUCAUAUCUUUUACAAUACAUAACGUAAUUUGACUGGAAUAUCAACCUAAAUAACUGGCAUAAAAGUCUGUUGUAGCAAGCACAACCUCAGCCUCCCGAGCAGCCUUCUCCACUUGCAUCCUUCGUCUUUGAGCAGCCUCAGCUUUCUUCAGUUGUUGCUCCACCUCCGACAGUUUUUCCUUUGGCUCUGUCACUCAACCCAACAUAAGUUAUAUUGUAAACAUUCAAUUAGAAAAGUUACAGAUGCAUUUGAACCAGGACAGAGUUCUAUAACAGGAAUGCUCACUUUUAGGUGGGGCAGGAGGUAAUCCAUUUGGGAACUCAAUCAAACUUGCACCAGAAGGGGAAGAAGUGGAUCUUGCACUUUUGAGUGCUCGUUGGCGGGUAGUGAUAGCCAUUUCCCUCUUAAAAUCCCCUGACUCAUCAAUUAACUCGUUGCUGUGCUUUCUCUUUGGUUCAGGCUCAUCAUCAGAGAACGAGUCUUCAUCUUCAAAAUAGUCUGCAUCUUCGGAUGCUUUAACUGAUCUGGACUUCCUACUCUCCUUGCCUAAUGAAGAGCUGUUAUGGUAUCUCAAAUCUACAUCAUUACUGUAGAUAUCACCAUAAGAUAACCUAGAUGCAUUCUGUUGCUUCUUGCUCCCUACUUCAUCUACAUCUUCAAACUCUGUGCCGUGACUUGAACUAAGUCUCAGACGUCUGACCUUUUCAAGGUACCGAAUCUCGUCAUCACUAUUAUCUUCUCCAUCAUCAAAAACUUCACCUAAUGAACGUUUCUUAGGAACUCGUUUGCUCUUACGAGAGGACUCAAGAGCACCAGAUUGCCUAGUAGAGACACUUUGUCCAGGCAUCUUUCCCAGUGAAAUAACAUGUUUCUUAACAGUAAAACCACUCUUAGAAAAAUCCUUCCAUGGAAUGCCCUGCAAUCCACUUCCUUUGUCCUUAGAAGUGCAGCGACCUGUGUUUUCAUUAUCCUGGAAAAUGUAGGAAGAAGAAGCCCCUGUUAAGCUCUAAUUCAACCCAUCUUUCACAAAUUAGAGCUAGAAAAAUAUGGCCCAAGGAGGGGGGGGGGAAGGCAUGGUUUGUAUUGAGGCGGGAAUGAACUGGCAAAGACCAAACCGCUGUGAUGGUUGGACAAAAUAAAGAGUCUUUUAUCAACUUAGCUAUCUGUUAACUCACUUGGAAAAAUAACAUGCUAUUAUGCUAAACUUUUUUGGUCAAUGAUCCUGAAUAAGGGAUCAUCUUUGAUCCAGAGCCCAGAAGAAGAGAACAAACCUACUAUAGAUAUCAAAAGGAUUAGAAGUUUCAAAUAGAACAAGCUCGGACUUUGGUAGCCUUACUUAGUGCAAACAUUAAAGCACAGAGUUACCUGCGCAAUCAGCUUAGGGUGCACAGGUGGGCCAUCAGAAGAGAGAGAAGACUUGGUUGAUGAAGACCCAGCAAAUGAUGAAGCCUCGGAAACGGUUUUAGUAUGUAGCGUAUGAGUAACACCACCAACCUUAAGCUUCACUUUCUUAAGUUUACUGAUACCUGCAUCAUUUGAUUCUCCCAAUCGUCCAACUUCAUUACUCAUUUUAGAGACAGUUUCGGCGUCACCAAGAUUAUCAUACGAUGCUCUGGAAACGCUUUGGUUUGUACUUUCUUUCCCCCCCGUAGCAGCAGCAUGACUGAGAUUUUCCUCACUUGAUGGUUUGCUCAUACUGUCUGAUACAGGCGUUGAUGACAGGGAAGAAUUAUCCCGGUAAUCCAAACAAGAUUGAGAAUCAUCUACUCUACGGCGAGGCCGAAUGCUCCUCUUUUUCCUUGCAUUUCUGCCCGUAUCAUCAAAUACAAAACUUCCAACGUUUUCCAUAGUGGCAGAGUCUACUUACUUCCAAGCCUCUGCUGCUGCAAUUCAUCAAGUAAGACAUUGUCAAAGUCACGAAAAUCUGUUAUAGUGCAAGAAAAGGAGAUCAAAGAAGAAUGAAGCAGAUCUCAUUUCUAACAUUCUCAAUCUGCUUUAAACUUGCCAAAAGGACACGACUACGAGAUUAAUAUCUACACUAAUGCAAUUUCUGAGUAGAAACAAACAACCUUGUAAGCAUAUUAAACAAUACUAUGAUAAGCUUUGUCCCGACUUACGCUAGUUGGUUAAAGUACUUCUUUUUUCCUCAUAAAAUAUGCUACCAACUAUCGUACGACCUCCAACAGAGGUCGAGCUUCUUGACUAAUAUCAUAAGAAACCGUGAACUUUAUGAUGUAAUCUUUGAAAAGCAAACAAGAAAACAUAAAAGCGAAUCUCACUGAAGUCCAGGAACAGGUAACAUGGUAUAAUUGAUUUUUAAAGAAACCCCACAUAAAAACACUAGCUUGACAUCAAGAAACUGGAAAAAGAAAAACGUAUAAAAAUGGGAAGAAAAUUACAAGUUUCCUUCUGGAACUCAAGAGACAACAUAUGAUAAGCAUUAAAAAGCAGAAGAUGAAAAUUUUAUUACCUUGAGUUAUUUUCUUCCACAGAACCCUCAAAAUAUGAGGCUGGAGAGGAGCUGAAAAGGGCAGAAAUUUUGUGAAGGAAAUUCAAGAAUUACAGGAGCCCAGUUGGAAAACAGUGACAAAGUUGGGAACUUUGGGGGAGUUGGGGGGAGGAGGAGAGGAGGCCAUCAAUGAACCUGCUGGCCUGCUCCAUCAACUUUCAACCAUGGUUCCUCCCGAGUCCUUAGCCCCUCGUGCCUUAUGGCCUAUUGGGCCAAUUCCGCAAGCUUCAAGUUUGUCUAUUUCUCCAUUGCUGCUUUUCUUUUUUUCCAACAAACGUUAAUCCAUAGCUGCUUUUCAUUUCCUCCAUUUUUGGUCCACAGGAGGGAAAAAUCUUCUCUCUUUUUUUUUUUUUUUGAUAAGGGAUCAAUUUUUAACUUGUACUUUAUGCAUAAUAAAUUCACAACCAUAAGCUUGUAAAUCAGUAGUAUUUGUUUCCUUUAAAUUUGCCAUGAAACCGCCCCGUUUGGUACUUGUGGUUUUAUUUCCACCUAAAUGCCUAAUGAAAUAUUUGGAAAGUUGUGUCAAGUAUUUGGUCUAGAUUUUCCUAGUUACAGAGGAUUUAGCUGUUUAAGUGAAAUUAAAAAAAAGUUGGUCAUACUUUAAAACACAAAUGACAUGUUAUUUAUGUUAUAUUUUGAAUUUAUAUAUAUAUACAUUCAAAGAAAGAAUGAUAAAUUGAUUUGGGAGCAAGGACUGAGUAGUUUUGCCUAUUAUAAACCUAAUUUUUCUGUUUAUAAUAUUCAUAAAAAUAUAUUAUUUUUGGGAAAAAAAUUCAUUUUCAUAUUUUUAAUCUUUUUUUACCUCAAAUAUAUCAUAUCUUACAAAAAGUGUUAAAAUAAUUUUUCUCCAAAAAUUCUCUGAAAAAUGCAAUCCAGACGAGAUCUAAUUUUCUGUUUUAGCUAAAAUUUCAAUUCUUCCACAGUCAACAUGUCAAAGAAAUAAGAGUUUUUUUUUUUUUUUUUUUUUUGGGUUUGGAUGUCUCGUAAACAUGUUUAAACCUCCAUACUUUAUUACUUCAUCUUAUUUCAAUAAACAAAAGACACUCAAAACUUUUUCUUUAGAAAAAAACUAAAAAUUAGAGAACAUCUAUGAUAUAAAGGAAUUAUUAACUUUAAAAACUACUUUUACAAGUUGUCAUAAAUUCUUUCAUUGAAUCAAUUAACAAAUUUUUUCAUGAUAUUAAAGGUGAGCUUUUUGUUUGUUGUAUUAGAAACUUAAUAAAUAAAGCCAUACCAAAAUUCAUUUAUUAAUGACCCAAAAUCGACUUCUAUGCAAGAAAUCCAACAUGGGAUAUGCGUUCGAAGAUCAGCUCUUCAUGACUUGUAAGUAACAUGAUAUGAAUCCCGUUGCUCAAACGAAACUCACAAAUAGGGCUGCAAACGAGCCGAGUCGAGUCGAUCUUUGGCCUUAUCGAGUCGAGCCUUGAUUUAAUUUCAUCGAACUCGAACUCGAGCUCUACGAGCUGGUAAUUUUCAAUCGAGUCAAGUUCGAGCUCGAAAAAAAUAAAAAAUAAUUAUUUUUAUUUUUAAAAAAAUAAAUAAAAUAAUAUUUUUUCUUAAUAAAUAAUAAAAUAUUAAGGAUAUUUAUGUAAUUUUACUAUUAAAAAUAAUAUAUAUAUAUAUAUAUACACAUUCGAGCUCGCGAGUCUAACGAGUUUAAUGUUUUGAGCUCGAGAUCGAGCUCGACUUUGGCUCGACCAGCUCGAGUUCGACCCGAGCUCGAUAUUGAUCGAACUCGACUCGAGCUUGAAUCGAAUCACUCGCGAGCGGCUCGAUUCAUUUGCACCCCUACUCACGAAUAACAAAUCCGAAUCUUUAGUGAUUGACACAAGUUUAAUAGUGGAAUUUCUACACGGAUCCUUCUAAUUCCCGUAAGUGCAAACUUUAAGAAGGUAGCUGGAGCCACAAUCAAAGAUGAUUAUUUGAUUGAUAAGUCGGAAUGAACGCUCAAGAGAAUUCCGAAGCAUUGAAGGAUGCUCGCAAGAGCUUUUUAGGGAGCUUCACGCCCAUGCAUAAUAAUUUGUUUUACACGCUCAUUAAUCUCUAUGAUCAUGCUCGGCAUUCUAAUCGAAUCUUGAACAGCUUGAACUAUCGGUUGGACGACUCUUGAAGUUUCUUGGCACCAGCGCACGUCAUUGGAUUUGGAUCCACUGGGGAUGUUCAUGGAAUCGACUUGAGCAUGUCAAGCAUCUUGGACAGCUUGCACGACUUCAUCAUAACAUCACUUUGCUUUGCAUAAAUUUUGCAUGAAGCAAUAAACAAAAUGAGAUGCAAUUAACGAAAAAUGGUGCCAAGCUCAAUACACUUUAUUGUUGUUAUUAUUAUUAUUUUCUUUUUGUAUUAGUUUUUUGGACUAACAUUCAUGUAAACAUACCUACUACCUAGCAGAUUGCCAUAUUGACACGAAACAAAGGAUUCCUUUCUAGAAAAGAAGAAGAAAAGCAUUGGCAUAAGAAACAAAAUCCUGUGGUUUGGUAUAGUUGCAGACUUUAAAACGGUUUUAGCCUGUGGUUUUGAUCACGGAUAUAGUUGCAGACCGUAAAAUGAAUUAGUUGCGUACCAUAAAACGAUUUUAUACCUGAAAGGGUUCGGCUCGACUCGAACACGAUUAGUAAAAGAAUGUGGAAUCCCGUUGUUUAGAAGAAAAGGCCAUAAAAUCUAUCGAAUCUAUGAUUGUCACAAGUGUCAUCAUUUUACUGGACUUUUAGAUUGUAUCGGCAAUCCUGGUUUUAGGCAUUAUUUGAUAACCCAUUUAGCACCUAAAUUUAAAGGAUUUAGCAAAAUAUUGAAUAUCUGAAUUAAUUAAGUGGUAAUGAAUUUCCAAACAAAACUUGCUCCUAAAAAUAAUUGAUAAGUUAUUCACUUAUCACUUAUUGUGAUAUACACUCAAAUGUAUUAGAUUUAGUACUUGGCAAUUCAAUCACUUAAUGGAUUCAAAUUUCAGAUUUCAGAUUCAUGGCUUGUUUGAUAACCCAAAUCAAUAUUUAAACUUAAUGGACUUUGAUUUUAACAUGUGUUAGGCGCAUUUGAUAAUCAAAAAUUGAACAUCUGAAUUAAUUAAGUGGCACUGAAAUUUUUAGACAAAACUUGCUCCUAAAAAUAAGUGAUAAACUAUCUACUUAUUAGUUAAUGUGAUAUACACUAAAAUAUAUCAGAUUUAGUAUUUAACAAUUCAAUAAAUUAAUGAAUUCAUAUUUUAGUGACACUGAACUUUUUAUAUAAAAUUUGCUGCUAAAAAUAAGUAAUAAAGUAUUUACUUAUUAUUUAAUGUGAUAUACACUCAAAAUGUAUGAUAUUUAAUAUUUAAUAACUCAAUAAUUUAAUGAAUUCGUAUUUCAAAUUUUAAAUUAUAAUUUUCAGAUUUCAAUAUUAAUAAACACACCGUCAUACUUCAAUUUUUAAAUUUCAAUUUUAUCGAACGCAUCUUUACUUUAGCUUCAUAUUCACCUGCCAUGUUGUAUUUAUCGUGUUUUAUGCUUAGAAACACUGCACCAAGAAAUAGAACAAGAAGAAAUAAAGAAAAAUUAUGCUAGUACUCACAAAAAAUGUACAUGCCAUUCCGCUCUUGACUCAACCCUCGUGCUAUUUUGUAUUUGUCUUGGUUUAGGCCUAGAAAAACUGCACCGAGGAAUAGAACAACAAGAAAUAAGGAAAAAUUAUGCUAGUACUCACAAAAAAAAUGUACGUACCAUUCCGUUCUUGACUCAACCCUCGUGCUAAUUUGUAUUUGUCUUGGUUUAGGCUUAGGAAAACUGCACCGAGAAAUAGAACAAGAAGAAAUAAAGAAUAAUUAUGCUAGUACUCACAAAAGAUGUACGUACCAUUCUGUUCUUGACUCAACCCUCAACCCCAAUUCCCAAAUCCUCAAAAUCCCACCUCAGAAAUCCCAAUAAUUUGCAUCACUCUUGCAAAGUUUGUCUUUUUUGACGUGGGUUUGUCUUUUUUGACGUGGGUUUGUCUUAUUUAUUUUUCUUGGCAGCAAUUUUUUUUUUUCGUUUGAAUAAUUGAUGAGACAUGGAAAAUCCAAAAGAAUUGAGGUCUGAUGCUGAUUUCAGCUUCGAGUUUUUCCCAUUUGAAAUCAUAAUUGAGAUUCUCUCAAGAUUGCCAGUCAAAGUACUUGGCAGAUUCACCACAGUCUCCAAAUUAUGGUACUCUCUCAUCACAAGUUAUAUGUUCAUUAAUAAGCAUCUCAAGGAUUACUCCAUCUCGCUGUCUAAUAAGUCUUACAGCAGCGGCGACAGCAGCAGCAGCUUGGCUACCCCUUUUAGCUCUGUCUUGCUAAUUCCUAUUGUACUAAAGGAAUUAGUGAGACAUUCUUAUUCUAUGUUUUUUGAUAGCACUUUUGAUGGUAAUGGAAGUUUUGAAAUUCCGAUGUUGUAUCAUUGGCUUGAGAUUUUGUUCGUUGGGAAUUCUUGCAAUGGAAUAAUCUGUUUCACUGAUCAGAAGGCAUUUUUCGGUAGGAAAGUGUAUUUGUACAAUCCUGUAAUUAGGAGAAUGAAGCUUAUAUCCCAUAAUUGCUUUGCUGAUAUGAUGUUUGAUCGUAACAAAGUGUUUUGCAAACUGGGAUUUGGGUUUUGUGAGUGUACUAAUGACUAUAAGGUUGUGCGGAUCCAUUAUGUUAAGGACGAGGAGUCAAAACUGUUGGGGAAUGUAGCACCUGAGGUGGAGGUUUAUCGUUUGAAUGCUGAUAAUUGGAGAAGGAUUAAGGCAAAUGUCGAGUGUAUUGUCAAUUAUAGGUCGGUUUCUUGCAAUGGAUCUAUUCAUUGGUUGGCUCGAAAGAAGAAUGGACGGAUUUUUGAUGCUAUCAUGUCCUUUGAUAUUGCUCAUGAGUUGUUUUGUGAGACCGAUUUGCCUGUUCAGUGCCACUCAUUGAAGGAUGGGACUUUAUUGGUCUUCAAGGGGUUGCUUGCUAUUUUCAAGGAUGGCAUUAGCAUUAGAGAGUACGAAGGAUAUAAAUGCUACGAGUUAUGGGUGAUGAGGGAGUAUAAGGUUGCCAAAUCCUGGACUAAACUAUUUGUUUUGGAGACAAAACGAUCUGUUGUGAAGGCAUUUGGAUUUACAAAGAGUGGACAACUUGUGAUGCAGAUGCACGGUGAUAGGUUAGCAUCUUGGGAGCCUGAAGGAAACUGUCUGAAACAUCUAGAUAUUGAUGGAUUUCUACAUCAUGUGGAUGCUUCUUUUGUGGAGAGUCUUGUUUUAUAUGAAGGUGGAUGUGUUGCUUCAGCAGAAACAAAGUAAGAUCUUAAGAACUUUUAGCUCAUUUAUCAUUUGCUAUCUCAGUUAAAGAUCUGUAGCUUGUUGCUAGAGUGCUGGAUGUUUUUACUGUUUUCAGGAUAAAGUGUUUUAGCAUGCGUUGAUCAAUUAUCUCUGUGCUAGGAUGCAUUAAUGGUGCUAGAAUGCGUUGCAGCUAUAGAUGCAUCAGUCAUAUAAUAAAUAAAGCUUCUGCAACGCAGCAUAAUCUCUUUCUGAGUUCUAUACAUCACUACCAUGUUGGAAUUAUUUAUGGAGUAUCAUUGCCUACACAAUACGUUCCCCUAAACCAUUAGACUAAUUUGGUGUUCACCAAUGUUAUUUGUUCUGUUAUCAAUGCCAUUAAAGGGGAAGAAGUGUUCAAAUGCUGUCAGAGAUAGGCUGCUGGUUAGUAGUAUUUAUCGUUAUCCGGUCAUGAAAUACAUGAGUAGUCUAGAAAAACAUGGACCAAUUGUAUGACAUAUGCUGGAAUUUAUGGAUUUCAGUAUCUGAGCGAAAAACUACCUUGCAGUUCAUGCAAUCGCAUGGAUGUUAUUCUUUACAUAGCCUUCUUGCCUUUCCAGCAACUAGCCAUAUGCAGUUUGUAGGGUACUUUCUCAUCUUGAUAGCUGAUUGAGGAUCUCUUGGCAGUCACAGGUGAACAAGAUUACUUUGUUAAGACCAGGAUUUGGGUUUACUAACUGAAGAGAUUGAAACUGGUAGAUGAAUGCAUUGGAUAGUGUCCUUCUAUAGGAUAUUAAAGGAGAAGUAGGAAUAAGAAAAUUGAGAAGAGAGUACCUUACCCUUGCAAGAGAUGAGAAAAAUACGCACAAUAGCAAAUCGUACAGUUUGGCUCUGAUAACAGAAUUUAAUUAUGUAUAUUUUGGAUUCAAGUGCCUAAGAAACUAGUCCCUAUUAUAUCAAUUGUUUCUGGGAUUAAUCUAGAAUUUCCGUGCCUUCAACAAAGUUUUACUUCAAAUACUGUUUGACUCAUCAGUGUCAUCUAUUUCUUCCUCAAACUGGAAAUAGGUUUUAAGUGAGUAAGUAUCCUAACCGUCUCCCAUUCUUCCUGGAAAUUGGUUUCUAUCUCCCAAGAACAUUAAGAACCUGUUCAAUUGCAUUUGUUCUGUCUUUGAUAGAUAGGGUAAACUUGCAAUCCAGAAGACAAAUGCAGAAAUUUAACUGGUAUGCAGUUGAAAAGCUUCUAGGGAAGGAGCAGAAACAAAAUUAAUGGUAUAGUCAACAUUAAUGGCAUUGUUUAUUGCUUAUUGCUUAUUUCAAGCAUGAUUAAUAUAAUAGGUUGACUUACUAAGGAAUUGGCUCUCAGUUAAUGCUAAUUUUGAAUUGGUAUUAGGCUUCAUAUGUACGAAGUUGAAUUUAGGUGAAAUAAUGUUUAUACAUUAAAAGUAGGAGAUUUGGUUUUAUGGAAAAGUUUCUUUUGAGAAUUUAUCAAAGAGGAGAUUAAUGUAGCACAAAAAACCUAUAGAUAACUAUGAGGAGAAACAAUAGAUAUUUUGCAGAUGAGGAGAAUCAAUAGAUAUAUUGCAGCACCUGUAGAAUAGUCUUGCUUAGUAUCUAAGUCAAGAACAUACUUGGUACUCAUCAACCUUCUUGCUUUGCCAUCUGAAUAUCAAAUACUCUUAUUUGGUCCUGCUUUGAUGUUUCUGCCUCUGAAUAAGAUGUCUAGAAUCAGUUCACCACAUGAAUUUAGUAUGCAGCUGCUUUUGCUGUCCAAAUAAGUUUUCAGAAAUGAAAUAGAAUUUUUGUUUUUGAGAAGAAGAGCGAUCAGCAUUGGUGAUUUAACUGUUGUGAUUUUUGACUGGACUGUUUGUUGAGAGUUGAGUACACGUUGAUGCAUCAAUUACCAACAUGCAGAUGCUAUACUCCAUAAAUUCUGGUCCUUCAAUGGGGAUAUUUCUUGACUCUGUUUGUGUCUGACUUUGGUGAAAAACGUAGGAUACAUCAAAUAUUUAACUUGGCCCAUUUGGUAACGUUCAUGUUUUUUUGUUUUUGUUCUUUUCUAAGAACAGAACAAAAUACUUAUUCUGUUUUUAUUUAUUUAUUUAUUUUGCAAAAACUGAACAUAAACACGUUUGGUUUACAAAAUUGUUUAAAAAAUGAAAAAAAUCAAACAUGUUUGGUUAGAGAUGUUUCAGAGGAAAUUUUGAUGCCUGGCUGCCAAAGUCAACAGACUCAACACAAUGCAGUGGAAGAACUUCUUGGAAUCAGCACCAAAUCUGAAAGCCUCAAAAGAUAUCUUAUAUCCAGAAUAUGAUUUAACAUGUUAUUUUGCAAUCAAAUGAUAUCCUUUACCAAAUCCUGCAAUAAUAGAUGCAUAUGACGGACAUGCUAAUAUAAUCACCGAAUUUGUUAAACAUGUAUAACAUUAAUUAAUAACUAAAUAUUAAAUAAUCAGAAUAUUUCCACCAAAGUAUUAAGGCUAUUUUCUUUAUCUUUCUGUCUUGUAUUUUUUCUGUUUACAUACAAUACUUAGAAGAGCUGGAGGGUGGGGGCAAAUCACCAAGAACAAUUGCUGGAAAAACACAAAGAUAGAGCAACUAGAAACAAUGUUAAUUGUACUUAAACCAGAACAAUAAGCUUGGGGUACAUUUUCAGGUUUAACUUGGCUUCUUGCUUAUGCCCGGAUCCCACUCUCUUCAGCUAUGAUUUAAAUGCAUCGUGUUAAUAAAUAAUCAAACAAAAAUACCAACAAUAGAAGAUGGAAAAUCUUACUUGAAAUUCCCUGUUUCCUGUCGAAAUAAUUAACUCUACAACACCCACAGAAUAUUUUUGGGUUGUAAAAAUCUAUUGGUUUGCAAACAAGAAAAAAAAAAUUAAAAGGGCAAGUUUAGGUAGAGUUAAAGGGACAAACAUUUAUGAGGAAAGAAGAAAUCAGAAGGGAUCAUUCUAGGGCUUUAAUUCUGGAGAAAAAAGAAAAGAAACCAGAAGCAGAUGACAAAGAGAUCCAUGAUCUAAAGUGGGGAGGGCCGCGGGAAGGGUGCAGAGGAAGAGUAGGAGGAGAGGAGAUCACCAAUUUUAGAAUUUAGGGAGGGAGAAAGGAGUGAGGGUUUGAGAAAGUUACCUUGAACAGCUGAACUGAAGUCUCAGAGCAGGAGAUACAGAGUGCGACAAUGAAAAAUUGCUAUAAGGAGAAAUAAAAGGGCUCGUGUCCUAAAUGUUGCUUGUCGAACAACUAGAAACAUCUUUUUUGGUGUAUCUAAAACAGGGCCCCUCUUUUGAACCAUUUCAUAUUUGGCAAAAACAGAAACAACCGUAACAAAAAUUGUUUUUUGUUUUCGUCUGUUGAAUUCUCUGAACAAAAACAAAAAAACACCAAACAAAAACAUUACCAAACGGCCCCUUCUGAAAGUAAAUCUUCGUCGUGUUGGAGAAUUUUGAUAAGACAAUUGUCAGAAAGAAGUUAUUUUUGUUGGUGCAAAAGUUAAAGUAUAUUCUGUUAGUAAAUUCAGAAGCAAUCAAAAGACAGCUGCAUUUUUAAGAGUUUUUAGAAAAAUGCUAUUGUAUAACUUUCUUGAAGAGUAGAGCAUGAUAUAUAGGUUGUUGGAGAGGGUGGUGGGAAAAAUUUUGCAAGAAAAUUUUUGAGAAACUGCUUUCCAACUGAACAACUUCUGGGACUUUCAUAUGCUCACUGAAUUGAAUAGUAAUCUGUUUGCUUGUGGUAACUGCUAACUGUUGUUAUUGGGUGAUCCAGAGUAGUGAGAAUCAUUAGCUGCUUAGUCUUAUUUGCGGCAUUUCUUACAUUUGGCUGCUUUAGAAUGUAUUAAUCACUAUUCCAGGUCUAGGCUUUAAAGAUCUUCUUUUCAAACAAGUUAGAAUCUGGGGGUAGAAGCUCUGGGAGAGCAUUUUGUAAACCCUCUAAUAUUCCGGUAUCACCAACAUUAGACAUGAGAGGAAAGAAGGAAGCUUCGGGAGAGCUUCUAAUUACUCGAUUCUACCCGAGGCAGGGAAAGAUGAUUUGGGAAAGCAUCUGACCUGACUUGGCAGUGAGACCGUCGGCUUCCCCUCCUCUCCUUUGCCUCUUCGGCUUCGGCUUGGAGUGCAGAUAAUAACCAGCUAGCUUACUGUACCUAAGGGGGGGAAAGGAUGAACAAUUUGGAUCCAUGUUACCAGCCUGGCAGGCUUCUAAAGCACUGCCAGUAGCCAAAAUAUACACAUUAACGAACCCCAUCUUGCAACAAAUAAGAAAACUACCUUCAAAGUUGUCCUUCAUUUUCUUUUUUAGCUAUGAAAUCUAGUGUUUCUAUACCAGCCUGGUAGGCUUCUAAAGCACUGCCAGUAACCAAAAUAUACACAUUUAACGAACCCCAUCUUGCAAAAAAUAAGAAAACUACCUUCAAAGUUGUCCUCAUUUUCUAUUUUAGCUAUGAAAUCCAGCGUUUCUACAUUCUGAGAAGAUUUUCUUUUCCUGGGCAACAAAUUUUAAGUCUCAUUGCAUUUUAAUUUGGCUGGUUUUCUUGGUUGUCUGUUCUUUUUUUUUUUUUUUUUUUAACUUAAUGGUCCAUGAUCUCUGGAAUGAUUUGUUUUAGUUAGAAAAUCAGAAGAUUAUAUUGACUGUUAAUUAGAUGAGAGUUUCUUUAAAACUAACUUGAUGACAUCCAUGGAAACAACUUUUCAAUCCUUCAAAGGUUUCAAGUUCCAUGACAAUUACUGGAGAUGACAAAUUACUAGAUUAGCUUGCACAGGUGUAAAAUUUCCGCUUUUUCUAUUGUUUUACAUCCUUCAGAGAAAUUAUUGAGUGUUGUAACUUUCCAUUUACUGCAAAUACGAGCGAUUGAUAUAUUAAACACAGCUGAUAACGGAAUUUGAUGAUUGUCAGAGUAGAGUGGUAAGUUGACAGAUUGUUUAGUUUCCUGUCAGUAUUUCAUGAAAGAUUUUAAUUUGUUUGAUGUUGUCAUUUGUUUAGGUUGAACUUUAUGACUGGCAAAUUGGCUUUCCAAUUUAGUGUUCCAGUGAUGUGUAGUUUCAUCACCAUUAACUAGAGAAAGGGAAAAAAAAAACAGUUAAUCAAUUUUUUCCUCAUUCUUUACCUGUCUGGAGGUUCAUUUAAUUUUUUAAUGCUUCAACAGAUUUUGUCCUGUUUUGGUACAUGGUAUUGGUGAAAGUUGCACUUAAGAAGAUAAAGGCUGUAUGAUUGUCUUAUAUUCUCUUCCACAAAGUUGCAAGUUGAACUAUUAUCUUAUAGACAAAAUAGAACUUUAGCAAAAAGAUCUCUUACUGAUUUUUUGUGUCAUAGUUGAUAUUCUUGGUUCUUCAUACUAAUGCUGAUACUUUAAUGGCCAGCACAAUAGUAGCAGAAACUAGCCAAAGUAUGAGGAUCAUGGAUUCUCGGGAAUUGCUCUCAAGCAUGGAUACUCUUAAAGUUCCAAUUCAUGGUGACGAAGUAGCGGUGAGGGUAGCAGCUGAUGUUGCUUCGCUGGAAUGUGGUAUAAGUGAACUUAAAAGUCUGUGUUGGAGACGCCCAGCCUUAGUGUGUAUCAUGGCUAAGCCACGGGAUUCACCUUCUACUGUGCAACUUUGUGUAGAGAAUUAUUGCUUGCUUAUUAAGCAAGAUGAUCUGGGUUAUGUUCCUGAAUCACUAAGAGAUUUUUUGGCUAAUCCAGAAAUAUGUUUUGUAAAUGUUGGUCCUGACAGGUUGUAUCUCGGGCCAUUCUUCCUGGAAAGAAAUGGGAUUGAGUUCAGUCAUUUAGUUUACAGGGUUCUAAGGAAGCAUUAUUUUAGCAGAUGGGGGUUGAAGCCUCUUGCAGAUGAAGUUGGAGUUGUUCUUGAAGAAUAUCCUGCUAGGUUUGGCCUAGACUGCAGGACUGAAGCUUUCUCUGCUGAGGAUGUCAAGUGGGCCAUUUAUCAUGUCUAUGCAUCUUUUAGGAUCAGUAGUAAACUCUUUGGUUCACUUUAAACUUCCUUUUUCUUUUAUUUUAGUAAGCUAUUUCUUCUUUUACAAUUUUCGUAAUUUUUCAAACAGUUGUAAAACUGUUAAACCUACCAUUUUUCUUCCCUCCCUCUCUGUUUGUUUCGACCGCAAUGUAUCAUGUAUUUGUAACGGUUCACAACAUGGCAUCCGCUUGGACGACUUGAACCUCCCUUCUCCAUAGUGGUGGUGCAUGUUUACUUAUUUGUUGCUAAAUAGUCUGUACUUCAGGAAUGCAGUAGCAGUAACUUUGGUGCCUAGCAAGUCAGUUAGAUAUUCUAACGUGUUAUUGUGUAACACUUAUCACAAAGGGCUGACUCUAUGUAGCAUUUAGCUAUGCAGAACAUUAAGAUCUAGGAAUUUGCAACAGGUUUGAUCCAUUUUCUAGUCCACACUCUGGCACUCCACGACUCAGUUUCCUGGAUGUGGUCUAUACUUGCUUAUGUAAAACGUCCAGAGGGAAAGAGAUUUGGUAGAGUAGCAAUGACAAAUGAAUUUCCUUUUGCUAUGCAACAAAGAUCUUUUGAGUUUUCUAGGUAGCUAAGAGGUACAAGCCACGCAGAAGUUUGCAGAACCUCAGUUUCCAGGAUGCAUGACAAAGAUGAAAGAUGAAAUCACCACCCCCUUCUGUUAAGUGGAAUGCUGUUUGAGCUUAACCUGAAUACUUGGCCACAACUUUAGUUCUGGACUGUAAGUACAAUCUCCCAUAAGCAUGCUUUUUCGAGUUUUUAUUAUCUCUACAAAGUGCAGAACAGCUAUGUAUUGAAUUGGCUUUCAUCAUCUCUAAUUACAUUAGUGAAAGGGCCAAAAAAACAUAGAAAGAAAUGUUCUGAGGAUUCCACAAUAGAGUUGUUUGUCAUCUUACAUUACCUUUCAAGGUACAACAGUUUUCCUGUUGUGAGUUUCUACAUUGUGAUAGAAUUCGCCGUUAAUCCCAAGGUCUUUAAACUGUUGAUCUCUAGUAUCCCAUGAAACUACCGUAUCAGUUAUCCAUCUGAAGAAGAAUAAGUUUGCCAUCCUGUGUAAACCCCAAUACCUUCUUUGUCUCAACAAUAAACUGUUUAGUCCAUGACUUGGUAACAUUAUACUCCUCCAUCACCCAUAUCUCAUAAUAGCAUUUCAUCUCUUCUUGUUCUCUUCCAUUAGGAGGGAGAUUCCACGAACAGAACAGCGCAAGUAACUCCUCGAAUACCAACAGAACCCCAUCCGACAAAGGUGAACGUUCAGCAGGCAGAACUAUUGCUGAGAACACCUCAUUACUGACAUGAAAUGCCAUGAUUGCGUCCCAAACCUCAUCAUCCCUUCUGCUUGCCAGCCAAUUUAUUGCUCCAUCGCACGUUACAGGCCGAUGAUGAGCAUAAUCAGCGAUACAAGGAACACCUGCCUGGAUUGUUCUCCAUGAAUCAGUGAUUAAACUAUAAACUUCAACUUCGCAAGCCACUUUGCCCAACAUGGUUGCCUUGUUAUAGGGGUAAUGUAACCAAUCCUCACAAUCUUAUGCUGAUCAGUCCAUCGACAAUAUCCUAAUACAAGGCUGAAAAACACUUCUGCGUGGCCAAAAAACACAUCUCUUGGGAAUGCGAGAGAGAAGAUAGUUUGGAAACGGUUGGUUGCUGCAGGAUUAUACAAGAAGAGUUUGGUUCCUAAAAUUCUUCUCAUCCCAAAGGCUAAACACAUUAAACCAUGGCAUGAACUGCCUAUAGAAACAAGUUCAUGUGCCUCAAUACAUCGUAAAGGAAAAUGAUAUUUUCUAUGUUCAAGAAACCUCUCGUCUCUAAGUACUAAGCAAAAUUGUUUGGAUGGCUGAUUACUACAAGUAAGACUUUUCUUUCUUUGGCCUGACAAGGAUAUUACUCGGAAAUGAACUUCUAUGCAUGUGUAUGAUGAUGAAACUUGGGCUGGUGAUGAGUGAAUGCCAUCAUUUGCAGACUAGUAAAAAUCUUACAAGGUACUCUACUGGCAACCUCACAAGAAUUUCGAUCAGGAUUUCAAUCGGGAUAUGAUUGCUGGUGUUGGUUUCUGGGCCAUGUUGCCUUGGAAUUUCCAUGGUUCUGGUGCGUGUAUUUGCUAGGAGUGUGUGAAACAAUUCAUUGCCCCGUAAUGGUUUGAGAGAAAUUGUUGUAUUUGCACCUUUGGAUAGGUCGAAAGAGUCAAGAGAGAGCGGCCAUGCCUGUUCGCAGACGAUGCACCAUUAUUCUGAUGACCUGGUUUCCCAAAAGAGUUGUUUAUGCAUUUAACAGUAACAGUCAUAGUAAAAUAGUCAUAUUGCUUGUUCAGCGAUGGGACAACUAUUAUGUCUGGUGGAAGUGGAAGGUCAUGGGUUCAACCCUUAUCUCCUAUCUUGCGUUCCUCCGAUGGAAAAAUUCUGUCGAUUCCGCAUUCCCUUAAAUUAGGUUAAAGUAGGUUGUACAAAUGUUAUCGUUGCGAUAAAAAAAAGAAAGAAAGAUGGGACAACUAUUAAUUAAUACUUUGUAAGAUUUUGAUAUGUUUUACCGUUCAGUUAAAGGUAAGUCAAGAAGAGUUGAUAGAUUCACCCAGAAAUAGAAAAAUUAAAUUAAAAAAAAUCAUAUAUAUAUUUUUUUAUAUAUGCCAAAAUUAAAAUGAAUCAUAGGUUAACAGGCUAAGAGUAGAUAAGUUUUCCAUGGAAAAAAAAAAAAAGAGAACUCGUACAUCCUAAAAUGAGAGGGAAUCAUAAGGCUUGCUUUAAACCAAGCAUUUUGAGACAUGUUAACCACACCAUCCAUAUGCCACGGGGCCGGGGGGAGAUCAGAACAGAAUAUUUUUGUUCAAAUAAGCUAUUAAUAUUGCUGCACAAGAUGCUGAUUGUUUCCAUUAAGAGGAAAUACCAGAACAACAAAUCGAUAGUUCGAUCAAAAAACACUCUUUUAUCAAUGUAUGUUGAGAUUCAGUAGCCUACUCGGCAAUGAAAGAAGAGAUGAACCUGUUAAAAGCCUCUAAACAUAAAUUACCUCCUCUGCAACUUCUGGUGCUAACGUUGAGCUAACCUGCAACAAAAGCUACAUAAUGAGUCAAAAUCUUAAUACACAUCUCAAACAGAGAUUUCAGUGCCUAAAGAAUGUCCACUGCAAAAGUUAGAAUAACUUCGCAAGAUCUUAGGAGCUAGGAGUCACUUCCCUUGUACAGUAUUCACAGGUAAGGCUCUUGGAGAAGGGUACAUGGGCUGAGGUAGAGAUCUACAUCCAUGGUCCACUAGUAUGAGUAACUCCCUUGAAGAACUCUUCAAGAAAACAAUGUACCACUCCCCCUGAUAACCACUUGCCUGAUUCACUUUCACAUGAAAAUCAUGGCAUGCCAUCAGAUCUUCCAUAAUCACAACCUAUCAUAAACGCUCUCUUUCUUGUGGCGAGUACGAUCAGGCUUAUAGUUCAUCUUAAUGCCAUGUCUGCUGCAUACCUGACUUAUAGUCCUGUCUUUUUUUCUAACUGAUACUGGUCACAUAGCCCAAAAUUUGGAGCACAAAGACACCCAAAAAAGUGUAUGCUCCGUUUCACUUAUAAACCAUCCAGUAGUUUGUGUUACUUUAAACAGUGCAAACCAACCAUUACCACCUCCAAAUCUUAAGCUUCUGUACUUCAGCCAGUUAUUGGGCUUGAAAAAAUCAAACUCGCCAAUGUUGAAAGUUACUUGAAGAUAUAUCCUCACAUUGAACCAUAUCUUUGGUCACAUUUCAUGUGUAUGCUGCACUUCCAGAACUGUACAUCAUUAACUGGUUCAUUUGCAGCAACAGUCAAGCGUGCAAAAUAAGCAUAUCAGUACUUCAAAUCAAUUACCAAACGUGCAUAAAUCAAGAAAAGACAAGCAAAUUAAUAAGCAGUCCAACAUUGAAAAGGACUAAUAAUUAAAACUUCCAAUUAUCACAUUACCUAUAAGAUUGUAUAAAAUAUCUAACAUGUCACUAAAAUAUUAUGAUCGUAGAGUUUUGGCCACUGAAUUCUUAAAACCUUCAAAUAGCUCACCCAACUACUAAAUCCCUCAACAAUUGGUCAUUCUGUCUAACGUCAUUGUCAAGACUUCUUCAUUCAGUUAAAUCUAGGAUUUUUACCUCUACAUAAAAUAAAUUAAAUUAUAGAAGCAAAGAAAAUUACCAUAUAACAUGGUUAAGAAAAUGAAAAGAGAUGGAGAAGAAAUAUGUCAACAAGAAUAAGGAAAACACAAAUUGAUUGAUUUUUCUUCUUCUGUCUUUUAUCUUUCUUUUAUGAGAGUAUCAUCUGUGGAAAUAAAUGCCCCUAAACUUAGUCAAAUUAAAGAAAUUCAAUGGCCAUAAUGGACCGAAUGACCAUUUGUAUACAGAAUUAUUGACCUAUCUGAAACUUCUAAUAGUUAAGUGACCAGAACACUAAGAUGAGAAUAAAUUUAGCAGGCUUAGGUAAUUUUACCUAACUCAUAAUAACUCCCCCCACAAGUGGAAACUCUCUGCCAUACCUGAAAAUAAUAGAGGACAAAGUGAGUAACUUUCAUUACCAAUGCAACAUUUCUUUCUUUCUUUGCAUAAACAACAAGAUUGAUAAGGAAAAGCACUUCAGAAGUUAAAGGUCAUGCUUUCAAAAUGUCUGAAUAUAAACAUAUAAAAUGUGACGGAUUUAAGCUAUUCCAGCUGUAGUACUUAAGCUGGAAAGUUAAAACCAUAAUCAAAAUGUCCUACCGCAGGCACCGACAGAAACUGUACAAAACAUUAUCUAAUUAGCAAUGAACCAAGCAUUUAGGAGAAAUUACCAUUUAGCAUGAGAUAAAAGAAGAAACAAGCACAGCUCAGCAACUGUCUUCAAAUUUAAUGGAAAUUCACAAGAAAAAAAACACACGAAAGACAUGAUCUAGCAUGAUCUAUAAUACUUUUUUGGGCCACUUUUUUAGACGGUUGAACAAGGGCCAAUGGACCACAAAGAAGGAUUGGACUCACACAGAGUCAAAAGAAGUAAGAAAAGUAAUUCAAUCAGCAAUAACGUGUCAAGAAAAAAAUGACAAAUGGCAAAACCAUGAUUAAAUUUGCAAUCAAUCUUGAUGCAUUGACCAAAAAGAAGUUGUUGAAUCAAACUUUAAUGCUAAAAGAACCAAUGCUAACAGUUGCCAAUCAUCUAUGCUUGCAUGAAUUUGUAACAGAUUUACCUGCUGUUAAUACAGUUGUAGGAAGAAUACAAUCAAUGCCAGUGAUGUAAUACCUCCACCUAUCACUGGGUCCACAAGUUUCAGAUGGAGCGAACUUUGACGGCAACAAUUACCUGAAAACAGAAGCAACCCAAGAAAAAAAAGUUUCAGAACAAAGUCAAACAAAUUCAUUCAACAAAAUGAAAAUAUAGUAAAACAACUAUAAUAGACUAAAGACUAUAGUUCUACUGCACUAUAAUAUAGAUAUGCUGAUAUCAGAAUGAAUAUUGCUGUUAAUUUUGGAGGAUAGAAAAUUAUAGCUUGCGGUCAAGGAUUAUGAGUUUCAAAGAUUAGAUUAGAAGGAACUCAGAAUAAUUUAUGUGACUAAAGCAAUAGAUUUAUUGACCCUUAAUAUUAGAACCAUAAGAUAUAUUUCUUGAACAGAUACAUAUAAUAUUCUAAGAAACGAGGUCAUUAUGGGUUCUCCAAAUGGCAGAGGAAGCAAAAAUAGCAUUUAUGUACAGAGUAAUAAUAUCACACCUACUUGCUGAUAUGCUCAAGAUGAUUUUCCAACCAAAGAAACUCGAAUAAGAAGUCUUACACGUUGAACAUACCGAGAAUUAUUUCUGCUAAAAUAAGACAGUAUUACUCCUUGUUAUAUAUAUACACUAUGGAGUUUAAGAAUCAAUCAUAGCUAUGCCAAAAAAAAAAAUCAUAGCUAUGCAAGAAAGUUUUACUAGAGAACUGCAGAAGUCUUGCCAAGUUUUACCACGACCAAUUGAAGUGUCACCAAGGGAAGCAACUGCCAAAAGGAAUACGUCAUCACUAGGUCUAAAUUGUGAACCUAAAAAAUCUAGAGCUUCAAAAUCUCUUCCCCAGUAUGUAAAUUUGUUGGCAUGCUAAAAUGAAUUUUGAGAAAACAAAAUUUUAUAUAGCUAAAUCAGGUGAUAUAGAAGCGAAAUUUCUUAAAAACUGUAUCAGACUAUGAAAGCUUAAGGAAAAUAAACAUGGAUGCCAGAGAUGUUAGAGAAAGUCUAAAGAGGCACCGGAUCAAUACAUUGGCUUUUCAGAAGAUUUGCAAGCCUCUUCUGGAUAAAAUACUUAUGUAUGGGGAUUAUCUAACCCAUAUUAUCUAACUGUAAAAUAUUCAAAGGAUAAAGCAUAGCAAAAUAUGAAGAAAACUCAGCAACUUCCCUUUCGACUCUAUUCAAUAGAUGAGAUGCUCAUAUUUAGUCAUGCUGUUUACCUGUAUAAUUACAAUCACUAAGUGUGCUAAGUGUUGAUGCAUGAUUAGGAAAUGUCUAACAUAUAUCCAGAACACAAAUUCUAGAUUUUGGCCGUGGAAAUCAUCAAUGGACACACAUAAAGGUGUCAGAAUAGUGUAGCUCUCAGCAUUUAGCAGGAGUCCAGCAUGAAAGACUGAGGCAUUUUAAGAAAAUUUGAUACUCAUUAAAGAAAAUUGCAAGAACAUAUGAGCUGUUGGCGAGAAUAAUCGUUUAAGAUAGAAGGUAGGUCGUCUAAUAGACAGCAGUGCUAAAUCCGAACCAUAACCAGACACUGGAUGGAAAAACUGUAUAUGAGUAAUAGGAAAAUGCCUAAUGUCUAAAUUUGGAUCAACAUAGUUGAAGCAUAUAAAAGAGUAGUAAACCGAGUCACUAGCAUUGAGCUGUGCUAGUGCCUGGUGCUAGUGUGAUACCAAAAAAAAAACGGAAAGCUGGCUGCCAGUUAACAAAGAAAUGGUGAUUAGGAGUCUUUCUCAUAGCACCAUGUAAGGAAGGGGAAAUUCUCCGAGAGCGGGUGGGUAGAGCUUUUGUGGUACCAAAGAUGCCCAAAAAGCUAAGAUAAAAAGUUGGCUUUUAACUCAGAAUAAGACCUACUUCACAGAAAGAAAGAUGCUAGAAUUUCCUAUAACAAAACCUAGCAAUAAUACAAGCCUUUAUCACCUAUUCAAAGAUUUAAAACAACUUUUAGAAUUUAGCAAAGACCUCUUACAAGCUUGGGGAAGUUUCUGUAUCUCAUCUUCUAGUUGCAAUUAAAAAGUGCCACUCCAUUGCUCAUCCAGUGGAGUUCAAAGUAGAACUUUAAAAAACUCAUUUGAGCAAGAAACAACAUGAUCAAUUUGGGUAAUAUGCCUCCUAAAACAAAAUGGCCUUCAGGCCUCCACUCCAUGAAAAAAGAACCACAUAUGAGGUCGCACACAAAGAAGUUUUACAUAAAACAAGAUCAAUGUCGGUCUUCUACAGCCAGUCCUAGCUUUCUUCUUUACGUCCCAUCCUACUUUUGCACAGUCAAUCAGUUAUUCAAUGCAUAAAGACAUUUUUCACCCUCUCUGAAUUUGCAGCUCAUAAAAAGUCCAGCUUGAGUUUAGAACAUAUACAGGACACAUAAGUAUACAAUAGUUUAGACAAAAAACUAGUGCAUUAGGCAUCCAUUAUGCAGAAUGUCUGCAUGGCAUAUUGAACUAGAAAUGUGUUCUGUAUGAUAUCCAUCGAAAUUAAAAGUAAUGCUUUAUUCAUGUUAGAAUAUAAGAGAGAGAGAGAGAGAGAGAGAGAGAGAGAGAAAUUUUAAUCACGGAAGAAAUCCAUGAGAAGCAUAAUCCCAAGGAACAUCCUUUCUGUUUACACACAUUCUUCCCAGUCAACAAGAAAGACCUAGAGUUAAAUAUCAUUUUUGACCCAAAAACACAAAAAAAAAAAAGAAAAAGAAAAAAGGCUAUUGGUUUUACCUCUAAUUGUCUAGUAAAAGAUUCACAACAUAAUGAUAUGAAGACACAAGUCUCCUUAUAAGCAUCAAACUUCCUCAGAUCUCAAAGUCCAAUAUCUUCAAAGCAAGUCAUUGAUGCUCAGAUACAGCAUAAGAAGGAUAGCUAACAGUAUGCUCCAAAAUCCAUUCUUCUUGGCCUGCAAAAGGAUAGCGAAAGAAGAGAAAUACCUGAAAGCUAAAUAUCAAUGUGACAUUGGAUAAAUACAAAUUUUAAAGCAAGUGAAAUCAAAAUUCCACAAAAAUUUCAUUUAGCAUCAGAUACAAAGAUGUUGAUGCAUAUCAAAGCUCCAGAGUCUCUAAACAUAUGUUGAGAAGAGCAGAUGAAGCCCUUUUAUGCAGAAAGACAUUUAAAAUUCAAAACUUUCCCCACAUUAAAAAUCAAACAACCUAAGCCUGAAGGGAGGAAAGGUAUAGUUGGGAUCCAAAUAUAUCUGAUAAAGCUUAGAAGUAACUAUAUUAGCAGAGAUAAGGGAUCAACACUUCGGGUUUUGUCAUAACGAUACUCACUUUGAAGGACAAGAAUUUCCUCUAUCAGUAGAAUCAGUUCAAAAAACAAAGAACAGCAAUAACUGCAGAUUAUGUACAUUUAACUAAGCCAAGAUAAGACCAAAGGAGCUUGAAAUGCAAAUAGUCCGUGGUUCUAAACAUGCUGUGAAACUACUAGCAAAAAUUCAUAGGUAGGCAUUUGUUGCACAACAGAUCUGCAUACAAAAUAGCAGACAAGUAAACACAACCAAUUAAGAAACACAAACAGAUAAGUUGAAAUCAUCUUGCCUUUUCUUUUGAUCCACAGCUUCCUCUUCCUUUUGUUCAUAUUUCUAAUCCAUAUGUCCAUCCAGGUUAGCUUGUUCAUCCAGUAGGAGCAAGCUUUCCAUGUAUGUUAUCAAGAAACAGCUAUGCGGGCAAUACUUAGGAAGCCCAAGAUUCUUCACUUCCUGCUCCUUAAAAUCAUAUGCCACCACUUUUGAAUCAGGGGUGAGAAGCAGAAUAUCACAGUUUUUAGUAACCCCUAGAGACCAAACUAUCCUCUGUUCCGUUACCACAUUGAACAAUCUCUCCCAAGAGUUGGUCACACCAUACUCUCUCAUCACCCACAAACUCCAAGUACCAGUCCCUUCAAGAGCUGCAAAAUUUCCACAAACAAAAAAUGCAAGCAUGUCCUUGUAUUCCUUGAGCAAUGGACCUCUAUAAUCCCCCUCCAUCUCUAAAUCCGGCAACUCUAGUGUCCUAAAAUCUUCACUUUUAACAUCAAAAGCCACAAUCAAAUCUUCAUCGUGUCGUUCAGGAUGAAAUGCAAGCCAAUUAACAAACCCAUUCACAUAUAAAAUUCGCAAUUGGCAGUAAAUAAUCCAAUUAACGACUAAAUUCUCAAUCUUUCUCCAAGAACCUGUACUCAGAUUGUAGACCUCAAUCUCAGUCUUCUCCAGGUCAUAGGGAGCUUCACAAUUUGGGCUAUCAUAUAUAAUCCUAACCAACUUAAAGACACCUGCAUCAAAAUCGUAACCACAACCAGGGGAAAUCCAACUAAAUUCCUUAGAUAUCCCUUCACAGCUAGAAUUCCUAAUGGUUAUAAUUCUCCUAACUGAAGGGUUCCACAAAUAGACAACCCGACCGUAUAAUACGUCAUCAUUUUCUGUGAGGCAAAGCAAUCCAGCACAUGAAUCAACAACCGAACAUGACCCAGAUACAAAAUCAAUGGGGGGUUUCAAUUCUAAGACCUUCGCUUAUCCAUUAGGCCCAUCAGAUAACAGAUGGUAUGCAGUUUCUCGCUUUUCCCCGUCCAAAAACAUAUGAAAAAGAUACCCAGUUGAUGGAUCAUCUUUAUAACUAGAAAAGCAAUUACUAAGGUGGGUUCUAAUAAACGAUGGAGAUCUUAUAAAUUGACACCAUGAUUUGCGAAUGAAAAUGAAAUUGGCUAGACUUCUUGAAGGCAAUCUUACAAGAAUGUCACCGAAGAUUACUUCUUCUGGGAUGCUUUGAUUCCUUUCGCCCGCCAAUCGCUGUUUUGCUCAGCCAUUGACUCGGAUUAAUUAGAUGGGAGAUAUCAGGUUGAAGAUGGUGGCAGAAUUAGCAGCGAAUUGGAGAGGUCGCCGUUCGGGGAGCAGAAGAGUUGAUUAACUGAAGUGUUUGCCGAUUUGGCAGGGAGUUAUAAAGUGACAGUGACAGAUCGGAAAUUUUGGAAUUUUGUACUAUUGCGUGUCAUGAAUUCAUUUAUUAAAGGCCAUGGAAUGUAAUGCUCGAAUUUUUUUUUUUAAAACGCUCUAAAAAAACAACUAAUUCAUGGUUAUUACAGAAAUACGGUUUCAUUUGUAUACAUCACCUUCUACUAUGCAAUUUUAGGCUCAAGAAAUAGUAAAAUACACAUAGUUGCAUGUGUAUUUGAAGAUGAGUAUAAAACUUGUGAGAAAUAUAUAAAAUAAAAUUUUACAUGAUUUUAGCAAAAGCAUAAAUGAUGGAUUCUGAACCAACUUCCCUCGCGUAAAUUGAUGAGUUGAUCAUUAGGUAAAGCAUAAAGUGCAAAUCUGGUUACAAGUUAGGAUUUCAAACCUUUGCACAUGUUUUAAAAUUUAAAUGGUAUGUAGUAGUGCAUCCUUUUGGUUUAGAGAUAAGAUCCUCUUCCUCUAAUUUUUCUUAGUCCAAUUGAUCCCUCCCCUAAUAUAGGUUAAACCUACGUAUAAAACUAUAAAUGGUCGGUUGUUACUCUGUAGUUUUAGUCAAAGUAUGGAUAGUUUGAUACACAUACGCAGAAUGUGCUUUUUAUUACAAAGUAUAAAAAUGUAAGAAAAGUAGAAAUUGCACAUUUUGCAUGAUACUAGGUAAUCAAAUUGCUUAAUCAUGUAUAACAAUAUAUUUAGCGCUUUUAAACUUUGAAGUAUACAAAUAUGUUUCCAUGAAUAUCAUUAAGCUCUUUUUAACAAAAUCCUCAGCUAGUCCGGACUUAAAUGUUCAAAAUAUUGCCCAAAUUUAACAAGUUCAAUCAAAUGACCUAGAGACUACUAAGGUUGAGCAUAGCAUUAACAAGUUAAAAUACUAGAAAUGUCUGUGUAACCGAAAUCAUAAAUUCUUGAAGGGAAAAACUUCUACUUGGAAGAAGAUAGUUGUCGUCUAAAAAUUAGUAAGAAGAAAUUUGGAAUAAAAAGGACGAGUAACCGUAGAGAUUGCUGAUUUGGAAGCCAAGCAUAAGUGACAAUUCGGCAUAUGGUAAUUUUCUUGGAUUUGUGCGCCAUUGAUUCAGUAUGGACUACGGCCCAUUACGACUGCCGUUACAAUUGUUUGUGGCAAUUUAUUUGAUGGAGCCUUAUGCCAAUGAAUUAGUUCCUCAUGGAUUUGGUGUUUUUAGGAUAUUUUUUUAAAAUCGGCUAGAUUUCUUGAAGGCAAUCUUACAAGAAGAAUGUCUACUUCUUCUGGGAGGCUUUGAUUUUUUUCGCCCACCAAUUGCUUGUUUUGCUCAGCCAUUGAUUCGGAAUAAUUAGAUGGGAGAUAUCGGGAUGGAGAUGGUGGCAGAAUUGGCAGCAAAUUGGAACGAUCGCCGUUGGGGGAGCAAAAGAGUUGAGUAACUGAAGUGUUUGCUGAUUUGGCAGGGCGUCAUAAAGCGACAGUGACAGAUUGGAAAUUUGGAAUUUUGUACUAUUGUGUGUCGUGAAUUCAUUUAUUCAGGGCCAUGGAAUUAUGCUGUGUGAUGAGUGGUUGUGGGUGAAAGGAGAAGAGGUUAUAAAUUAUUUAUUUAUUAGAUGUAAUUGAGAUUGUGUGUAUUAUUGAAAUUAUUUUUGGAGUGUGACUGUAGAUUUCAAAAACAAAAACAUUUUAAGGAGUCUUACUAUAGACUUCAAAAUGUGUAGAAUAUUUCAAUUGUGUACACAAAAUUUAGCUUUACUAGUAGGGACAUUGACCAAAUGAUCUUGAAGUUUUCAAUGCUACUCUCAAGACUUUCCUUUUCCUUUUUUUCAUUGUAGGAUUUGGAAUCUCCUUUAAAGCCAAAAACAAAAAAAAUCAACGGCACGACACACGUGCAUUGUACGUGUUUUUUACUACAAAGUGCAAUAAAUCCAAUGAGUGUAGAAAUGAUAAUGUUACAUGACACGGAGUAAUCUACCUGUUUAAUGAUAUAUAAUAAUCUUAGGCAACUUUUUAAGCUUUGAAGCAUACAAAUAUUAUUUCCAUAAAUAUCAUAUAGCUGUUUUAACUAGAUCCUUAGCUUGCCCCAAGUUAAAUGUUUUGUAACUUUCUAAUUUAAACAAGUUUAAUCUAGGUGAUAAUUAAUCAAGUAGCUUACUUGAACUCAUUAGCAGUUUGGUCAACUGCUUGACUCGAACUCGGCGAUGACCGAAUUCAAGUCAAGUUUGAACUGCUUGAUUGAGAUUUCGAGUCAAAUUCGAGUACAGAUUUGGAAGAAUCGAAGGUUCGACAAGCUCUAUCGAGUUUUCUAUUGAAUAUUUGAUUAUUAUAUUAUUAUUUUUCAAAUUAAUAUUUUAGGUUUAUUUGUUACAAUAUUUAGCUAUCAUAUAUUUCAAAACUGUUUAUCGAGUUCGAAGAUAAGGCUUGAAAAUUUUUUGAGCUCUGACAAGUCAAGCUCGAACUCAUAAAAAACUCUAGCAAGUUAAGUUCGAGUUCAAGUUCAACUUAGAAUACUCGUUCGACUCGACUUGAUAUCGCCCCUAGUUUAAUUUGGAGACAUAGAGACUUCUAAGAUUGAGUACACCAUCAAGAAACUUGCAAUCCUUUGACUCGUUGAACUGAUGCAUUUUCAAUUAUAAUCAGAACUUCUUAAAAGGAAAUAAAAUUAUGGUAUGAUAUGCAAAUGAAAAGAAAAUUGGCUAGAAUUCUUGAGGGCAAUUUUACGAGAAAUUUAACAACUAUCACUUCUACUGGCAAACUUUUAUUGCCAUUUUUCUCCUCCAAGGAUUACUAGAAACUUACAAUGGUGGGAUUAAUUCUAAUAGUUGAGGUUAAGAUUCUCUAGGGCUCUGAUUCCCUUAUCCUUUCUUGUUUUUUAAAUUAAAUUCCACAUCUUUCUUGUUAAAAAAAAUUUUAAAAAUAAGUAUAGAAUGGAAAUUCUAAAAUAUCUAACAUCCAUAUAUAGCAUAGUAAUCUAGAUAUAUGAGAGAUAUAAAAUUUCAAAAGAAAUCAACUAAAAAAUAAAAGAAAUUCUCACAUAGAAGUUUUAGGAGAAGAGAAAACUCGUACAAAAAAUUCCUUCCAACGGACGAAAUAAAAACCAGAAAGAGUGUUCUCCCUUAUGGAGAAAAGAUAAAUCUUUAUUUCCAUACGGGUUUCUAAGCAUGUGUACAUGUAUUGCAAUAUUGUUGUAUUUUGAUUAUAUUCAUCGGUUUUGUGUGACUUACAUCUUUAUUUUUGGUUAAUUAUUUAGGGGAAUAAAGAAGGAUCGAUAGAGAAAAUAGUGGUAGUGUUGUACGUUAUAAGAGGCCGACUUGUUAGGAAGCCAAAUUGAGAGAUGAAAUUCUUUUUUUUUUUGUGGAGGGGGAGCGGGUAAGAAGGAGAUCUUGAUUCUAAAACCUCCUACUUAUAAUCAUUCCUUUCUUACCACUUAACUCAACCCUGCCCAAGAUGAAGUUGGUUAAACACUCGGUGGCAUGUGCAGCUCAUCUAAAGGAACACCGUAUUGCUCUUUAGUAUUCAGUAUCUAAUAUCAGUUGCACGUAUAUUCUUUGCAUAUAAGCGUUUUGUAAAGUAGUCAUUGACAAAUUAAUUUAUGAUAUGUAAUUUUUACUUUUUUACCAACUAAUACUAAUCUAUCAAAAUCAAAACCAAAACUACGUGCAAUCAAGGUAAAAUCCUUUCAUGUUUUAGUCCCGUUAGAGUCUCCAAUGCAUAUGAUUCUCCUUACAGAAGGGUUCUAAAGAUUAAUAAUUUGACAAAAAAAAUAUCCUUCUUUUCACUAAGCUAAAGAAAGUUACUGCACGAAUUGAGCAAGACGAAAAUCCAAAAUAUUCAGGGCUUUUGAUUUUAAUGUUGCCAUAAUUAUUUGUUUUCCACAUCAAUAAACAUGUUUUAGAGAAUCAAUUCAGAUUGUUUUUCUAGCUAGAACUGCACUAAUUAAGAUGGACACGAGUAUAGCAUAGAGAUAUAAUAAAAGUACACCAUGAUUCAUGAACAAUAUAGUGGGGAUAUUAUCGAAUCCUUAUACUAUAUAAGAUUGAGAUUUAGUGCCUGUUUGAUAACAUAAAAAAGUGCUGAAACUGAAUUCAUUCAGACAUUCAGAUGUUGUGAGUGUUUGAUAAAUAAAAAUUCACCUGCUGAACUUAUUAGGUGGUGCUGAAUUUGUAUGUAUUUUUUUUCAGCACAAGAAUCGUAGCUGAAUGCUUAAUUUGAUAAGAAUCAAGAGAUUUACUUCAACUACUUUAUCUUAUCUACCAAAUAUAUCCCUGUUUGUUAAUUACAUUCAAAAUCCUUAUCUAAUUAAACAACCUAAUAUUCCUUAUUCAAAAUCCUUAUCUAAUUAAACAAAACAACCUGAUAUUCUCUAUUCAAAUUUUUUUUUUAACAAUAGUAUUUUUUUGCAGUAAUUUUCAUCCACAAACAUUUAUAUUUUGAUAUAUAUAUUUUUUGUACAGAUAAAUAUUAUUUAUGUGAUGCAGCUUAUCCACACACACGUGGCUUUAUGACACUAUAUCGAAAUAUUAGAUAUUGGUUGUCUGAUUUUCGAAAUGCUUCUCGUCCAAGAUCAAAAUAAGAACGCUUUAACCAAGCACAUGCAAGAUUGAGAAAUGUAAUUGAACGUGCUUUUAGAGUAUUAAAAGCUCGUUUUUCCAUUCUCAAAAGAAUGAAACCAUACCCUUUUCCCACACAAAGAAACAUUGUCAUUGUAUGCAUUGCUCUUCACAAUCAUUGUCAUUUUCAUACCUAACAAUUUUAAGUUAAUUAAAUCAUAGGUUUUAUUUCCUUUUUGGAUUAAAAGAUAGAAGGACAAAAUUGUACAAUCUAACUUAUUAAGCAUUAAAUUAUGAAUAUUUAUCAAACAGUAUAAAUAGAUUCAGCAUUAAGAUUCAGACAUUCAUAUAUCUCUUUUCAAUGCUUAAAAUUCAGCAAAUUAAUUAUUUCAGUAUUCAGAAUUCAGAAUUCAGAUUCAGUGUUAUCAAACGGAGCCUUAGUCAAAGAGGGUGUUGAAUUUCAACCACAUGGGCAGGAGUAUUUUGGAAAUUUGAAAAAUGUGUUGCUUUUUUCAACCUUUUGGUACAACUGAUUGCAGCAUAUGUUUGGGUGUUUUUACAUUAGAACUCCCAUAUUUGUACAUUUAAAACUUGUAUUUAUAGACACAUCUGGGCAUUUGUGGAAUGUGGGCUUAUUUGGCGAUCAUUUGUGCAUUUGGUCCAAUUCAUAUAAGCGUGUGUUUUUGUGCAAUUACUGAAAUGAGGUUAUUAUGUAAUUAAAAUAGAACCACAUUGCUUGCUGAUAACCUCAGUAAUUGCAGUAUAGCUCCAUUUCAAUUGUCUGAAACACUCAUAAUUAUAUCAACACUUAUUUUUCUAUGUCUGAAGUUUAUUAGAAGUUCAGUUGUUGGAAACAGUUUCUCUACUAGCAAUAAAACACUAUUUAUAUCCCCAUUAAACGGCCAAUAAUGUGGGUAUGCUGCUAAGUUAUUGUCUCAAUUAUGGCUUUUUCAAUUCUUCCUCCUUCACAUUCUUCUGUUUUCCCCUUUUUUGCUUUCAUGGUUGCAGUAUUUUUUCAGCAUUUACACUCAGCAUUUCAUAAUGGUUUUCAGCAGAAGUUAUAUUUCCUUAAUAUUACUUAUGUGCUGUUAUAUUAUAUUUAUCUUCAUUUAUUUUCUUACCACAGGUGUGACAGCCCCACUUUCCCCUAAGACGAACCAAAGAAAUUAGCAAACUGCCUGCCCAACUCUCGCCAGGACUAACGGUGUAGGCAAAUACGAUCUAAGACGUUUCGGGAAAAUAAUACGCGCUCACACAAGCCGAAAUUGCAAAAUAGCUAAACGCAAACUAAACCGUCGGUGAAUAGUGGGUUCCAUGUCAUAUAACUCGAAAAAAUAUUUCCAACUAAAUAGGACACAUAAACGGGGUUAAAACAGUGUUAUACACAUACGUUUGUAAAUUUACAAAACAAAAGGGAGAUAAUUGAAUCAAAAUACAUUUAGGAUUUUGCCCAAAAGGAGCUAUUCAAAUUACAGUCACAUAAGCUCAACUCGGCAACCAACAUGCAUAGCCUUUCCAAAAGGAUUCAAAUUCCUGUAAGGAAAACAAAAGGAAUAUAGUGAGUUUACGCCCAGUGAGACAUUACCACUCAAGCAACGAAGAUCAUAUAAGCAGAUAGCAUUUCAUUCCAAUUCAUCUAAUAAAAGUAAGCCAAGAGUACACAUCAAUAAAAUUGGUAAAAGGAUACAGACGGCUCUCAAGAGCCCCUUUCCUUGCUUGUAUACUUGAUCGGACUUCAUUGACCCUCCGUCAAUGUUUACGAGUAACCAACCGUAGGCUCCACUUUACUCCCAUUCCUUCCACCCAACAUACCCCUACCGGGCCCGAACUCCAUACAGUACAAAUUUGGUAAUAUUCGAGUAUACCGGAAUCAAGAGUCUCACUACUACAAGAUUUCAUAUAACAGUCCCCAUGGCUCGUCAACUUUCACGACCAAACCCUCGCUGGCUCGAUUCAAUCGACUACCAAUGGGGUUGAGCUCAGUAGUAACAGUAAAAGCCAUUGGAUCCUCAUCCAAACGACACCAAAUCCAGUUUUUCAUGUACAUUUCAAGUACCACAGUGAAACAGUAGACAGUCGUGUAUAAUACAAAAGGGGGUGAGAGAGAUCAAGUACACCCUCACUUUAAUCAGUUUCAACAGUGCAAAUAAGCCUUCAAGGCAUCAAGUUCAAUAUAAUAAAGCCACAUUGUAAACAAACAAGUGAGUAGUAUGCUCACCAAGCAAGCAAGUGGAAUUUCGUAAACUUCCACCCAAAGAGCGUCUUUACUCACCGUCACGCCCUAAAAUAUUCAAAUAAGCACAAUAAGACUCGAUUACAAGUCAUAAACCAAUUCCACAUACUACCAAAAUAGGGCUCCAUAAGAAUGUAUAAGCACUAGAGUAAACCAGGGAAAUCCGGAAAUGGAAUUAAGCUCUAAACCAUAAAAACAGUUUUUGACAUCAUUUUGCGGUUUUGGCACCAUUGGCACUACGAUUAUCGGAUGGAGGUACAAUAUACACUGUUUUGAAGCUAAGAGGUAGGGCUACAAUGUUGAAGAAGGCUACUCAGUCCAUUUCAUAGUGCAACUAGGUCAAAAAUUCAAUAUACUAAACCAGAACCGCAAAAAUAGGUUAACAAACCGCAUUUUGGUUAACGAACCGUAAUUCAGGUUACCUAAGUCCAAAUCAAGUGAUUCCAAAGCCAUCCGAAAGCUAAGACACUAGGCUACAUUUCUUAAGAAGGCGUCAAUAACCAAAUCAGAAGUAUUCCCAACCAAAUUAACCAAUUACAGAAGCAUUUAUCAAGUUCGGGUAGAAACAGGGCAGCAGGGGUAUUUCAGUCUUUUUAUAAGCUACGCUACUCCGAUUGGCCUGAAAUUUUGCAAGCAUCUCUAAAAUAUCAUUCCCUACAACUUUUAUGUUUUAAUCCAAGGCUAAUUCGGCCUCUAACUAUGAUGAAUAGUACCGGGUAGAAAGGGGGUAAUCGAAACCCUAACUUCCGAAAUUUCCGUUCAAUGCGGAAAUUUUUCGCAAAUAACUACAAUUGACACACUAAGGUUUCAUUCCAAAUCAUUUCCAACCAUCAUACAUAACCACACAACAUUAAUCAUAUGAAAACAGAAAAAUCAUGAAUAAUUAUAAAACUUCACCAAAUUCAACCAAAAUCAUGAUAUAAUCCACCAAAUCACCCCUUAGGCUACCACAAGUCAUUAAUUAGACAUCAUUAGAUAGAGGAGAGGGGUUCCUUCACUACUCACCUUAGUAACCAAAGGAAAAGAGCAACUUGGCACCUUAAUCCUCCAAACAACUCCACUAAUCACCUCACAACCACUCACUUAAGGGUUUUUAUGGAGUAAAUGCAAGAUUAAAUGGUUGGUUUGUUGGAUUUGAGCAAGAUUGGAGCAAGAAUUUGGAGAGAUUUUCCCUUUCUUUUUGUUUGAAGUGGCCGGCCACAAGAAGCUUGGAAAUGAAGAGUUUUGGUCAAUUUUUGAGUUUAUUUAGUAAAAUGGUAAAAAGGUGAAUAGUAGUCAAAAUGCAAGAUUUAAUCAUAUGGUGACACUUGUCACCCUAUUUAAUGCAUGCAUAUCACUUUGUUUCCUCUCACACCAAUCCACUUGGUAAUCUCUAAUUAUCUCUUAGCACCCGAUAAUUUAAACCCGGUAUCCAAAACUUAACCUAGUUGGUCGAAUUUUUUCAAACUUUUCGCACUAGGGGGUCCCACGUCCAGUAUACGCUCUUAAUUUCUCAAAAAUUAACCGAUACUAGAAAAAUCUUCUAAAAACUAUAUUUACUCAUAAAAAUUAUUUAGAAAAUUUCUAAUAAAGAAAAUGCAUAAAAGGCGUGCAAAUAAUUAAAAUAAGGCUUAGAAAUAAGAAAAUUUACGGGUUCUCACAACAGGCACUGAAAAAUCCUCUUUAACCACACGUGCCAAACACCGGUGCGAUGUGCGGGCAUUCCCCCUAGUAUUAGUUAUAACGCGGUCUUGGAUAUUUGCAUUAAAAUUUAGUGCAAGGUUGAGACUUUCCGAGUGAAACUAAGAUACAUAUUGGAAUUUAAGGGGUGUAGAUGAUGGAUUUUGAAAAUUAGGGUUGGGACAAUACUCAUGGAUGCUAGUUAAAAUUUUCACACGAAUAAUCCAAUUAAUUUAUCGUGUAUGAUGAUCUUCGUGGAGCUAUUAAACUAUAAAGAGUACAUGUAUGAUGUGUCAAGAAUAUUAGUUAGCUAUUCUAAUGAAAUUCUUACCUAAUCCCCAGUGGAAAGUCCAUUGCAUUAAUCUAGCUGGGGACUUUUAAGAUUGAUCACACCAGCAAGAAAUUAACUUGCUAUUCUCCUAAGUUGAUAAAAUGCUGAAAGUGUCUAUUUAAUCAAAGUCAUAAGUUUUUGAGGGGAAAAAAAAUGGAUCAUGAAGUUUUUAUAAUUUCUCAAACCUCAAAAGAGGUGACUGCAAUCAUUACAAACUCUAGAAGAGGCUUUUGAAAUUAUGCCAAACAUUUAUAAGCCAAGCUUGGUUGUAUUCAUUUUCAUAUUCGUUACCUUUUAUGCAAUUUUAGGCUAAGAAAUUGUGUAAGGCACGUGACUAGCACAUGUAUUUUACUAUUAGGUAUCGAAAAAGUCAGAAAAAUAGAAAGUAAAGUACGAAUAGCACGAUAUGUGUGUGUGGCACAUGCUGCUUAUUAAAAGUAUUGCGAAGUAUAAAAAUACAAGAAAAGUAGAAAUUGCACAUUUUACAUGAUACUAGGUAAUCAAAUUGUUUAAUCAGCAUAACAAAUGUGCUUAUAGCUUUUAAACUUUGAAGUAUACAAAUAAAAUUUUCAUGAAUAUCAUUUAGUUGUUUUUAAAAAUAUCCUCAGCUAGUCUUGACUUAAAUGUUCAGUAAAUUGCCCAAAUUUAAUUAACAAGUUCAAUCAAAUGACCUAGAGACUUAUAAAGUUGAGCAUACCAUCACCAAAUACUAGAAAUGUCUGUGUAACUAAAAUCAUAAAUUCUUGAAGGGAAAAAAGUCUACUUGGAUUGAUUAGAUGGAAGAAAUCUGCAUGAUAUUGGUUGCUAAAUUACUCGAGGGUUGAAGAAUAGGCUGCAUGAUUAAUUCAGUAUGGACCAUGACCCAUAACGAUUGCUGUUACAAUUGUUUGUAACAAUUUAUGUAUACCAACUUUGAUGGAACGUUAUGCCCAUUAAACAAUAUUCAAAAUGGUAAACAAUUGUCUACGCAAAAUCUAGUUUUACUAAUAGGGAUAUUGACCAAAUGAUCUUGAAGUUUUUAAUGCUAUUCUCAAGACUUUCAUUUUUCUUUUUUCAUUGUAAGAUUUAGAGUUUCCGUUGACCAAACAAAAAAAUCAAUGAUAUGACACACGUGCAUGGUACGUGUUUUUUUUAUUACUAAGUGCGUUAAAUCCAAUGAGUGUAGAAUUGAUAAUUUUACAUGACACUAAGUAAUCUACUUGUUUAAUCAUGCAUGUAUAAUAAUCUUUGCACAACUUUUAAGCUUUGAAGCAUACAAAUAUUAUUUCCAUAAAUAUCAUUCAGCUUACUAUUAUUUCCAUAAGUCCUCAUCUGCUGACCUUCUCCCCAUUCCCUUCUCCAAACUCUCCACCCUAUUUAAGUCGCCAGUUCCCCAUUGGAAAUAUUAACUCUACCAUUUUCCUCCUCUUCGGAUCUCUUGAAUCACGUAUGCUCCUCCACUGUUGUUGUCUUCCUCCUUCUUAACUCAUUAUUUGCUGCCAAUAUCUCUCUCUUAUUCAUGUGGUUAGCUUGUUGUGAUUUUGUUUUUGCUUUUUGUUUCCUGUUUUUUUUAAAGAUUUUUGAGUGCCCUUGAUAAAAGUGAAGUAUAGGCUAGUCUAGAAAUGCAUACCAGGAAAGAAAAAAAAAAAGAAAUGUACACAAGAAUUGUAUGUACAAUAGGAUUUUGAAUUUUGGUAUUAUGAAUCAAACAUCAGAAAUUUGAAACGUUAGAAUGUGAUAAAAGCAAUUUUUUGAAAAAAAAAAAAACUUUGAAUUGGGGGUAUUUAAUAGAAACUUCUGAUUAUGAGAUGGAAUCCUUGUUUGCGUUUUGCACCUUUUUUUUUGGGUAAUUUUUCUGCAAUAGCUUGUCAAUCUAAGAAAAAAUAUAUAUCUUUUGAAAAUUGAAGCUUGUUUUACUCUUUUAUGCUUUUAUAUUGACAAUCCAAAAAUAGUUAUUGUUGUGUGGGAAAAAACUAGGAACUCUUGUUAGGAGGCGUGAUGUGGCCCAUAUCUACAGGGUCUAUAUAGGGGUCAUACACCGGAUUCACUCAAGUAUUUGCACUUUACACAUGGGUCAAUGCAAUAAGUGAUUUGUUAAGUUUACCCUUUAAAUAUGGAACAUGUGAUAGAUUCGUGACUCAUUUCGAUCAAAUUGACCUGAAAAGAUGUUGGAGGUCUAAAUACGAGCACAUUUUAUAUGGUACGAACUAAAAAAUCGCUCAUUUUCAUUUUGAGAGAUAAAAUUUCACAUCAACGAUAUGUAAGGGACGAUUGAUACAAUUUUCCCCUUAUGAUAUGUAAUUUUUUACUUGUUGCCAACUUAUACUCAUUUAUCAAACUUCAAACCCAAAACCACGUGCAAUCAAAGUGAGGCCCUAUUUGGCAAACUGAGUUUUUGCCAAGUUUGCCUCUUGCCAGUUUUUUAACAACUUUAAUUACAGUAAUUUCAAAAAAUUUCUCAAAAUUUUUAAACUACACAUUUCAAAAUACCCAAAACAUAAAAAAAAAUCCUUCCUCUUUCUUCUUCCACCUCAACCCACCACUACCUCCACCGCUAGCCAAGACCGGUUGGCACUAGCCACCUCUUUUUUUUUCCUUUCUCUUCUCUUUCCCUCCCUUCUUCUCUCCCCCUCUUCUCCUCUCUCCCCCGCCUCUAGUGAGAUAAUCAGCAGUGACAAACAAUAUCUCGUGGACAUCAAAGUUGGUUGUUAGGAAAGGCCAUUUGCAGGAAGUUGCCACAAACAACUUCGCACAGGGAAUCGAUGCCAAUUUUCUCAUUGUGCAUCUGGGCUUGGUUUACCUGGUACUCGUUAAUGGUGAUGCCGACGAUGUUGGCACCGAAAUAAGCGGUGAUGGCACGCAUCGGGCCACUGACCCUACAGCCAGCAUCAAGAAUGCAGGCACCCUUCUUGACACCCAAGAGAUCGACAGCCCUUUCCUCGUGGAUUCUGGUGGCGUCCCGAUAGGACUUGUCGGGGAUGAAGGGAGAGAAAUGGAAGGAUUGACCCCAAACCCACUCGUAAAUGUCAGUGAUGAGGUUGUAGAAGGUGUCAACGAAAGCAGGGACUUUCUCGGCGGUCUUGAACUCCUUGGGGCGGCCAAAGAAGGACCAGUACUAUUUGUACUUGUCUUGGACUUUCUCUUUAUCGAUACAGCUGUCGGAGAGUUGGACGGUGUGCUUCCCUUUCUAUUCUGCAGAAAGGGAGAGGGAGAGGGAGAGGGGGAGAGAAAGAAAAAAGCAAAAAAAAAAUUUGUUUCUGCUAUAGCUUGUUUUGGCGGGGGAAGGGUGAGGUCGUAGGGCAGGGGGAAGGGAGAAGAAGAAGAGAGGAAAGAAAAGAAAAAAGAAAGAAAGAAAAAGAAAAAAAAGUUUUCUAUAUUAAAAAAUUUUCUACAAUUUCUACAGUAAGUUACAUUAAAAUUUUAGACAAAUACCCAAAAAAUUCAUUUGCCAAACAGAGGCUAAAUUCUUUCAUGUUUUAGUCCCAUAAUCCCAUUAAAGUCUUCCGUAAUCCCAUUAGAGUCUCCAAUGCAUAUGAUUCUCAUUACAGAAGGGUUCUAAAGAUUAACAAUUUGACCCAAAAAAAAUAUCCAUCUUUUCAUUGAGCCAAAGAAAGUUAAUGCACGAAUCAAGCACAACAGACAUGCAAAAUAUUUAGGGCUUUUAAUUUUAAUUUUUCCAUACUUAUUUUUUUCGACAUCAAAAAACAUGUUUUAGAGAAUCAAUCUAGGUUGUUUUCUAGCUAGAACUGCACCAAUCAAGAUGGACACGGGUACAGGAUGGAGGUACAAUAAAAGUGCACCAUGUUCAUGAACAACAUUGUGGGAUAUUCUAGAUUAUUAGCUUUGGAGCUAUCUUGGUUAUUUACGCCAAAAUUUAGUGCAAGAUUGAGACUUUUGUAAUGAAACUGAGAUUCUCACUGGAAUUUGAAAAACAGUGAAUUAGAGGUGGAUUGACUGUUCAAACAAAGAUGUAAGGGCAAAUGACUUUGCAAUUAGAAGUGUUGUAGUUGAAGAAGGUAAGCAGGAAUAAAUGAUGGAUUUUGAAGAUUCACACAAAUAAUCCAAUUAUUUUAUCGUGUAUAGUGAUCUUCGUGGAGCUAUUAAACUAUCAAGAGUACAUGUGUGAUGUUUCAAGAAUAUUAGUUAACUGUUCUAAUGAAAUGCUUACCUAAUCCCCAGUUGAAAGUCCAUUGCAGAAACCUAGCUGGGGACUUCUAAGAUUGAUCACACCAGCAAGAAAUUAACUUGCUAUUCUCCUAAGUUGAUGAAAUGCUGAAAGCUUCUAUUCAAUCAAAGUCAUAAGUUUUUUAGGGGAAAAAAAAAGUAUCAUAAGGUUUCUGUAAUUUUUCAAACCUUAACAGAGGUGAUUGCAAUCAUUACAAACUUUAGGAGAGACUUAUGAAAUUAUGCCAAACUUUCAUAAGCCAAGCUUGGUUUGUAUUCAUAUACGCCACCUUUUAUGCAAUUUUAGGCCAAGAAAUAGUGUAAGGCAUGUGACUAGCACAUGUAUUUUACUAUUAAGUAUAGAAAAAGUCAGAAAAAUAGAAAGCAAAGUAUGGAUAGUACGAUAGGUGUGCGUGGUACGUGCUGCUUAUUAGAAAGUAUUAUGAAGUAUAAAAAUGCAAAGAAAAUAAAAAUUGCACAUUUUACAUGAUGCUAGGUAAUCAAAUUGUUUAAUCAUGCAUAACAAAUGUGCUUAUAGCUUUUAAACUUUGAAGUAUACAAAUUAAUAUUUCCAUGUAUAUCAUUUAGUUGUUUUUAACAAAAUCCUCAGCUAGUCCCUUCUCUAGUUCGACCAACCUUCUCCACAACUCCCCAACCUAUUUAAGUCGCCAGUUUCCCAUUGGAAAUUAACUCCUCUUCGAAUCUCCUCAAUCGCUUCUCUUCUCCUCCUCCACUGUUGUUGCCUUCCUCCUUCUUUGCUCAUCAUUUGCUGCCAAUAUCUCUCUUUUAUUCAUGUGGUCAGCUUGUUGUGAUUUUGUUUUUUGUUUCUUUUUUGUUUUUAAGAUUUUUGAGUGCCCUUGAUAAAAGUGAAGUACAAACUAUUCUAGAAAUGUACACCAGGGGAAAAACAAAGAGAAAUGUACACAAGAAUUGUAUGUACAAUAGGAUUUUGAAUUUUGGUAUUUUGAAUCAAACACUAGAAUUUUGAAAGGUUAGAAUGUAAUAAAAGCAAUUUAAAAAAAAGUAAAAAAAAAACUUUGAAUUGGGGCUAUUUAAUAUAAACUUCUGAUUAUGAGAUGGAAUCCUUGUUUGCGUUUCGCACGAUAUUUUUUUGGGUAAUUUUGCUGCAAUAGUUUGUCAAUCCUAGAAAAAAAUCUAUCUUUUGGAAAAUUGAAGCUUGUUUUAUACUUUUACGUUUUGUUAUUGACAGUCCAAAAAUAGUUAUUAUUUGUCGGAAAAAACUAUUAACUCUUGUUAGGAGGAGUGAUGUGGCCCCAUAAAUAUUACAGGGUCUAUAUAAGGGUAAUAGAUUGGAUUCACUCAAGUAUUUGCACUUUGCAUAUGGGUCAAUGUAAUAAGUGAUUUGUCAAAUUUACCUUUUAAAUAUGGAGCAUAUGAUGAUGAAUUCACUCAAAUAUUUGCACUUUGCAUAUGGGUCAAUGCAAUAAAUGAUUUAUCAAGUUCACCCUUUAAAUUAGAGUUUCCAAUGCAUAUGAUUCUCAUUACAGAAGGGUUCUAAAGAUUAAUAAUAUUACCUAGAAAAAAAAUGUCCAUCUUUCCAUUGAGCCAAAGAAAGUUAUUGCACGAAUCAAGCAUGACGAACAUGGAAAAUAUUCAGGGCUUUUAAUUUUAAUUUUUCCAUACUUAUUUGUUUUCGACAUCAAAAAAACAUGUUUUAGAGAAUCAAUCUAGGUUGUUUUCUAGCUAGAACUGCACUAAUUAAGAUGGACACGGGUAUAGGAUGGUGUAAGUGCCCGGUGCAACCCAAUGAGUACAAACAAAUUCACAAUGAUGCACAAAGAUAUAUCAAAUUUAAGCACAAUAAAGAAAACUUAAUUAAAGAGAAAGGAUAAGAAAUGCAAACCAAAUAUCAAACCAAUAGCCUCUUCAAUUGAUGGCGAUGCUAACCAAGAUGUACAAGUGAAGGCUCACUCCUUCCUCACCCCAAACACUCUUUGGUUGAGCCAAGGAGUUUUACAACAAUACUAGUUAACCCUCAACAACCUACACUUGAAAGAUCACUCACCCAAUUAAGGACUAUUUUAUACAAAUGAGGCAACCUUCACCAAGGUUUUACCACUCCAAGUGAUAGGUUCACCUUCACCAAGGUUUUACUCCUCCUAGAGAAUAACCUUCACUUGAGCAACCUCACAACCCAACUUCCCCAACCCCUUAUACAACCAACAAAGAAUCUUUCUACUCAAAAAUCUCACUUGUAAGCUUGUAUAUUGUGUUGGCAAAAGUCUCUUGUCUUCUUGUGCUUUGGGGUAUUUAUAGAAGGUGAGAAAUGGCUUCAAAAGGCUCUCUAACGGUCAAAUAUUAAAUACUGUCAAAACUAGCCGUUGGCCUGUCGGACGUCCGAACCACCUGUCGGACGUCCGAACCCUGCGCCCAAACCACCUGUCGGACGUCCGAACCCUGCGUCCGAACGUCGUCAGAGAGUCAUCAAAUCUUCGCGAAAUUUCUCGAACGUCCGAUGCGAUCGAUGUGCGUCCGACAGAGUUUCCUUCUUGAUGUUCUUCAUCCUUUCGGACGUCCGAUAGCGUCCGACAUGAGUGCCCUGUUUUUGCUUCUUCUUUUAUGCCACAAGAAUCUGUUCUAACAAAUUACUCACCUAAAAACAUUAGCCCAAAUCUACAUAUUGGUUUGUUAAUCAUCAAAACCAAGGAUUGAUCGACCAAGGUCAACAGAUGGAGGUACAAUAAAAGUGCAUCAUGUUCAUGAACAACAUAGUGGGAUAUUCUAGAUUAUUAGCUUUGGAGCUAUCUUGGUUAUUUACACCAAAAUUUAGUCCAAGAUUGAGACUUCCUGAAUGAAACUGAGAUUCUCAUUGGAAUUUAAAAUGCAGUGAAUUAGAGGUGGAUUGGCUGUUCAAACUGAGAUGUUAGGGCCAAUGACUUUGCAACUAGAAGUGUUGUAGCAGAAGAAGGUAAAAGAGGCAUAAAUGAUGGAUUUUGAAAAUUAGGGUUGGGACGGUACUCAUGGUUACUAGUCAAAAUUUUCACACAAAUAAUCCAAUUAUUUUAUCGUGUAUAAUGAUCUUCGUGGAGCUUUUAAACUAUGAAGAGUACAUGUAUGAUGAUGUUUCAAGAAUAUUAGUUAACUAUUCUAAUGAAAUUCUUACCUAAUUCCCAGUCGAAAGUCCAUUGCACAAACCUAUAUCUAGGGACUUCCAAGAUUGAUCACACCAGCAAGAAAUUAACUUGCUAUUCUCCUAAGUUGAUGAAAUGCUGAUAGUGUCUAUUUAAUCGAAGGCAUAAGUUUUUUGAGGGGAAAAAUUGGAUCAUGAGUUGGCAUUAGCUGAAUUAACAUGCAACAAAAUUCUUCACAUGUUGCCCAAAACAUAAAACCCUCCUGCUCAGGGUUGAUAACCCCUGGAAGAGGAAAUUGAGAACAAUUUUGUGUUACAUUGCUAGAUCUGGAUUUGCUCCAGUGGAAAUUUGAUCUUGAUCGUCAUGAAUGGCUUCCAUUUUUACAUCUACAUCAUCUUCAAAGAAGAAGCAAGAUCUUUCUUGAUUUGGUACUGAAACCCCACAUCACUACAAGAAAAUUAUUCAUCAGUGACAACACAAAGUCAUCACAGAACAUACAAAUAUCGUCACAAAUACCUUUUAUUGACGAUUUUUUGAUCGUCACAAAGUCGUCACUAAAUCCCCGUCGGUAAAAGUAAACAGUGAUGACCUAAAAUAUCGUCACUAAAUAGUUCUCAUUAGUGAUGACUUUAAGUAGAGUAUUUUUGACAAAAGAUCAAGUCGUCAAUAAAACACUUCUAGAUUGUCGUCACUAAUGACAACUAUUUAGUGACGACCUGAAAUGUCGUCACUAAAUAGUUGUCAUUAGUGACAACAAUCCGGAAGUGUUUUAUUGACGAAUUGACCUUUUGUAAAAAAUGCUCUACUUAAGGUCGUCACUAAAAAGCACCGAAAGCCAUUGUAUAUAGCUAUUUUACUGACAACAAUUGUCAUCACAAAUGUAGCUUAGAUUUAGUGACAGUCUCUGUUGUGACAAGGAGUUUUUAUUUUCUAUUUUGUGACAACUUUUUUUUGUCAUUAGACAAUUUCUCAAUAGCUUAAUAGUCAUAAUUUGGCCUGUAAUCAUUGCUAAAUCAUUGAUUUUAAACAAAUCAUACAAAUAAACAUGAACGAUUGAUAACCAAAAGUAUUUGUAUUAGAUUACAUGGUAAUAAUAUAGCAUUCUCAAAUGCCAAAUUCAAGUGUACAUUACCCAACUAAUGCCUACAAAAAUAACAUUUGUCCAAAAUAUCACUUGUACAUAAGGUACAUUUACCAAAGCAAUCACAGUUUAAGAAAUUGAAGAACAUCUAAAUGAACCACUCCAUGAGCAAAAGGCAAUUUUGUCUUCAACAUUCUUCAACCAUAACCAUAGAUAUCUUCCAAAAGCUAGUAUGAAUAGCAUUUAUCUGUCAUAAAAGAGUAAAAGAAGUAGGUAAGGGGAGGAGUACAAUAAUAAAGAACAAGUAAUGAGACUUAGAUUAUUAAGACAAAAAUUACAAUUCAUUAAGAAUCUCUCCACAUCCUAGCCAGGAAGCCAAAUGUAUUUGAGAGCAGCAGCAAUCUUCGACUCUGUGAUCGAAUGCUCUAUCGCUGUAAGAAUGUCUAUCGGGAAGAUUUUAGAAAUUUAAACAUCUCUUCAGCUAAAGCAUCUAUGAUCUUUUUUUUUUUUUUUUGGUAGGAGGCUGUUUGCCUAUGUACGUUGCUUCUAACAUGCUGCCUUUAUCUUUCCUCUAGACCAUUGCAUUAUCUGACUUUGCCAAAAUCUCAAAAUUUAACUAUAGCUUAAUCUUUUCCUUCCUAUUCUUUUCUUCAGCUAUCAUUUUAAAAAGAUUUUCCGGGUAUUAUUUUCCAGUUUCUCCAAUAUAUGAUCUUCAAAGGUCCCGAAACAUUUAUCAUUUUGAGAUAUCAUCAAAUCUUUCUUGUAAUUUCACGCAGAGUUGGUGAUUUUAAACCACUUUUCUAGAGGAAGAAUAUUUUACUUAUACGGUUGAAUGUAUGGUUUAUCAGUCAUCUUUCCUUUGUUCAUCUAAAUAUCUCCUCAAUUUGACUUUCACCGAAGUGCAACUGUAUUUGUUUGCAAGGUGUAUAUGUCCCUGAGGUUAAGAACCGUCAAUCCAGAAGAGGAGACCGGAGAAAUUUAGAGGAGACCGGAGAGCACUAUCCCAAAAACUACCAGACGUGUGUGAACUUCAUUCGUCUAAUUUCGACUGCAUUCUGGCUAAUUGGUAGGUUUGAUAACCAAAUCUCACACUCUACGUUGACUUCUGGCCACUUCUAAAUAGACAAAUACUUAUUUCCAGCUCCUCUUGGAAAAGGUCAAGGUCCAGGUACAGAAGAUCCAGAAGAGGGAAAAAUGGAAGGUCAAGGUCUCUACUAUGCCUUUAGUUAAUUCCUGCAGUUUUCAAAUUGUUUUGGUAAAUGAAAGAAUCUAGACUUCAUCAAAUGCAGAACAUCGAGAAAAGUAACACUUAAAAAUUUUGAAUCAUGGAAGAAAAUAGCACAGUAUAACAACAAAAGUUAACAGAAAACCAGUGCAAGCUCAUUACUCGUGGUAUUAAUUAUCUGGAAAACCAGUGCCAGACAAGUGUGAACCUCAUUCAUCUACCUUGGGCUGCAUUCCGGAUAAUUGGUAAGUUUGAUGGCCACAUCUUACGCUCUAAUGCAACUUCUAUCCACUUCUAAAUGGAGCAAUACUUGUUUCCAACUUCUCUUGGAAAAGAUUCUGAUUCGAGAGAAAAACCAGCAAGCACAGUAGACACAGAAAAUCCAAGAGAGAAAGGAAGAAUCUAGACUUAUUUCUGAAGUUUUUAAAAUGUUUGAACUUUUCUUCGAGCAAAAUUGUUUGAACUUGUUUUUGGUAAAAGAAUCUAGACUUCAUCAAAUAGAUUUUGAAUUGGAAGAAAAUAGCAUGGUAUAAAAACAAAGCCUUACAGAAUUUGAUUUGGAAGAAAAUAGCACAGUAUCAAAACAAAACCUUACAGAAUUCCAUUACUAUAUCACUACCCGUGGUAUUAAUUAUCCGGAUAACUAACUACCAGACAAGUGGAAAAUUCCUUCAUCUAGCUUGGACUGUAAUCAGGAUAAUAGGUACGUUUGAUAACCACAUCUCACACUCUACUUUAACUUCUGACAACUUCUUAAUGGAGCAAUACUUGUUUCCAGCUUCUCGUGGAGAAGAUUCUGAUUCCAGACAACCAGGCAGUACAGAAGACAGAGAAAUUCCAAUAGAGGGAAAUCAAGGUCUCUACUACGCCUUUACUGAUUUCCUGCAGUUUUGGAAUUGGUUGAACUUGCUUUUGGUUAACAAAUCUAAACUUUACGACAUGCAGAACAUGGAGGGAAAUAAAUUUUGAAUAAUGGAAGAAAUAAGUACAGGAUAACAACAAAAAGUAACAGAAAACCAUUACAACCUCGUAGCAUCAGUAGCCUAAUGGUUGACAAUUCACAGUGAUACACGGCAUAGGGAAUAUUUUCUGAGGCACAACUUCUGCAUGCCUUGUUCUAUGCAAUGCGAUCAGCUAGCCGAUUUCUGCACAAAAAUAUCAUGCUAAGAACUUCUAAAUUACUAAGAUGCUAGAUGCAUACCACAGUAACAGUAAUCACGGAGUUCAACACCCUUAUGAGUUGCUUGUCUAAUAUAUUUUACCUCUGUUAUGCUUAACUACUGAAGGAUCUGCAUCAGUGCAUCUGGUACUUACUUUCAAAAAGGAAAACAUUAUGUACUCAUUUGUGGCCACUAGGGUAUCUACAGAAGGGUGCGAACUGUGAAGAUGGUAUAGACUGGUUUGCUCUGUCAGCCUUGUGUCCUCUCCAAUUGUUUAAAUUCAUUGCAGCUCAACUUACAGGAUGCAUUAUCUUCUGGAGAGCCAUUAAAUAAAAUAAAACUUUUGCAAUUUAGCCACUAUAUAUCAAAUGAAACUAUUAACAUGUGAAUUGGUCACAUACUCUCGUGUUUAAAAUUAUUUUGAAAAAAUAGAGGUGUAAUUAUGUAAAGAGGGAAGAUAUAUCACAAUACCAAAGAGAUUCAUUGAAACAAAAAUAUACUGUAGAGAAUUGUUAUAACAGCUAAUGCUUCUACAAAGGAGUCCUUGUACUUUCAGGGAUGCUGUGUUGCUGCAACCUAAGGGUUUAUUUUGCCAUUUUGAUUUAAAAUCAUUCUAAAACAUUAAGCUAGCAAAAGGGGAGUCUGGUAUUUAUGCCCAUAUGAAUUGACAUAAUUCUUUUAACUUCAGAAUCAAGGGCUAAUGUUUUUCUUUUGCUUUUCACGUCUCCUAGAUGACCCAGUUCUCCUUGAAUCUUUGUCUCAGGUUGACAUGAUUUUAAACAAGUUCACUUUUUUCUUCAUGAAUUACUCAUUUCAUCUGAGCCACUUGCCUGAAAGAUAUCAGGGAUCUCAAGAACUCAUCCAUCUUUACACAGGAGGUACCAGCCCUCUUUGAUUUUAAUACUCAAAAGCAUAAUUUCUGUGGAAGUAUUGAACAAUAUGACCUUCACAUUUAAUACUCAAAAGCUAAUGGAAGUUCCCAACAAACAUGUAUAAAUAUAGCUUCUCAAGAAAGGAGGUCUCCAAAUAGGCAGCAUCUGCUUACAACUAGAUAAUUGUCGCGCAAGAUUUAACAAUCUUAUGCUUGUUAAAUGAUACAAAUGCUAUACAACACACUAAAUGAUGUGCUAUGUCGUAAUUUUAGCUCCCUGCUACUCUUGAACAGUUUUUGUUCUUAUCAAGGCUAUGCAUAGUUUAUAUGGAAGAUACACCACAACCACAUUUUACCAUCCCAUUGUAACAAGCAAACCAAGUACAAAAAUUGCUCUAGAAUUUUCUCUUGCCACAAGCAAUAGGAUAACACACUGCUUUUUACCAUCUCAAACAUCAGUUAUUUGCAGAAUAAACACAGUGAACAAGUUGAUUGGCACAAACAGCUCAUAUCAUCUAGAUAACGAGUAUCAACUUAGAAUAGUUUUUAAUGAAGGUAACACUUCUCCUACCAACCAGACAUCACAGAUAAAGUAGAUCUUUGUGUGGCUCAAUUUAGUGACAGCUAAAGUUAUAAAACUCACAAGAUCAUGUAGUUAACAUCAUAUGCUUUAUAAGAUUAGACAUCAAUAGUAACAUUAGGUAUCAAUCAGCUAGAAGUCUGAACAUUGACCCCACCAAUAAUAAGACCCUUGCAUAGGAAAAUCAACUCGAAACUUCUUUAGCAUAACCCAAACCACCCCUGCAGCAUAUGCAGUAAAAUAGUCAUGCUCAUCAAUUGUCUUCAAAACACUAUAGGAUUAUUAGUUUUUAUGAGCAUUUCUUAAAAAAACUAAUUGGAAUACAUGAACCUUUUUGUUUCGGCUCCAUUUUGGUAGUGAAUGUGAAGAUUAAUACCUAAUGGACAAAUAUUUACCAUACAUGGUCAUCCCUAUGUCCCACAGUUGCCAAUGCUAUGCAGAAUCAGUUUCCCCAUCAUACAAGUCACACAUAAGCAUGUCCAAAUGCUUUUCCAACUUUAGAUAUUAAGUAGGGAAAGAAAGCAUGUACAAAGGGAGAAAUCACCAUCACGCUGCUCUGCUAAGAUAAAAAUAUAUAAUGUUUUAUGGUAACCAAAAUUCUUGAGGAUAAUAACAUGCUUCAAUCAACACAGAUGCCCAUGCCAAUAAUGAGUAUGCUUCAUACAUACCCUUGGACCACAUUACAAAGCUUCAGUCAAACUGAAACUAAGAAAACUUGGUAGUCAUAAGGAACAUUAUCACUCAAAAUCUCAUCCAAUACUCAAAGUUCAUUCAAAAUUCAGAAUUGGGCAGGCUCCUAAGGAACAUUAGUUACACUAUAGAAAGUAUAUUUUAAGGAAAAUAUGAGGAAAAAGAACAAAGUGGAUAUAUCUAUUUCAUGUACCAGAUUGUGAUAAAAAGAAACAACUCACUUUAACCGCUCAUUCAAAGCAAUUGCAUUUAACACAAGGAAAUGCUCACAAACACAUCAUUCAAUAGUCAGAUACAUUAUGGAACUUCUUUUACAUCCUUAUCUUCUGAAUUAACAAAACUCAACAAAGUUAUAAUCUAAUGCCUUCCAAAUUCCACAACAGAAAAGCAAAAAUCCAAAAGCAACAGAAAUUGGAAAAUAAUCAACAACUGAAAGUGGAUACUGUAAUAAUUUUUAAAACAAUUAGCACAGAGCAUUAUGCAGACUCCUUCAACGGUCAACAUUCAAAUACCACAACGUACAUCGCUUUAUUAUUCUCGUCUAUGAUUUUGAACAAUUCCCUCUUUUCCCCUACCUAUUCCUACCUUUGAGUCUUUGACCUCAAUAAUUUGGCAAACAAAAGAUAAAGCCAAAUAAACUCGAAUAGACAGCUUCUCAAACCUGAUCGAUGCACCAAUCAAGCGGACUCCUCUUCGAAAUAAUGGACAUCCAACUCAACGACCAAUCACGCUUGCAGAAAUGAACUUGAAACAAAUCAGCCACAGGUUAGAUGAAUCGAGUCGAGCGGGGGGAGUUCCAAGUACAACAUAGCUAUGAUAGCAUCUAAUAAUCAAGAGCUGCUAAAAGAUUUUGGGCAGAAACUUGCAAAAAAUAUUGUAGAAUAUUAGGGAUUUGGAAAAAUUGGGGAAAAUGUAUAGGAGAGAGAAAAAUGAACCUUUCCAAUGAAAACCUUGCCCUUUAAUGCUGGACAGCCAUGGUGAUGCUAGUGAGAAGCCAGAGAACGGAUUUGUUGUGUGGGUAAAAGUAUCAGGUGCCGUGCGGAAGCUCUGUUUUGUGCUCAGUGCAGAAGCUUGUUUGUUUCAGCUCAGUGAAAGUUUGUGUUGCUCAAGUGUUCCGUUGCUUUAACUCAGACCAAGUGUUCCGUUGCUUUUGUUUUCAGAAUGUGUUCCGCUGCUUUGGUCUUUGCUUUGCUUUGGAUAUUGUUUUUGUUGCGCGGCACUUUCACUAUGAUUUGAUCAAAAUUUUGACUUCACUCAUUUUCCCUCCAUUUGAUACCAAAAAUCAUGUUUUUUUCUGGAUUUGUAAUAUGGUUUGAACCAUAGAUUUUAGUGCUAUAGUAUUAUUCUUUAUUUUUUAGCAACAAAUAAAAAUUUUCAUCAACAUAUGUGGCAAAAUUUGUUAAUUUCAUAUAAUUGAAAAUGUACUUUUAUAAUUUGCUAAUAUUUUAUACUAAUUUCUUAUAAUUGCAGCACUAAAGAACAUCAUGUAAUUGAAAAUAAUUAAACUCAAAUUAUAUGGUUAUAACAUAGUUUCAAUAAAAAUAAUCAUUUUCCCAACAUUUGAGAUCAAUCAUCAUGCUUUUUUUUUAUUUUUAAUUUGGUUUGAAGCAUAGAUUUUAUUGCUAUAGUAUUAUUCUUUAUUUUUUAGUACAAAAACACAAAUUUUCAUCAAUAUAGGUGGCAAAAUUUGUUAAUUACAUAUAAGUGAAAAUAUACUUUUAUAAUUUACAAAUAUUUUAGCCCUGCAAUUUUUUAUAAUUGCAGCACUAAAGUACAUCAUUAAUUGAAAAUAACGAAAGUCAAAUUCUAUGGUUAUAACAGACUUUCAUUAAAAAUAAUCAAAUGCUAUUAAUAAGACAUUAUUGUUAAGUCAAAAUCAAAGAAAAUUUAGUGAUGACAUAAUGUUAUCACUAAUUUAUUCAAGAUUAUAAUGACAAGAAAAGUCGUCACUAAUUAAAUUGCUAGUUUUUAAUACUUUUGUGAAAAUAUUGAUAAUGGUUGAGAAAAUUUUGUUACAUUACUGCAAGUGAUAAAUGUACUUUUGUUCUUUUUCAAACAUUUAUUUUAAUGUUUAAUUUUGUUUAAAACUAUUGUACUAGUAUAGAUUUGCAAGACAAAACUUAAGUUCUCAAUAGUUAAAAAAUUCAUUACAGAGAAAACACAAAGUAGUAGUUGCAAAAUGUGUAUAAAUUACAGAUAUUUUAAUGUGUAUAAAUUACAGUUUAUUUUAAUGUUUAAUUUUGUUUGAAACUAUUUUACUAGUAUAGAUUUGCAAGACAUAGAUUUAUGGGUAAUUUCUUUUUUUUUUUUGCUUACACAUAUUUAAUUUAUGUUAAAUACAAAACCUACCAGUUUCCCUUUCAUAAAAAUAUUAGUGCAAUACUUUUUGAAUUUUACUUACAAACAUUUAUGUAUUUAAUAUAAAUUAAAUGAUUCAAAGUGAAAUGCCUAUAAAGAGCAGAAUAUUUGUUCAUGUAAUGGAGGAAAUCCACAAAGAGUUGGUACUUUAUGGGCCAUUUCUUUUUUUAAAAAAAUUUAAUUUAUGUUGAAAAGAUAACCUGCCAGUUUUCGUUUUGUAAGAAAUCAGUGUAACACUUUUUGAAUUUUACUUACAAACAUUUAUAAAUUUAUCAUAAAUUAUAUGUUUGAGAGUAAAAUGCCCAUAAAAAGUUGGUACUUUGAAUAGAUAAUGCUCAUUUGCCCAUAAACUACACUCCUUGAAGGCUAUUUUGUUAAUUACUUUGUAGUACUUUGUUAUUCCUUUGCUAAUACUACUUGGCAUGUAGUACAAAGGAUAAAUCUGGCAUAAAUUCUUAUUCCAUUGAUAAAAAACCUGCCUGCCUUAUAACUAUUGUAAUGAAAGAUAUAUCUUUAGAGUUUAUAACAAAUUAUUACUUAAGUUUGAGAAAAUUAUAAAAUAUUUAUGCAUAGUUUAUCAAGAUACCAUUCGUAAUUUUCUAAUAAAAAAAUAGGGGCUAAAUUGUAAAAGCUAGGGUGCCAUAAUAAAAAUAAUAAAAUUGGUGUAUUACAUAUGGGGGUUAAAUUGUAAAAGUUAGAGUGCCAUAGUAGAAUUAACGAAAUUGGUGAAUUACAUAUGGGGCUAAAUUACAAAAGUUAGGGAGUAAUAAUAGAAUUAAAGAAAUCGGUGUACUACAUAUGGGGCUAAAUUGUAAAAGUUAAGGUAUCAUAAUGGAAUUAAUGGAAUUUUUUACAACAUUUGGGGUUAAAUCGCAAAAGUUAGGGUGGUACAGUAGAAUUAAUGAAAGUGACUUAGAAAUAAGUACUUUAAACAGUGACGAUUAAUUCUUGUCACUAAAUCCGAAUCGGUAGAGUGACAGUGACGAUAUUAGAAGUUGUCACUAUAUAGAUCAUUUUAGUGACAACUUUUUCAAGGUCGUCACUGAAGACUUAGUUACUUUGAGCAAUUAUGACAACUCUCCUUGUCGUCACUAAACAACCACGUUUUGUGACGACUUUUGUCGUCACUAAACAAUGUUGUCACUAAUGACCAUAUUUCUUGCAGUGUAGUUUGUGACGAAAAUAACGGGUCGUCACUAAACAUUUAGUUGCUUUGAUGCAAUUGUGGCAACUUUAGGUGUCGCGACUAAAGAAGCUCCUUUUGUGACGACUUAUUGUCAUCACUACAAAAUGUUGUCACUAAUAACAUUUUUUUUAGUGAUCAGUGACGACAACAAAAAGUCGUCCGUAAAUAGGCCAAGCAAUAGUGAUGAUGUUCUUAAUGACGUCACUAUUGUGUGUUCUAAACACUCCCGCGCUCUUGCUAAAUCUUGGCGGGAAUUUACUAGUGACGACUUUUCUAAGUCGUCACAAAUGAGUUGGCUCCCAUUAGAGGUUUGUGACGAGUUAGAAAGUCGUCAAUAAAGGAUCCACUUUUGUGACAACUUUUUUUCGUCACAGAGAAAAGUUGUCACUGAUGACCAAUUUUCUUGUAGUGCAUGUAAUCCUAACUAAGAAGAAAUUCAUUGUUCAGACCUUAAGACACUUGUAAGUACCAACCUCCAGCUGACCCUGAGACUACCAUGGGGUGAAGGCCAGAAAUUUAUUCAUUCAAGAACAGAAAAGUGAAGAAAACAAGAGAGAAAAGAGGCCACUAACUAGUCACAAUAGCUUCUGCAGGGUGGUAGAUGAGGCUUAAUCUAUAUACAGUAACCACCAGUAAGCGUAAUAUGGAAAAACAGAAAAAGAAAGAAAAUUAAUUUGAGUAAGGAACUCAUAACAAGAGAAAACGGUGCUAUUCACAAAUAUGUGGACAAUUGAUGUCAUAUACUGUUCAGUAUUCUACUGAUUAACAAGUUACAGAUGUUAAAUGGAGAAGUAAUUCAAGAAAUAGUGAAACCACAGAUUGGCAAAUUAAGCAAUUAUUGACAGCUUUCAUAUAUAUACACAUAUAUAUAUGUGUGUGUGUGUACUGAAUCAACUCAUCUAGCUUCGUAGAAAACGAGACUCCCAACAAAAACAGGAUCUACAUGUCUGACCAAAGUAUCAAGGUUUCGAUGCUCUACAACGUUUCCCUUGCGAUCCCAAGUUGCCAAGAUAUCGCCUUCCAUCUGCACCACAAGUUUUUCAGUCUUUGUAAAUCCAAAUGCCUUCACCACUAAUUUGUCUGUAAAAAUUUUUGAUUUAGUCCAGGAAUCAGCCCCCUUUAUACUCCCUCAUCACCCCUAACUCGUAGCAUUUAAGUCUCCCAACCCCUCUAUCGCUAAAGUCGCCCAUCCUAAAAAGGGCAAGCAACCCCUUGAACACCAACAAGCUCCCAUCCUAGAAAGAGUUGCAGCUAACAGGCAACUCAAUCUCAGAAAACUCCCUCACGAGAGAUAUCAAAGCACAUGAUUGCAUCUACAAUCGAUUCAUUCGUCCUGCGAGCCAGCCAAAAAAUUGAUCCAUUGCAACAAACUGACCUUUGAUCGACUAUACACUUCACAUUCGCACUAAUCUUUCUCCAAUCGUCAGUAUUGACGCUAUUAACCUCCACUUCGGGUGCCACAUCCCCAACAUCCUCAAAUUCGCGUCUUUGAUGUAAUUAAUCCUCACAACCUUAAAGUUAUUAGUCAACUCAGAAAACCCAAAUCCCAGUUUUGAAUAGGCUCUCCGAAGAUCAUAUAUGGUAUCAGGAAAGCAAGAAACAGCUACGAACUUGAGUUUCCUGAUGGAUGGAUUGUACAAACAAAUCUUCCUCCCAGUAUAAGUCUUCUGAUCAGUGAAACAGAUUAUUCCAUUGCAAGAAUUCGCAAUAGAUAAAAGUUUAAGAAAAUUGGAAACUGUUGGAAUAUCAAAUUUUCCAUGCUGAACGAAUGUGCUAUCGCAAUAUAUGUUGGAAACUUUUCAAAAUUUGUAUGAUGUACGUACAUGUAAUUAAUGUAUAUUCAUAUUUUUUGGUACAUGUAUAGUAUUGUGAAUGUUUCUAUUAUGUACAUUCAUUUAUGAAUGUGUUCAUGUAUAUGGAAAUCCUUGAAUGAAAGGAUAGAUUCAUGUUUUGAUCUUAAAAUCAUGAGAUGCAUGAAUUAAAGUGCAUGAAUUUGUACACAAUACUUUGAAUCUAUUCAUACAGGUAUUUAAUGAGUUCUUUUGUUUCUCAAACAAUCUUCCUAUAUAAAGAGGUCAAGUAGAGAGUGAUUUGCUGCAGAAAAUCACUUUCCUACUAUUGUAUACUCUCUCGAAAGCACUCCUUAGUUCACAAAGGGUUUGUCUUGCUUUGUGCAAGAGUUUAAGACAAACAAAUUUCAUCUUAUCCUAAAAGAUAUUUGUUCAAGGUUAGUGCACGUUAUACCAGACAAAUAAAGCCUAAAGAAAAGUGAUGUCUAUCACGAUUUGAAGCCAAUUCUUGUCACCAUAUUUGCCAGUCCUUUACCAUUUACCCAACAAUAUAAUGAAUAUGAAUAUCGUUCAUCCUCUCUUAAAAUAGUAGGCAUGUGCAAGACAUGGCUAGAAUGGCUUUCACAGCUAGUGUAAGACUUAUUAGCAAGCGAGAUACAGUAAUUCUUGAGAUGUUCAUUAAUGAAAAUACGGCUUUUAAUCAGAGAGUACCCUGAUUUUGAGACUGUAGAGAAUCUUCCAAGAGCCUUCACCGGCAAUCUUGAGAGUAUCUCAAUUAUGAUUUCACGUGGGAAAAACUCAAAGAUGGAAGAGUUAACGUCAGAAUUUGACUGAUUAGGAAUACCCACGUGUCAAAUUCAAGAAUGUCUCCAAAGCUCAGAAAAGCAAAAUAAAAGCCCAAAAAAAAAGAGAAAAAAUGGUUUUGCAAAUUGAGUCCAAUUCAUACGUAUGAAGGUUGAGUGAAAGAUGAAGACAAUUCAGGUAGUGAGUCCCAUGCGAUAAGAGUUCACCUAAACGGGAAAAUUACGACGUCUAAUUAAUGUCUAAACAAUCGAUACAAACAUAGAAAUCCCCAAAAAUUAAGGUAGUGGACAUUAUUUAAUUUGUGGUUGGCAUAUUAUCCUCUGUCGUUUAGAAUAGGAUUUUUCCCAGAUAGAUUUGGAGUUCACCUACAAAAAAGGUACUGAAAAUCACAACAUGUUUAUUAGAUACAGUCCUAUUCAGAGGAGAAAACGAUGUCAGGAAAACGGAAUUGAGGUAGUUUCAAAGACAUGUGCUUGCUAACAUGGAAAUUAUAUCAUUGAUUGAUUCAUAAGUGGCUUUUCCUUUACAUAUAUAUUAUCUUCAAACAAGAACUAUAGAUAUUUCUUUGCUUCUGAUCCACAAAAGUUUUCCUAACUGAGAAGGAGUUUAAUAUCCAGAUCUUAGACAUUUGAAUUAUUCCUCCGAACAGCAAGACUGGGUGGAGAGAAUUCAUUCAAGAACAGAAAGAAUGAACGAAAAAAAAAUCCGUCCACAAUAAUAUCUGCAGGGUGGUAGAGGAUGCUAAUAUAGAUGCAGGCACAACACCAUUAGCGUUAAGCAUGAAACUUAUAACCCUCCUCCCCCGGCCCCGGCAAACCAAAAAAGGAAAACAAAAAGAAGAAAGAAGAAGAAAACUCAUAAAAGAGUACCAUGAUUUGGCGACUGUAGAGAAUCUCCCAAGAGCCUUCACUGGCAAUCUAGAGAUUAUGAUUUCAGUUGGGAAAAAGAAACAGAUAGAAGAAUUAACAUCAGGCGUCAGUUCAUUAGGAUUUUCCAUGUCCUAAAAUUCAAGAAUGAUGCUAAAGGUUAAAGAAUACCCCAAAAAAACAAAACCCUUUUAGAAGGAUGAGUCAUGACUCAUGAGUGAAAGAUUAAAAAUAAUAUAAGCAGUGCACAAUGAGAUCCUAGUCAGAUUCGGAAAAGGAUAUUCCCUAAUUUGAAGAAGAGUAAGGAUUGCUGUCCGAAUCAGGCUAGUAUUGAAUCUUGAGCUUAUGGCAGUAUGGAAACUUACUGCUGAAUGGCAUUCAGCUGCUGCUGAAUGGCAUUCAGCUGUUUGGAAACUCAUUGGAUUAGGUGAUGUGUCUUCUAUUUGGUUUAGCAUGCAAGAGCAAUAUUGCUAAAGGAAGGAGUAUGACAAACCUUAAAUAUUCGAUGCCAAUCACUUGACAUUUUCAGUUUAUAUUAUUAAUAAUAAGAUAUUAUCAAAUAGUGACUAUUAUAAAAAGAAUAGUUUUAAUACAGUACGUACCAGACCACGUGAUGCACAUGAAACUGCGAUACCUUUCCGAAAGAAUGGUGAUGAUCUUUUUAUCCAUCAUCUUUUGUAAGGAACAGUUUUCUUUAGUGCUUUGAGACAAAUUUAUUGCUUGAUUUGCUUAUGAGUUACUAAGAUCUCUCAAUUUUCUAAGACAAAAAUUAUCUUUUCUAAGAUCUCAAUUUUAGUUACCGGACUAAAGCUUCCUUUCUUGGUAAAUACGUUAGAGUUAUAUCACAGGGUUAGACAGGUAAUUUUCAGGCAAAUUUGAAUUAAGAAGGGCCUAAACCCACAUAUUUUUGGGCUUUGUUAGACCGGACUUAAGAGUGUGUUGUGGGCUGCCCGAGCUUACCCACUUGAAUAUGCAUAAAAAAACUUUGUCAGUGAAUUGGAAACUAUCCAACGCAAACUUGGGCUGUCACAUGAACUUCUUUUUUUUUCCGUGUGUAGUGGAAAGCAGUUUUUGAAUGGUUAUUUAUUUGGAAAAAUUUCCUUUAGCACUUUCCAUUGUUAAAAAUGUGGGUUAUUUUAAAAAUGUGUUUACAUUUUUUUUUGAAAACAUUCCCAUACAAUGAUGAAGUUUUUUUUUUUUUUUUUUAAAUUAAACGCAAUGGUGAAGUUAAACAUUGAUUCAUUACUUUUACCUAACAAAUUGAUAAAUUCUAAUGUUUUAUUCUCAUGGUUGUUUUUGUCUUAAUUUUCUUUUGAGAGAAUCCUAUGGUAAACUACUCUGUGGUAAAAGGUAAAUUACUCUCUGUUGUGUUAAAAAAAAAUCCAAAAAGAAAUGUUAGCGCCCUGUUUUUAUAUUUAUCAUUGUAUGGAUCAAAUCCAUUUUUGUCCAUAAAGUGGUAAACCAAAUGCUUGGACAGUUAGAUCCUUGUACACAGCAAAAACUGAAAAAGACAUCACCCAAAAUGUCAGAAUUAAUUAUCAAGUGCUUAGACAAUACACAUCUUUUCUUGAGAAAUCUGUCUGGCUAGUUAUUUGUUCAGAAUAUAAUUGAAAAGAAAAGCGUUGUUGAAUUUUUUUUUUUUUUAUAAAGAUAUUAUCAAAAACCAUAUCCAAAACAAGCAAAAAAGUUCCUAAAACAUCGAUUUUUUUUUUCACCACUUAUAUGCCUAGCAAUUAGCAAAUCAUUACAUUCUAAUAUUUUCUCCUUGAUAACCUUUUUUUUUAAAAUUUCUUUUGAGAGAUUAUAAAUAAGAGAUUUUGGACUUAAAAUCUUUUACUUAAAGAAAAAAAAGAAAGAAAAGCUAAGAAUGUAGCUUGAAUAGAGUAAGGUGCUUUGUCCCUCUGCACAGUAAAAACUAAAAAAGAAAUCACCCAAAGUAACAGAAUUAAUUACCUUCCCACUGCCCCUAAUAAUUUGCAAAAACGGUUGGGAUAAUUUCAGAAGCCUCCCUUGAGGUUUAUGAUAGUUUCACUACCCUCCCCUGAAGCUUUCAAAAUAUCAUUAACCUCCCUUAAAACUAAUGUUCUUGUAACAAAUUACCCCAAUUCAAAAAAUCAACAAUGAAAAAAUGAUUUCAAGAGCAAGAAGAAUAUUUCAUACCAAAAAUGCCCCUUAACCUAUUACUAGUUCGUUAUCAAAAGGAAGUAUUAGUUAAAAAUCGAUAAUAAAGACUAAACUCUGGCAUGAAUAUAACAGAAUUUAGCAACAAUGACUUUUUUUCAUAGUACUACAUAAAAUAGCAAAAUCAAAGUAUUGGAGAGGAAAACUUGUUAAUUUGGAAUCAAGAUUUAUGCGAAAAAUUCCUAAACUCUUAUAGCUAGUUUGGAAGCUGUGAUUUGAUGAGAAAAGAAAAGAAGGUAAUAGAAAAGACACUUUUUCUAGCAUUUGAGAGUUUUUGAAGGGGCAGAAAAAGAUGGAAAGCGUUUGAUUUGAACUGAUGAGCUCCUACUAUUAUGGUUGCCAAAGUUUUCUGCCCAAAUAUGGGCGGAAAGCAUCGGAAAAGUUGAGAAUGCCUAAUAAAUUUUUUCUAAAUACCAAAUUUGUCCUCAAAUGUGUAUUGAACAAAUUUUUAUUGCUAUAUAUAUAUAUUUAUAUAUAUCCAAAAUCAUCGCUUUUCCUAUCUUAACUCCUAAACAAUAUUAAAAUCUCUUCUCUUCCUUUCUUUUCUUUUCUUUCAUAACUUAACAUUUCCCAUCUUUUCUUUUCUAACCUAAACAUCCAAACUAGCUAUAUUAGUCUCAUAAUUUGAAAGAUUUUGAAAAGGAAUUGAACAAAACAAAGCAUGGCUUUUUUUAAGAAAAAAAAAAUCACAAUAGAUGGCUAAUGACAAAAAAUAUAGAAUAUGCUAAAAUAUGUUAUGUUUUUUGAAUUUUUUCUUUAACUUACGGGGUCCAUUAUUUCACACGAUUAACAAGAAAUUUCCAUCAUUUGUAAUUAAGAAAAACCAACUCCCAACCAACGAUUGGAUUAAUAAAAGGGUAUGAUUUGAAUGGAAAAACAAAUAAAUCAAAGUAGAAAUAAUUUUUUCUAACCAUCUUGUUUGGAUUACUUAUACAAAGAAAGAAAAGAAACACCAAAUAUUUUGGAAAAGAACGGAAAGAAUAGAUUAUGUGUAGUUACAUUUUAUCCAUAAUUUAAUAAAAUCUAAUUGUAAACAUAUUUUAAUACUUUACCCUCUUUUUGUAUAUUUUCAUAUGCAUCUUGUUAUUCUUAUGAAAAAUUUAUGAAAUAAUAAUAUUUAAAUAAGAAUUUUAAUCUUUUUUUACAAGAUAGAAAUUACAAGAACUACUAAAAUAUGGAAAAAGAAUUUUAAAAUGAUAACAAUUGUUGUUAUAAAAUUUGGUAUUCAAAAUUUUCAAUUUUUUUUUGUAUUCAAACUCAUGGUUAAUUUAGUACAAGUGACUAAAUUGGUCCUCUCUGUAUAAAUUCGUAAUUUUUCCUAAGUUGUAAGGAUAGUAAAGACAUUUGACCAUCCACAAGGUAAGCAUUGGGCUCCAAAUAACUUAUAGGGGAGGUAAGUAGUAUUUCUAAAACUUCAAGGAGGGCAGUGAAAUUCUCAGAAACCUCAGGUGAGGUUUCUGAAAUUAUCCCAAAACGGUUACGCAAAAACCUAUCAUCAAUCCCCUCAUAAAUCUCCCUACUUGUAGAUCACGGUAACCGCCAUCAUCUCCCACGUUCUCUCUCCCCUCUUCUCUCUCUCUCUCUCCCUCCCAUUCUCUCUCAAUAUCUAUCACUCUCCCAAGUCACAGCUGAUCCUGUUAGUUUGAUUAGGUUGUUGGUUAAGGUAAAAAAGCACAAAACAAGAAUCUUAGUAUCUGUGCUAUAAUUCCGUCUACUGCUAUUCAACAAACAAAAGACUGCUUGUUUAAGACAUUAGUGUACUUUCCUCAGGUUCGUCUCUUCCUCUCUCUCUCUCUCUCUCUCUCUCUCUCUCUCUCUCUCUCUCUCUCUCUCUCUCUCUCUCUCUCUCUCUCUCUCUCGAAUGUUUUGAGCAUCUUAUGCAGUCAAUGUUUUGAGCAUCUUAUGCACUCAUUACACACUAAUAGUAGAUUUUAUUGUGCCUUUUUUCUUUCUCGGGUCUUUUUAGUUUCCGUAUCUUUUCAUUGAACCAACUGUUUAGUCUGUCUUCUUCCCCUCGUCUCAUUAAAACCAUAUCAAAAAGUCUGCGCUAGCUGGUACUAUUCUUGUUCAUCAACCUCGGAUUUUGCUGUCGAAAUUCGCACUGACUAUUAUCAUUGUUUGUGUGUACUAGGAUUCGUGACUAAUGGCUUUGAGCUGCUAUUCCAACUGGGGAGAACUGGAACAACACCACGACUCAGAGAUGACUCUGCAGUUUGCUCAACCACCAGCAGCAGAGCUGUCUCCUGAGCUUCUUGGCUUCAACCACAUGAAUUUUGCCUUUUCAGACCCUUAUCUCGACCCUAUUCUUGAAUCCCAAGAUUUAGUUUACUCAGACAACUACACCUCUUUGCUUCCCCACUUUUCAUCUCCAUCUGAUGAAAACUCCAAUAGUUUAUAUUCCCUCGUCCCGGAAGUCUUUCCAGAACUCGAAUACCAGCCUUGCCACAGUGCCAAACGCCAAAAGAUUUUCGAGGGCUGCUACAAUAACUCGGAGGUGUUACCUUCAAGUUUUGGCAGCAGGUUCAUUCCCAAUCCACCAUUGCUUCAGGAGCUUUCGCCGCCCGAGAUUCUGUCUCCAUUUUCUGGAAGCUUAGCCAGUAAACCGCCAGUUUUUUGCAGUGGAAGUACAGGUGAGAUGACUGUGAAGAAGGCUAGUAAUGGAGGGACUUUGUCUUCUCAAAGCAUAGCUGCUAGACAGAGGAGAAGGAAGAUUACCGAGAAGACUCAAGAGCUUGGGAAGCUUAUUCCUGGUGGCCAGAAGAUGAACACUGCUGAAAUGUUCCAAGCUGCUUCAAAAUAUAUCAAGUUCUUGCAGGCUCAAGUUGGAAUUCUUGAAACCUUGGCUUCUGUUCAGGUAAUUCUACUUACUUCCUUUAUUGAGAUUCUUUUUCGUGCCAAACCUGUUAUUGUAAGUUUCAGGGCAUAGGAAAGGAUGGAAAGGAUGGAGAUGGUGGUUUUUUUUUUUAAAAUUUUUUUAUUUUAUUUUAAGCUGAUGGCUGGUGUCUUUUUACAGCCUUACCAAACAAAUCUUUGUAAAUUUGUUUUGCAGUAGAAAUUGCCCUUUGGGUACUUUCCAUAUUUACUAUCAUAGAUAGGAAAGAAAAGAUCUUAUUGGGCAAUUAAGGGACCUCCUUGCUCUAAGAGAUACCUUUUAUGUAAUUUGCAGAAACUUAAGAAUAACUUAAGACAUCUUUUCUCUUUCAAGUUUUAACGUGAAAAAAGAAAGAUUUGUUUAAUCUUUUGAGGAUGUUAUAAGCUAAUUAGAGGCAGAACUGCCUGUAUCUGACUCGUUUUCUCUCUAGUUCUUUAUUGUUGCAAAGUAUCGAUAUUCAGCUUAUAUGAGCAGAAGAAAUCUUGAAAUUUUUGGUAUUUCAGAAUACAGAUUCUAUGACUUUUGUAGAACUUGAUAAUGUAAAUGUUCUGGUAAUUGAUAUUCAGAUACUUGAAUACACGAAUCAUAUGUGUAACUCUGGCGAUAUAUGCUUGCAGGAAAAUGGGAAAUCUUUGCAGAACGAAGAACUUAAUCCUCUUCUUGGAUCUUCUUUGAUCCAAGAGAAAUUGUACUCAAUGGAGAUGUGUUUGGCUCCCCAAAAAUUUGUUCAAUCCCUUGCGGAGGAUAAUGGGGUUGAAUUGAACACUCAGGCCUUGAAUGACUGCAAAGAAUUGAUUGGGAUUGGCUGCUAAGAAGCACAUAUGAUGGUUUUGACUUCUACUGUUGUUUUGUCUGUUUGUUUUUUUAACCAAUAUUCAUUCCUUACUUUUGUAUUCUCACUAGAUCGAUGUAGGCUAAUCUUUAGGUUUUCUUUUCUUUCUCACGUUGCUAAUCUAAUUACCCUCUGAUCUGAUCUUUUACUUGUAAAUUCCUCCUUUACAAGGAAUAGAUUGAAGUUUCUUUUUUUUUUUUUUUGUUUCAAUCCAAUCUUUAAUUUGUCAUUUCGUUAUCUUUCAAUCAUGAGGACACUAAAUAGCCUUUAAUUGUGAACCAGUUAAUCGCAUUCAAUUCAGCAGCAAAAUCGUUACGCUUAUAAUUUUAUGCUUCUAAGUUGUCUAGGUGGGAAAAGUAUUUUCCUCCUCUUUUUUUUUUUUGAAUAAAAAUUAAGUUUAGGAGGAUUCAGUUCCGACUACCAUCACAAGUCAGUCAAGAUAUACUACAAAAUCGUAGGUCGCUCAUAAAGGAUUUUACAGAUCUCCUGCCAAUACAGUCGACAACAAGAUAAUCAAUCAAAUUGGUCUUUUUUCUUUGCAUAUUACAAAUUUGACAUGAUUCAUCAAAGAUAACCAAUCAAAUUGACAACUCAAUCAUAACAUUUUUUUUCUUUUUCUUUUAGGUCAAUCUCCAAUUCUUACACUAAUGCUUGGACCCCUAAGUCCUAAUCAUCUUCUAAUCUAUCUAUAGGAGUUUAAAGAUUUUAACCCUAGACCCCAGCCACGGUAUAACAUCUUAUUGAAUUGGCAAAAUUAAGGUUUGCCAUAUAUAUAGAGAAAUAUAAACCUUCCUAGCAAGUUUUUAAUGCUUCAUUUUUUUUAAAAAUUUUUUAAUGCUUCAUUUAAAUUAACUGAUAACUGCUCUAUAUUCCACCAAAUCGAAGAGUGUUGUUUUUUUUUUCACUGUGGCUGUAGAUUCGUACUCUAUUAUUCCAUGAAAAACCUCACUCUGAACUGCCAAAGUUGAAGUUCCCAUCAGAAUAUUCUUCCUAUUGUUGUAUCACACUAUCACUUCCAUGUUUUAGUAACAUAAUUUUAUUCUUAACCAUUUAUUUCUCAUUUGCUUACGUCCUUUCUGUUUAACCUUUCAGUAAAAGUUCUCUGUAAAUUUUCCACGACAAAAUAAUUAAUAAGUUCAGGAAGUGUAGUUCUUUUUUCUUUUUCAGAUAAAGUAUUUACUUUACAAUUGGCCUAUGUGAUGUGCCUUUUACGAUGGUACUAAAACUCUACUCCUUUAAUGGUAUAUGGAGGAAAUUAUUGUUACUUCUUUUGUUUUUCUUUUUUUUUUUUGGGGUAAAAGAUUAUUGUUACAUCUUGUGAUGAGUAUAACUUUGAGAAGCUUUAAAUUGUUUACAUGCUUUCAAGUCGUUAAAUUUUUCUAAAUUUGUGCUUCUAUAAAGUAAUUUCUUGCAAAGAAUUUUAAGGUACUAUUCAAUCAAUUAAUAUACAGAGAACAAUUAAUGGAAUGAAAUAAAUUUUGGUAACCAUGAAAUUUUUUUCCUUUUGUUAAAAAUAGAUUCCAAGCCUAACAAGAGAAUAUUUGGGCGUCGAAACAAAAAUAUUUACCAUGAUUUAGCUUGAGAGUCAAAUUAUGACAACUAAUUUUUGGACAAAAGAAUAAACAAAUCCGCCCUUAAAAAUACUUGAUUGCCCCAUCUGCAAACAAUUGUGGAGUAAAUUCAUAAAAUUUCUAACAACAUGAGUUUACACAAUAAAAUCCUACUAAUGGUGUCUUAGAUGGAAUAACUCAUCCAAAAUUCAUAGACUUGCAUAUUAUUGCAGUUUAUAAUAUCAUUAUUAACAAAAACUGCAUUAACCAAUUAUUCAUAAUCCAUAACACAAAUAAAAAAAAUAAAAUAGAUAAUCCAUACACGACCAAAAUAAAAAUCCAUUUUUUUAAGAAUUUGUAUAGAAAAAUGUACCGUAAUGAUUUGAUGUAGGUAAAGUAAAAAGAUGAAUGAAAAAUAUGAUCACGAAAAACGUAAAUUUUUUUUUAACAGAAGCCACAAUGCAAACAAAGAAUAUAAGAUUCAUAUGCCCAAAAAGGGAGAAAGAGGCCCAACUUAGAAAUUGUACUCCGAGUAGCUUCAUCUUUUCACAACCCUAAAACCCUAAACCCCUAAAGUCCCGGAACUGCCGGCGGUAAAAUCUCUCCGGCGAGCGUGUUUCUCAAAACCACGCUUUCUCUUAAAAGAAAAAUCCCACAGCUCCACGUGUCCCUCUCUUGUUCAUUCAAAAGCAAAUGGCCGAUCAAGCAACUACAUCUUGGUGGAAGGAGCUCCCACUUGUAUUCAUCAGCCCACCAACGGCGUCGUUUGAUGACCUCCCUCGAGACCUAGCCAUCAACAUCCUCUCAAGACUCCCCGUCAAAACCCUAGCCCAGUCAACAGCCGUCUCCCAACACUGGUAUUCUCUGAUCAAGAACCCUAUUUUUGUCCGAGCCCACUUCACUCGUUCAAUUUCUCAGCUAGCUGCUACUAGUACUGACCACUGCAUUUUAGUCACUCCUAAGGAAUUUUCUGAUGAACCCACUUUGUCGAUUUUCGCCGACAACGAAAAUUAUGACUUGUGCUGUAAAGUUAAAAUCCCAUUUCAGACCUGGUCGAAAACGGUACAAAUUGUGGGUUCCUGUAAUGGGCUUGUCUGUUUGACUGAUGAGGUUGAUUGUGCUUAUGGCGGGGAUGUUUACUUGUUUAAUCCUGUUCUUAGGAAGUAUAAGAUCCUGAAAUCUGAGUUUUCUUGUUAUUGUGAUUGGAUGGAAAAGAAUUUUUCAACUUAUCCUGUUUUAGGAUUCGGGUUUUGUGAGCGAGACAAUGAUUUCAGGGUUGUCAGGAUUCUUUAUUCAGCUCAUCAUGUUGGGGAGAAAUUGAGGCCUAGGGUGGAGGUUUAUAGUUUGAAGAGUGGGAAAUGGAGGAGUGUUAGGGCUAAAAUUGAUCAUAUGGUAUUUCGGGGUUGUAAUGCUUUUGUUGAUGGGUGUAUAUAUUGGCUUGCUGCUGAGAAGGCUCAUGGUCGAUUGUCGUGGGUGAUGUGGUUUGAUUUGGAGGAUGAGGUGUUUCAUGACGUGGAAAUGCCAGAGAACUAUGACAAGGAUACUUGGGACGAUAAUUUGCCAGUUAAUAUCAUGCGAUGGAAUGGUGAGGUUGCCAUAGGUGCUAUUGAACCAGGUGGGACAGGGAAUUAUGUCAAAUGUGGCUUUUGGGUUUUGAAGAAGGAUGAUGGUGGGGAGUUGCUUUGGGAGAGGAAGUUUAAGCUAGUUUUGAAGGAUGCACUGUGCGGGAUUCCAGUUGGAUUUACUUGGUGUGGGAAAGUUGUGAUUGAUGCUCUUGAUAGAGAAGACCAUUCACGUAGAAAGGCGAAUGCUGCACUUACCAAGACAGUUGCACUUGACCUCAAUGACAUGAAAUUCAAGGAUCUUGCAGUGGAUGGGCCUCACACAGUGGCUACUUGUUUCGAGGAAAGCCUUGUUCUGUUCUUGGACUAAAGUUAUCCUCUUGCCUCCCCUGUAGGUAUUUUUAUCAUCAAACCUUGAUUUUUUCCUGAUACUCCAUUAUCAUACGAAGUUUCUGAUUAAGCACCUGCACAAUGAAUCUUGAUUGUUAGUUGAAAAUUUUAUCCUAUACGUCGAUGCAGAUGUGUGUUUCUCAUGGUUACUACACUGGUAGCAUUUUGGGAAGUUUGUAAAAACAAGAGCUUUGUUUUCGAUUACCCAAAACACGAAAACGUGUUCUUGAAUGAGGAUCGAUUGAAUUUACUCUUGUAGGCACAGUGCAAUGUACAGUCGUGCAUGCUAUAUGUAUUCCAGGUUCUGUUAAACUAUUUUGGUACAAAUAAUUCAACCAAUUUAUGGUUGGAUAUAUAAAAAAUUGAUUGUCGGGUUCAGCUCAAUUAGUAGUCCUGUGGUUGUUUGCACUGAAUCGAAUGGACAACCUAAUUCAUAUGUGGGUUCUGAAGGAUUUUUUCUAGCUCUGGAGCUUGACAUUUUCAACUGUCUAAGCAUCCAUAAUUGGAUCACUAGUCGCCAUGUCACAUGUUGAUUUUGUGGAGAUACCUGUCUUACUUUUAUUGUAUUAACAAUGGGGAGAUAUUUUUUUACUUGAGAGGGGUUUGUAUGCUUGAGAGUGCUUGAAAUCCUCAGGAUGAUUGUGAACUAGCAGCUUAUGCAAUCUGAUUUUCUUUCUAAAAGUUUGCAUUCGCAGAAAGCAGUAGUGUCCUGUUAAAAACGCAAAAUGUGGAAAGGAUUAAAAACUUGGUCAUUAAAAAUUGGGUUUUCUCAUAUCAUUGCCCUUUUGGCUGGUCAUUUCUCUCCUGCAGCACAUACGGUUCUUAGCAAAAAGAUUCAUGGAUCAGAAUUAUAUGUUCUUUGUUCCCCUCUUUUAUUCAGAUUAUGCAAUCUGCCUUUAUUUCUAAAACUUUGCAUUCACAGAAAGCUGAAAUGACAUGUUAAAAAUGCUAAAUGUGGAAAGGAUUGAAAACUUGGUCAUUAAAGUUUUGGUUUCUCCAUAUUGUUGCCUUUUUGGCAGGUCUUUUGUCUCCUGCAGCACAUAUGAUUCUUAGCAAAGAAUCAUGGAUCGAAAUUUUUAAGAGCUUUGUUCCCCUUUUAAAUCAGAGUAUAAGUCACAUAGACCAAUUGUUUUUCUGGCAUGGUUGACUUUUUUAUGUGCCACAAAAUUUGCUCUUCGUUGACAGCAGUGCUUCACCACUGCACUUUCAUUAACCGUAAUGCUUCAAUACUGCACUUUGAAUCUGUGGAUUGUCCGUCAUGAUUUGACAGGGAAUUUGAUUGAAGCAAAGCUCAUGGAUUGUUUUAGAUCUUACACAUUUAUUUAUAGUUUUGCUAGAAAUUGAGAGUCAACUGUAUGUUAUAAUCAUAGUUUUUCUCAAGAAAUAGUUGGUUGUAUUCUUGCUCAGGUCUUUUUUCCUUUCCCAUUCUCUGAACUAGCUUAACAACUGGACCUGCUUUUCUGAUGCUUGGUUCCCCAGAGUACAUGUCAGAUCGUUAAUUGUGAAUAUAGGUGUAAUAUAGUCAACUUGUUGUGAGAUAUAGCAGGCUUUGCUUGUAUCCAUUUUGGAAAACAAGUGGUGGACAUCCUCAAUGGGAUUUAGUCAUCUGAAUGUCUGUUUCUUGAGUCAUGGUACUUAAAAUUUGCAAUCAUUUGGUGGAAUACUGAAAUGCAUCUCUUACUGAAGAUCUUCAGUUGCCUAUGUAUUGGAGCCGUAGUCUGUUUUGCUCGAAGUAAACUAACUUGCUUUGUGUUCUUUUGGUACUUUGUACAGGCAAGGACAAGAUUAAGUGAUCUUUGCUUGCUGAUGAUUAUGGAAUUUCCAGACUGAUCCCAAACUGUGUAGUUGAAGUAUGUAAAGUGAGUAGAGUGACUGUCUUGUGACUGCUGAUUAAGAUAUUUGCUGCAUGAUCAGAUGUUUACAUCUGACUUACUAGGAUGAAUUGUUGAGGAGGUGUAUCUUCCUGAUCAGAUGGCCACAGCUAACUUAUUUGGUGGUUUAUCGAUUAUGCUGCUCUAGAUUAUCAGGCGUUAAAUCUUGUUCUAAUCUUUUGUCUACACGUAAUCACCCACAAACAAAACUUGAUAACAUGAGAAUGGCCAAGGUCUACAUUUGUUCAGCACCCAUCACUCAGGAUGUCGUUCCUGAUGUAUUACAGGGAGAAAUGACCAGCGUUUCUCAGUCAUCCAGAGUCGUCCAAAGCCCAGCAGUUGUUGGCAUUAUGCCUUAAACAAGGGGGAGAGGUCGAACCUCUUAAACAGAAACAAAACAUGGAGUUGCAGCCCCUAUAAUAUCUGCUCUAAGCAAUUCCCUGAGCUCAUGUGGCGGUUCUGUGAUGAUCUGCAUCCCAGGAUCCUUGUUGACACUGGUUUUGGCCAGCCAAUCUGCACAUUUAUUUCCUUCUCUCCAAAUGUGUUGUAGCCGGCACUCCCAAUCCCUGUUUCCAUAAUUCCUAAUCUGACAUAUCAGAUUGUGGAAAGGUGAAUCCUGUCCUGCUCCUUGGAUUAGGUCCAGUGCUGCCUUCGAAUCCGUUUCCAGGAUCACUCUCCUUUCUCCUGAGCUCCACGCCAUUUCCAUCCCUUUUGAGUACUCCCCAUCGCUCUACUGUCGUAUUGUCUGUUAGCCCAAUAUUCACUGCGAAGCCAGCUUUCCAUCUUUCCCAGCAUUAUGCCUUUCGUUGGCUUAGUCUCUAACCAAAUUCUCAUAUUCAUCUCCUAUUUUCCAACCAGCUCUGGGGACAAGGUUAUUGCGCUGAACUGAAUUCCCCAUGAGAAAGAAGUACCAGAUGAUUUCCGGUAAGUUCUCAAGUGUAUUUUGCAAAUGAGCUUCUUUAUCAAGACGCAAACAGCCUUGGUUGCCUGCCUAAACCGUCUCGCUGGAAUGAGAUCAUUACAUUUUUUUUCGGAUCACUGCAUACCUUGACUAAGGCUAAUCACUAGUUGUAAGUUGUAACUGCAUAAUCAUGAGUGUCGUGAAGAGGAUCGGCUUAAAGCAGCAAAAGAAGUGGGCCACAAUGAAAUGUUAAUUGGGUACUGCGCAGCAUUAAAAAUAUGAAAAAUCGUUCAACAUGUCAUUCACUUUUGAAAUGUUAAUCUUACACCUCUUGUAGAUUUAAAUUUGCAAAAUUUGGCCUCAACUUAAGUUUUCAACUAAUUUUUAAUAGGGUUAUUAUCACUUUAUCCCCUUAAACUAUAUCACUACUAUCAGUUUACCCCAUAACGUUAUUUUUUAAUCACUUUACCCCCAUAAGUAAUUCAACUCAACAUGUUAAGAAAUUUUGGACAAAAUACCCUUUUAUUUUAUAGUAUUACUACAUUGUUAUUAUCGCUUUCUUCGUUUGGAUUAUAGUGAUACAAUCGCUUUAGUUCCUAACACUAUUUUCUAGACAUUUUACCUUAUUAUUAAUCUAACUAGUAUGGUCAAAAAAUUUUAAAUAUAUUUACCCUUUUUAUAUAUAAUUAAAAAUAAAAAAGGUUGGAAUGAUUAUUCUUCCUUUUUUCACUUUAAGAGAUAGAAAAAUUCUUUUUUUUUCAUACUUAUUACUACUAGGAAAAGAAAAAGAGAUAGGAAAGAAGGAGACAAAAAAUUAGAUUUUGCAAAAAAAGAAAAUAAAGAAAAGUCUAACAUUAUCGUAUUACUUUAAGGUUAUCGGGAUUAGAAUUGAAAUUUGGUGGUAAACAAAAAAGUGAAAUAAUUUUAAAAUAAUAAAAGUAUUUAAUUCUUUCUUAUUUGUAAUUUUUAAAAAAAGAAUUGAGCUCUCUCUCUCCCCCUCCCCCUCUCCAUAUUUCUAUUUUUUUUCAAUAUUAAUAAGAUUGCCAAUGAAAAAAAUUAAUAUUUUGACUUUUUUUCUUGAUACUAAAAAGAAGAAGAGUCACUCUAAAUUUUUUAUUAUUUUGAUUAUGCAAAGAGAGGGUAUUUUCUUCUAAAGUUUUUAAUUUGCUAAGUUGGUUUAAUGGUAGGAUAAAUUGUCUAAAAAAUAAUUCUAGGGUGUAAAUUGAUAAUGAGACUAUAUUUUAUGGGGGUAAAGUGAUAAUAAUUUUAAGGGUUAAACAUGUCUUUUCACUUUAAUUAAUAAACUCCAUUAAGUUUGACCAUUAGUUUUGGGGAUAAAAUGACUAAAAGAUAACGUUAAGGGGGAAAUUGAUAGUAGUACCAAACGUUAAGGAGGUAAAGUGAUAAUAACCCUUUUUAAUAUGAAAUCGCCACACAAUCAACAUGUAGUCAUUUUCUUUUAUGUAUAAAUAGGUCAAAUUCAACUUUUUUUUAGUGUAAAAAAUGAAUAUGGAUUAGGUCAAAUUUCACAUUUUUUUGGGAAAAAAAAUGAAUAUGGUUUGAGUCAGAUUCUACGUUUUAGGAACAAAAAUAAAUAUGGAUUGAAUCAUUUGUUUAACUAUAAAUGAGAUUUAACCUUUUUGUUAAAAAAAAAAAAGAUCAUAUGUGGUCACUUGAUGGAUUAAGGAUAAAUUUUAUCGACUUAAUUUUGUAGGGGAUACAAAGUUAGCAUUUAAAAGUGAAGAACGAAAAAAUUCGUUUGGCGAAAUGUAAAAAACAAAUUAUAUUUUAAACGAUUUUUCCUUAAAAAUAAAAAUAAUCUGAAUUUGUAGUCCUUUCUUUUAUUUUUUUAUUUUUUGAAGAGAGAAUUUGAAAAUUUUCCGGUGGGCUUCUUUUCUAUCUCCUUAAAGUGUUUCAGUGUGAAUUUACCUUUUUCUUGAAGGGACAUAAUAUAGGAGGACCUAUCAAAAUUCACGUUUUCAGUGUAUGUAUGUCACAAUAAAUAAAACUAGCCAGCUGAAUAUUUCUCAAGACUUUUAUGCUUUUCAUUUCAAGGGACAAUUGAUUAUUGAUCUAGGAAACAAGAAAAUCAAAAAGUAAUUGAGGAAUAUGCGAUAUUUUUCUAUAUCGUUUAGGAGGAAAUGUUGGGGUAGUCAAUUAAAAACCCUGAAAGAUUGUUAUCGUUAGGGGAAAAAAAAAAUUAAAAACCCUGAAAGAAUAAAAAACAAAACGAAAAAGUAAAAUCCGACUGGAACGUUACGACGUCGGAUUAUUCAUACAUUUCAUUUCCGUUCUCCCGUUGAACCCUACUAAAACCCUCUUCUGUGUCCAAUUUCAAGAAAUAGCCCCAACAAGGGUUUAGAAGAAGGAAGUUAAAAAUGGCGAGCCGUCUCGUUCAUUUCCGACCGACGGCGAGACUUCGGUGGCUGUCUACAGCAACAGAAACGGCAACGGCAACGGCAACGACAGCGACAACGGCUGUGACCCAAGAUACAGCAACGGCUGUGACCAAAGACAAGCCUAAUAUCUCUCUGUUCAGGAAACUGAAGGAGCUGAAUAUUGGACCAGGCUCAGACGCUAAUGUUUCAGUGGUUCUAGAUGAAUGGGCCAAUGAAAGUCAGGCUAAACGAUUCGAUGUUGCUAGACAAAUCAAUUUUCUCCGAUUCCGCAAACAUUACCAUCUAGCCCUCCAGGUAAUUUCUUGAAUUUGGUUAUUUUCUUCUUUCUUCUUCUUUUUUUUUUUUUGUAAAAAUUGUUUCUUUAGGCAUUCCUAGAUUUGUGGAUGAAUGAAUAUGCGACACGUGAGAUUUAUGCUUUAGAUGGUUUAUUGUGCUUGUGGAGUGUAUUUAUUCAAAUCAAGUUGCUGUAUUCUUAUUGGGUGCUAAAUUGUUGUCAUGUGGUGAAAUUUUCUUUGUAAUUGAUAUUAGUAUGCAUUCUAAUCUUUUGUUUCGAUUUGAAUAAAAAAAACUUUGAUUGUUUUAUUCCUUUUCGAAUGCUUAUUAUUCUUAGACAGAUAGCGAAUGUGAUUGUGGAAAAGAGCAUUACUUUAUCAUAGGAAGAAAAGUCAUUUGUUGGGUAUGCAAGAAGUGAUUGUUUAUUUGGGUAAUAUGGUCGGGUUGGAAACAGCAUAGAUGUGCUGUUUGUUAGCAUUGACAACUAUUUGUAAAACAGGGGAGGCAUAGAAUUUGGGUAGCAGAUGAUAUGUUUAUUGAACAUUAGAUGCUCAGUUUUUGUAGGAAGCUUUUUACCCUUAUGGAAACAAAAUCUGGGAUGUAUUCUUUUAAUAUGCUUGUUGAAAAUAGGUAAAGGAUCAAGCGUGGGUUGUAUAGGAAAUUGUACCUGUAUACCAACAAUGGGGAUUGAUGAGGAAGGAACAAGUUGAAUUGUAGAUUAAAUUGUAGUUAUCUAUCAACUUCAGGAAAUAUAUAGACUUUGCAUGGACAUCUGUUGAAUUAAUAAUAUCUUUUCCUUCCUUAGAUGGCAUUUUAUUUGCUUCUGUUUGUUCUCAAACUGGAUAGUUUGGUUUGGACUUUGUAAUUGUUUUCCUUAUCUUGUUACUAAUGCAGCUAUCAGAAUGGCUGGAGAGCAGCAAGAUUGAGAUGAACAAUGCUGACCGAGCUGUGCAGAUUGACCUUCUUGCAAAAGCUAAGGGUAUUGCUUCAGCUGAAGUUUAUUUUGAUGGUCUUCAGGGAUCUGCAAAAACAAACAAAACUUAUGGAGCACUUCUUAACUGUUACUGUAAGGAGAAAAUGUUGGAUAAGGCUGUCCAACUCUUUGCCAAGAUGAAGGAGCUGAAUUUUACUUCCACUCUGAACUAUAACAAUGUGAUGUCUUUAUACUUGAGCAGUAACCAGCCCGAACAAGUCCCUCUGCUUGUGCAAGAAUUGGAGCAGAAUAAACUUAAAGCAGAUAAAUAUACUUGCAAUCUGUUGAUUAACAGCUAUGCUUCCUCAAAUGAUAUAAACGCAGCGGAGAAAGUUCUUGAAAAGAUGAAGAAAGAUAAGGUAAAGUAUGAUUGGUUCACUUAUGGGAACCUAGCAACUAUUUACGUCAAUGCUGGACUUCUUCCCAAGGCCAAAGAAAUGAUAGGAGAGAUGGAGAAAUUUGAAAAUGUGCGUGAUCGUGAGUUUUUCCAUAUGCUAAUCAACUUGUAUGAGCUUAUGUCUGACUUGGCUGGGGUUCAUCAUGUGUGGAACUCCCUCAAGUCAGUUUUCCCCUCCCCCAGUAACACUAGCUAUCUCAUCAUGCUGUUGGCUCUGUUUAAAUUGGGUGACCUGGAAAACCUGGAGAAGUAUUUUAGAGAGUGGGAAUCUCAAUGCUCAUUGUACGAUGUCAGACUAUUCAAUGUGGUCUUGGAAUCUUAUCUUAAUAGGAACAUGAUUGGGGAAGCUAAUGCUCUCUAUGAAAGUAUGGUGACCAAAGGAAUUGAUCCCACCUUAGCGACACUGAAUAUUUUCACAAUCUACCACAUUAAGAAUGAUCAGAUUGAUUCGGCUCUGAAGUAUCUGGAGAUGGGUGCAUGCAAGACAAUCCCAGAGGAACAUAGGUGGUUUCCUACAGAUGAGACUAUCAAAUUGUUUUUAGAAUAUUUUGAGAAGAAAAAUGAUGCGACUAGAGCUGAGAAGUUUUGUAACAGCAUGAAGAAGAUUGGUCGUCUUGAUUCUACCGUUUAUGCAUCUCUGCUUUCCAAAAGUUGAUGACUAGAUCACUGCAUCGAAGUAUAGAGGUGUUUCUGAUUUAAAUAUGGCAGUGAGAAGAGGCCUUGACAAUUUGAUAUUUUAUACUGGCCUAAUUCAAGUCUUGCAAGGAAUUCGAGUUUAUGUUCACAAAUGCUAUUGUGCGAAGCAAAGCUGGCCUGUACUGAAACCUAAACUAUGGUGGUGAAAAUCAAUUUUGCCAUUAAUUCAUUAUGUCGUCACAAGAUGGUCACACACUCUAGUCAUUGUGGCUUUUUGACCUUCUCCUAGACAUGCCUCAAUUGUAUCCUAUCAUUCCUUAGCCUCUAGACCAACCACUUGAUAAUAGGGUUAUAAAAUGGGUACUAAGUGAAUUUGGGAUCAAAUUUAAGUUACACUAAAUUCAACCCACUUAAAGGUAGGAUUGAUCAGUGUACACAUACACACUCUAUUACAUGCAUGUAACACACAUAACAAAAAUAAAAUAGAAUAAGAGGUAGGUUGCUUUUUUCCUUGGAUGACUAUAUAUGAAUCUAAUCUUCAUUAACUGUAUAUAAUGCAUUUUCUUUGUCCAACUAGAAAAAAAUUGCUUACUUGUAAUUUUAGUAGAUGAAGAUAUUCAAACUAAUUUCAGGACUGAAUGAAUUUUCCACAUAUUGCAUUCCGUGUAUUUUACUAUAUGUUAACAUGAAUGAUAUAGAAUUUGAAUAUGGGUCAACUUGAAUAUCAGUCAUAAGUCCAAUUUCUUCAUAAACCAAGAAUUGAGUUUGAAUUCAAGAAUAUGAUUUGUUAUGUGAGUCGAGCUCAAGCAUAUCAAAACUCAAACUUAUAAAAUCCAAUUGACAGACCUAUUUCACUUGAACAGAUAAAAUGCUCAAAUAAGAUCAGUGGAAUUCAUUAACUUGAUUGACAACAGUUCAUGAAGGACCCUUUUAUGUCCAUUUGACUGUAUUACUUUUGUCAAAAGCCAACUAUUGAGCUUAGCAAGUAUUUCGCCCCAAGUACCUGUUUUAUACCCUGAUAAGGAUUUCGCACGAAAAUUACCCUCAAUGUGCACGAUCAGGAUGUCCUCCUAAGUCCCAGGGCUUAUCCGAUUUCAUAACCAGUGUCCAAAGCUAUUUAGGUCGGUUCUUGAACUUGUCUUAAUUGAUCUGUUUAAUUGAAAUGCUUGAAACUCCAAAACUUUGGUAUAUCUAUCUCUUUGAGUAUAUGGAAUUCUUACAAUCUUCUAUUCAUCUGUUUGGCUGAGAUAACCAAAUCCAAGAGCCAAGAAACUACUAUGCCUAUUUGAAUGCUUUAUGUUAAUGCUUGAAGAGGAAAUGCACUUAUAUUUUCUAAUACAAUGAUUCCAUAAAUAUGGUUUACCCAAUGUAGUAGAUGGUAUUUCUUUUUUAUUGGCAAAACUUUGGUUUUUAGCACAAAGGAAAUUGGAGGCUUUGACAGGGAGGGCUGUAAACCACAUAAAAUGUACCAGUUGGUUGCUCUAGGGUAAGACAUGAAUCUGAAAAGUUGGAGUUCAAGUUCACCAUGGUAAGGAAGCCAGAUCAAACAAGUCCCGUGCCUGAGUCACCUACUGAAGCAAGUAAAUCAUCAACAGUGGAAGAGAAGGCAUGGAACUAUAUAUAGCUGGUAUGCCUACGCCGCCAGAGGAGAUGAAGCUCAUUUCUUCUGGGAAUGCAAGGACUAAGAAGAAACCACAGCAGUGCAUUAACAAUUCAGUGUAUGGUGGUUGCAGCAGCGGCAGCUACAAGAGGGAAUCCUCGCAUCCCAAGCUCAAGGCAAAUGGCUGAAGCCAUAACCUGGAGAUGCUUUUGGAUAAACCUGCUACUGGUAAUCAAAGCAUACCAUCCUUUUGGAUACACACGUGAGACGGAUCAAGCUUUCAGCUGGAAGCUACAACAGUAUUGUAACAAUCACCUCGAAAGGAAAGUCUGGAAUUGUUUCCUGUUUCUUGGACUGGAAUCUAAAUAGUUCGCUUGGGUUUUUCAGAUUGUGAGGUGUUAUGAAAAUAGAGAAUUUUUGAACCUAUAGUUAUACCUAAAAAGUUGCUGCUACUAUACACAAAAAAAGAAGAUACAAAACCCAUCCAAUUUUGAUACUUUGGAACUUUUAUCGAUUGUGAACAAAAUGGCUGACCAGAAACGUCCUGUUUUUCCUAUAGAAAUCAUCACUCCGUUAUUGAUCCAGCUACCUCCUAAGGUCUUGAUGAAGCUCAUGCAUCUUUCAAGAUCACAGAAGAACUUGAUCGGAGACCCUAGUUCUCUGCGGCACAAUUUGAAAUAUUCUCAGCAAAAGGUAAUGGAUAUCUCUUGUAUUUGACUACGGAGUUAUAACCCGGGGACUUUCAAGUUGAUUGACGAUAGAUCAUUCCGAUAUUUGUUUAGAUUUAAGAAUGCCAUUUUUUUUGGUCCACUCCUCUUUUUCCUUCCUCACUUCUUUAAUCUCACCUGUUUUCUAUCUUGACAAGGACUUCGCCCGAAAGUUACCCACAAUCUGCACGAUCUUAUUUACUUUCUGUCCUUCUUCCUUCUUCUUAACCAGUGUCUAAAAAUAUUUAACUUAGUUCAUGAACUUGUUUAAAUUAACAUGUUUAAGUUAAAUCCUUGAAAUUCCUUCCAUGCAAGUUGAAAAGACAAUCGCUUUAACUUAAUUGAAACCUCAAUUGCAGACUUUUUCAAGUCAAAAAAAUGGAUGAUCUUAUAUUUCCUAAGAGGUAAUUAGUGAAACUAAAGCAGUCUCUUUCCGUAAUAUACAGCUGAUUCUUGAAAGAACCUAGUAAUUACUCCUAUACUAGGAAAGAAAUGGUAUUGGCAAUGUCUAAUCAUAUUGAGAAUUUCAAAUGAUCUGUCAUGUCAAUGGAAAGAAAUAUUUGCUUCAUCAAUCAUGCUGCAUUUCAUAAAUAAAAAACAAAAGGAGCAUUUGCCAAACAAAUUUAAACUUUAGAUUGGGAUAUCUUCGUCUUCUAAUUCUUUAGUUGUCCAAAUUGCUUCAUGAACUUCAAAAUUGUCCUUAAACUUUAGAUUGGGAUAUCUUAUUCCUAAAAUGCAAAAGCUUCUGCCAUUUUAGCCCUUCUCAUAAGAUAAUCAUUACAUUAAAAACUUACUUAAACAAGUAAACUAUGAUUGAAAAUAAUAGAAAUGCUAUUCUCUUUAUCGUGAAAGGACCUUAUGCUACAAGUAAAAUACAACGUGAUAAAGUCAUGACAAUAGAUAGGGAAGCUUCAAUGAGUACCAAAAUGUUGCCUAAUCUUGUGAUCCUGUGAUCUCUUGGCCUAAAAUUUAAUAUCCGUGUUACUAUAACAAGUUACAUAUUUAGUUAACGGUCAUAGUAAAAGCAAAUAAUCUUCAAUCAGUCAAAUGAGUGCCAUCGUGAAUUAAUAGACAUACAUCAACUUAUCUAGGGAUUUUUUUGGGAACAGCAUCAUUUACACAUCUAAAAAAUAAGCACCCAUAUUCUUUAGGGUAUGAUCUCAACUGUAUAUGGUUUUCGAAGUCACAUGGUCAAGCCUGACAAGGUCACAACCAAAUUCCAUCUUACCUGCGGAUUGAGAUAUAAAUUGGGAUUUUGAAUCUUGAAUCUUCUUCAAAUAAUCUGUCGUGAAUUAGAUUGAAAGACAUAUUCAUUUUCUUAAAAGAAAAAAGCAGUAAACUGAACUUAUAACCUGUCAUGGGUCUAUCACAUCACAGGGAAGGAAUGUUGCAACACCAAACAGUGAAAAUGUCUCCAAUGAAACAUCAUAAUAAAAAAUCCCUUCAACUCUACAAAAAUUUUGACACAAACUUUCAAAUAUAGAAGUACUGUGGCACUUUCUUGAAACCUUUCUAUGUUUUGCACAAACUCAAUAGCCAUGCCAAGAAACAUCAUGAUUUGCACGCACCAUGUUUCAAGUUUGAGAUCGCUCCUAUCCUGGAACCCAAACUCAGCAACUGAUUGAAUUCCUCUUAAGUAGCCAUCUUGUCUUGUCAGGGGAUCCCUUGUAGAUCCAUCAUCUUUCAAUGUCACCAAACCAUCAAGCAUGACCUGCGCAGAGGCAUACAGAGUUGUGAACGGAUGAACAGUCAAGUAAUAACUAUACGAUUUGAGCUCCUCAAAUCGAGAGUAACGUUCUCUUUGCGAUCCCUUGACGUAUAUAUAUACAAGAUGAAACCGAAUCUUCUGAAUCUAAAUACAUUGAAUUUUGGUCUACAAUGCUUGGGGAAUGACCAAAUUCUCCACACUUAAGAUGAAAACGAGAAUUGGACGAGAAGUUUAGGAGGAAUUAAGUAACUAGAGAAUAGUAAAGCUGGUCUGCAACAUAAAACACGGAUUUUGCCACAUCCUCUGAUAUUGCAUCAGACUUGAACUUUGCAUCUUUCGUUGUCUUUAUGGCCCCAAUCAAUUAAAUGGAUGCAAAUCAUGCAACGAUGUGGAGGCCAGUGUAUAGUGUAUAAUCCGUUAUAAUCUUACAUGUAUGCAUAAACGGGUGUAUAGCAUGAAUCUUUCACACCUAAACACCUGUUUAUGCACACUGGUGUGAUUAAUUAGCCUUCUCAAGUGGGAAAACUAAUUAACAUAAUACAUAGGGCUCUGAAAUCCUUGCCAACUUAGAGUAGGAGUACGCCUAGAGUGCUAGUGAUGCUUAAAUGCAAUUAGAUGACGGGUUUUAUUUAAUCAGAUUUUUAAACGAUUGCAGUUAUUCUUGGUGCUUUAUGCAUAAAUGGAGAAACCUCAUUCAUUGCUUUUGGAUAUCUUAUCACUCAUAGAAAAGUAUACAUGAUAGAGUAGAAAAACAAAAUUCUCUGCUUAGCGAUGAUUUGAUUUAUUAAACCAAUUGAACAUGUAUACUGGGGUCAAUUUCGAAAGAUUUUGCACUUCGCACUUGUAAACGAUAUUAGAUUCUCAAAUAAUCACACAAAUUAAGACGUUUGAUACUUGGCAUGCUACUAGUCAGCUAGUUAUAGGCUAGAAUAUGACGGUUUAUCAUAUUUUCAUUUUGCCACUUAAAAUGAUCAAAGCGAUUGUGAUGAUGAUGAGCGUUGAGGGAAGUGAAAGUGAAAGUGACAUUAAUUAUCAUUUUGAUUCAAAGCUGUGUCCUUCCAAGCUUGAGAUAUAUAACGAUCUAAGGGGUAGGAAGCAUUUUCUUUUCUGCGGAAAGAAGGGUGGAAGUGACUGAAACAGGAGCAAUAUAAAGAUUGGGACAUCCAGGGAAUGCAGCACAGGAGAAGGGAAUUAAAGGGAGUGGUGACUGAGAAUCUUGUUGAUCCUCCUGAUACAUGCAUGUUCUUGCCUCAAUCUUGAUGAUCAUCCUGAUAUAUGCAUGCUCUUACCUCAGAAUCCUCUAGCUCUGAAGAGGGUAAUGAUGAUUCUGAUGAUAACUACGACAAUAACUAGGAAGAACCAGGGAGCUCUGUUAUCACUUUUAUGGGCCCAUAAAUAUCAAACAACAAAAAUAAUUUAUCAAGCAAGAAAGCACAAAACGAAAAAUGGAGUCUAUCAAAAUGCAGCGGCUACAACUUACUAAAGAAAUGGAGACAGUGCCUUUAGUCACUAUUUCGACAUUUUGAUGAAUGGCUGACUGUGUAUUUCUUAAUUGAAGAAUUACGUAGGUAUACAACUUUCUGUAUAUUCUUUUUUCUUUACAAGUCUUAAAAAUAUAUUGUUCUAUGUCUUUUUCCAAAAUAAAUUGUAAUUUUCUUUUCAAUUUGUCAUUUUAUGGGGAUAAAAAGUUCCAAAUUCAUAAUGGUCUCUUUUUUCUUUUUCUUUUUUUAUAAGCCCUAACGGCCUUGUUUUGAUUUGGUUCAGAAUUUGGGAACCUACUAUCUUUUUAUAGUUAAAAAAGAGUAUAAAACUAAGUCACUUUAUGAGCCUUGACAGUAGAUAUUAACAUUUGUUGAAAAAAACAUAUGAGUCUUGAUAGUAUUAUGCUUCUUUUAAAUAAAAAAAAAGGGAAAAACAAUGGCACAAAGUUGGGCACACUUUUGUUCUUAGUUUUACACAAAUGAAUUAUUAGAUUUUUAAACUUAUGUUGUAAAAAAAAUGUAAUGAGAAAAAUAGAGAUGAAGCUGAAACGCAAAUAGUCAAACUCUCAUUCCACAUUUGUUGAUCUAUUUGAAAUGGUCUUUUUUAUCAUUUGCAAAAUUCUUUUCUUACCAGAAGUUUCCCAAACCUAAAGACACCACCUCUUAAAUACUAAAAUUCAUUAAUUAUAGUAACGUUAUUCACAUUAACGAGUGCCCAUUGAACAUCCGUUAGCCGGACCAAUUAACAAAUAUGUGAAAUGAGGCUUUCAUAGAUUUAAUGACAAUAGUCAGGAGCCAAAAAAAAUUUUAAUAGCGAUAAAGAUGAGAAGCUAUCCGAGGCUUUAAUGAAUUUACAGACACUAGUCAGCAACCAGAAUCUUAUCCCCUUUUCUCGACUGUACUUCUCGGAUGAGUAGCUCACCCUCAAGUAUUUUUAUCUCUCUUUUUCGAGAAGAAAAUAUUAAAAAGAUAGGUUUUCUUAAGCAAACAUUAAUCUUCUUUACAAACAGUGUAACCUAUGCUCCAACAAGUAUUGCAUGGUGGGAAAGGUUUUGGUCUGUAAUCUGCGGAUUAUCAUGAGGUGCACAGAUGUUGCACCUUGCCUGAGCUAUAAUGGUCUUAACAUGAUAAAUGUAUUCUUGAGCAUUUUAAUUAAUCUUUAUAAAUCUUAAUUUAAGAAUAUAGAGAUGCGAUGCGUAGUUGUCAAUUCUAAUUCUUGAACAAUUUUGUUAAGCCUGUUGUUACAUCAGUUUCCCUCAUUUUCUAAGACAUUUCCAUAUCAGAAACUGAAAAAAAAAAAAACUUGUUUUUUAGCUACCCAAAUAUAAACAUGUUUUUUUUAAUUAAUGAAUUCUGCGUAUUUAAUUCCUACUGUUGAGUGUUAUCCAAUACUGCUACUAAAUAUUCAUACAUCAACAUAUGCAUAUCUCUAAUUACAACUAGUAUUUUGAUAUAAUUAAGCAUAUAACUAUGAAGAAAAUUGAUUAUAUAUUUGUAAGGUCUGCUGCUUCUGUUGGCCGACUUGGUGGCCACGAGAACUCUCAUUUUCAUCCAAGUCUGGCGACGUACCCCAUUUUGCAUGGGGGCAAUCCGCCAUCUCCAUUGAUGGAAGUUGUUUUAGCCAGUAGAUCGAGGAGGACCAUAUUGGGCUCCUCGCCAGGAGCUGAACCUAGCUGGACCAGAGCCAUCGGUGUUCAAUCAGGGCAUAGACUGCACUACUUCUGCUGAUCAUGUGGAGCUUAACAUAGAGCAGCUGCCGCCUCUUUUUCCCUCUAUAUUACCUGGCGACUGCAAUGCAUUAAUACUUCAUCAUGAAACUUAAAAGGCAGCGAACCAGAAAAUUUUUCUUCAUCUUAAUUUCUCUACACUUUGAACCUAGUUCAUUUUAGUAUACAGAACUAUUGUUUAGUUGUAAUAUAUUUGGUUUCAAUUUCUCUCAACAAGAAAUUCUAGCCGAGAUUAAGGGCGGAGAGUAGAUGAAUUUAGUUCAAGAUCUGAAGUGAAUGCUCUCUUAGAAUUCAAGCUCCAAUAUUGAAAACUGAAUAUUCAAGAUUGUGUUGUCUAAACAUCUCACUUUCAUUCGUCAAAGUGAUGAAAUGUGCACUUCUAAGCAAUUUAGGGCACUUCUAAGCUCUAGAUGAUGAAAUGUGCAAAUCUCAACAAUUUAGGGCACUUCUAAGCUCUAGAUGAUGAAAUGUGCAACCUUCGUGAAAAAUAUAGAUUCAAUUUAAUUAUUCUAAAAGAAAAAGUAAAAAAAAAAAUCCAUGGCCUAGUUAUUUCCAAAACAGAAAUUAAAAAUUUUUACUUAGACUAUAGACUAGUGCAUUCACAAUGCACCCCAAAAUGGAUGUUUAACUAGCUAAUAUGGCAUGUAUUUCAAUAUAUGAUAUGUUAAGAAAGUAAAUACACCAUUAAAGUCCAUAUUUGCAUGUACAUUUUUAUAUGACAAUGUAAACAUUACACACUCAAGAGUCCACGAAUAUGUCUAGCUGAAUACAUCCCAUCCCAGAAGGUCCUUCUCUGAAACCUUGAGAGCUGAUAGUAGUAGUAUCAGUACCUAAAAAUUCCAGCCACCCCAGAAGCCGAAAUUGUAAUUUCCUCGUGUUAAAUUUAUUGACUUGAUUUGGACUUGCUUGGUUUAGAUUAUGAAAGUCUAGACUGAACUGUUGUCCAAUUGGGCUAUAAAUAUUGUAAUCAAUGUCUUUUUGGAUUUCACUAAAUUCCUUUUUGCACUAUCUAUGACAUCAAAUUCAACUUCUACAAAAGAAGAACUUGCGAAUAAUGGUUUUUAGGUUUGUAAUCCUGGGAUUAUGAGGUGCACACAUGUUGCACCAUGCCUGGCGCUAUACUGGUAUAGCAUUGAGUUUUCACUUUGACACAAGGUAAUAUGUGCAUUAAUCUUCUUACCAUCUCUAUCUGUCGAAAGGAUCAUCUAACCUGGAUUACUGCUUUUAGAUGAACUCUUAAUUUUGCAUUAUGAAUAUCGUGUUAAGAAUCUAGGCCAAAGUUCAAUUUCUGAUUAACUCUUUUUUGGUAGCUAAUUAAUGUCAUCUAAGAAAACAUCAUUAUAUUUAUAGAGUGAUUUUGCCAUUAGACAAAUAUUUGGAAAAAUAAAAAUUUAAGAUGAGACUACUCUAUCAAGGGUUUACUCGUCGUUUUAAUCUAUAGGUCUAAUAUUUUGUUCUACUAAGGUUUGCCUGCUAUCUAGGCCAAGGUUUGAUUGAAAUGAAUUCUGGGCAAUAGCUCAUUUAUGGAAAAUAAUAUGAUAUCAGCAAUCCUUCUUAUAUGUAGAGAGUGUUUUUCUUUUUCCCAUUAACCAAAUAUCUGUCAAAUUUCUUUAACUGGAGACUAGUCUAUCAAGGACGGACUUAUCGUUUAAAACAAUAGGAUCAACUUGCACCAACUGUGAAAUCCACCAUACCUAACCAGCUUAAAAAUUAUUCAAACCUUAUAAAUUUUAACAGAUUUCAGUAUCAAUUAUACGUUGCUUAACGUAUCGUUAUACCUAGGAAUUGGGCAGGUUGGACGGGUUGAUAUUGGAUUUUCACUUAAAUGGGCUACACUCAACCCGUCCAACUUUAAAUUGGGUUGAUUUUGGGUUGAAUUAUAUUGGAUCAUCUCAAACUCAUGAUCUAACAUAUUAAUUAAUACAUUUUGAUAUAUAAACUUUUUUACAUACAUUUUAACACGUAAAAAGAUUUUUUUUCCACACAUAAACAUAUUUUCACAUACAUAAAUGUAUUUUCACACACACACACACACUUCUUAAGCUUCUUAGAAAUACGUCAUAAAUAGAAUAAUAUUUUAUAUUCCUUGUAUUAUGAAUUUUAGAUAAUAAAUUGUACAUUGAAAUAGAUUAGCUAAAAAAUUUUGUUUACUUUAUACUUUUUAAUACGACUAAUUGAUUGAAAUUAUUUUUUAUCACUAUUAACACUUUUACUACUCAUAUAUGCUUUAUUGUAAGUUAUAAUAUUCUAUAUAUUUAAAUAAUUGAAUGCUAGAUUAUAUAAUGCUUGAAAAUAUAAUUAAAAGACAUAUCAUAUGUUGUAUUAUAAUAUUGGUGAGGAAUUAUUAACAAUGAAAUAAAACAAAUUAGAGAAAGUAAAAGAAUGCAAUUAGAAUAGGUUUAACUCUAUUCCACGUACACGAAAUAUUAACAAACAGAAAUAUUAACAAACAGAAGCAGAACCACCAGGUAAUUGAUUACAUAAUACAAGAGCAAAAGAGAUACAAAACUAGUCCCAAUUUCAUACUUUAAAACUUGAGUGAAGUGUCAAGCCUUCAUUAUACACAGGAAUAAUGCAAUCUUUAAGUGCCUAAGAAACUAGCUUAAUAGAAGUGCAUGAAGUAUUACAACUAUAUGAUCCCAUGAAGCUAGUAACAAGGCUGUUAGGCCAAUCACUUCCUCGAACGAAAACAACACAGGCCAUUGCGUACUCCGAUGUCCCGUUGCCGCCUUCUUGCACGCACGGGAUUGCUUACUCUGAUGUCCCUUUGCCUUUUUCCACACUCGCACGGGUUAUGGCUGUCAGGCUUUGCAAGUUCUUGCCUCGCCUAAGCUUUUCAAAAGUAACCCAUCUAACGAGGCAAGGGACCCGAUAAAAUAAAAGCCAUUAGCUGAAUCCCCAACUCUUAAAAAGGCAGAAAUUGUGCGCAUGAAUGGAGCCCCAUCCACCCACAAAUCCACCAAAAGAAACAAGCGGAAGAGCAACAGAUGAUGUGAUUUCCCAGAUCACAAAACAUUAAGACAUAAUAUAUUGUGAUUUACUAUAGGAAGACCUGGAGAAGAACCAUAUUUAAUAAUGACCAAUACCAUCACAUAAGAUCAGCUUUCCCUCCUCCUCUUGCCCGGGCUUGGGACCGGCUGUCUGUGGAGACAGGCGGAGUUACAAAGCAUCCUACCAAACAAAACAGCACAAGCAUACAGACAGGGGGAAUCUCCAAUAGAGAACAAUAGAGGACAGAUGCAUCUCCAAUAAAACCAAAAAAAACAAAAAAAAUCCAACUCAUACGCAGCAGUGUCCAAAAAAGCAACAGGCAGAGGGAAUCUUCAAGUUAUCCCCACCAAAAGGCAAGCUACAAACGUCUCACAAAUAGCAAAAUAAACUUGCAACAAUCUGCACCAGAGUACAAGAGAACUCUACGAAUAGCACACCAAACAUAUUACCAAAAUUACCACACUUACUUUGUUUACUUGUUUUUAUACCAAGGCUCACCUUCUGCAUACUUAACCUAUAAAUCAACUAAAUUUUCAUCAAGUUAGGGGGCUCAACCACUGUGUGAAACAAAUGUGAUGCUACAGUUAAUUUUCUAUAGCAUUCAAGGUACCAAAAAGAAUUAGGAAAGGUCUAAAGAAAAGCUCCGGUGAAGAGAAUCGGAUAUCAAAACAGAUUUACAUACAAAAAAAUAAAAAUAAAAAUUUUGAAAAUUUUGAAAAAAAUUAUGAUGCUAAAGGCUGAUAAAAGAUCAAAUAUUAUAUAGUGCAAGUAUCCAACAAAUAGACCCUACUUAUGGGACUUAAAAAGUCACACAAAUCACAGGGGCUUAAGCUACACAGGUAAAUCAUACAGAAAAUGACAAGUUGCCCUAGAAAACAGGAACUCUUUCAUUUCUUAAAUCCACCGAAAUCAACCUCAAAAGUAGUACGCACUUCAAAUAAAUUAAUGAUUUUCAAGACUUGUACACAAGGGCAUUUGGAUUCCUCUCAAUCUGUCAAUCAUUUAUGAUUGGUUCUAUGAACACAAUACACCUGUGCCAGGGCCUGUUAAGAUGCAACCACCUUCCCGAAACCACAACGCAUACAACUAUUGCAGAUCUUAGAUUGGACCUCUUGAUGCCACACCAUAACUGUUAAAAGGCCACAAGCAAAU